rnacentral:lncRNA from 1 species
UUUUAUAUUAGUUUGUAGAAACAUGAUUUUUAGUGUUUAUAGUGGUUUCACGGCAUUGCGCCAAGUGAUUGAAAAAUCCGAUAUGAUGAUGUACUUCAACACAAUAUAUAUUAGAUUCCGUGUACGUCACAAAUAUAUCUUUCACCAGUUGUGUACUUCUAUAUCUUCUAUAAAAGUUCCUUGUGGUUCUGCAAGUGUUUAUUGCUUCAUUAUUGCUAAAACCUUCCAAAAAAUGAUUUAGUGUUCUUGGUCAUUUUCUACUAGAUCAUUUUUUUUUUGGUAGCAUGGUAUCAGAGCUAGCCCAAACCCCCCUCCAUUCCAAGAGGUCCUUAGUUUGAUUCUUUUAUCCGCCACUUUAUGGCAUCAAUUUCCGUCCUUUAUUCCUUUGUAUUUUCCAUUAUCUCAGACCUUUUGGCAUGGUUCGUUUGAUAUUCACCAUGCAUGCGAGUGGGCAGUGUUAAGACAAAUUCUAGGCCAUUUCCUAGUUGGUCAAUUUUUUUGUUAACACCUAUCAGAUAUUUCUCUCGGUCAAGACUCAGGGUUAUAUACUCGUUAGAAAAGCCUUGAUAAUUUCUUAGGAUAGUUGCUUUUUGAACUGAUUUCUAAUUGUUGUUGAUUUGUUUCACAGGGUUUGGCUGUUGCAUAUGCUAUCAUGACGACAAGAUCAUUGGAUUUGAACUGGCAGAUGAGGGCAGUUAGAGUGAUGCCUUUGUUUGUGCUUCCUGUUUUAGCUGUUGUCAUCUACUCGACACUUGGGAGCGUCAGAAGAAUGUGUAAAUAUCAUGGACUCUUUUCCUUUUAAAUUUUUUUUAUAACCCAGUUCUCAGUUUCUAUAAAUUUGCUGAUUGAGCUUUUGAUCUAUUAGUCUCUCUUUAUAGACGUUUAUUUGACUGUUCUUUCAUAUUUGAUUGGUCCAUUGAAUUUUUUUUAAUUAAAUAGAUAUUUAAAUGGAAAAAAAAAGAAGGGGGCCGUGGAGUAUAGAAGAAGUGAUCCUGGGUUGUACUCAGCUUUCAUCCCUAUUCAAUUAUGUUUUUGAUGGGAAUAUGGGACUUAUUAGGUGUAUCAGCAUUUUUCCAGCUACAAAUAAGGGGGUAUCAUGUUAAUGAAGUUCAUAGUUUUGUCUGGAGAAGGGAAAAAAAGAAAAUAAUGUGAUGGUGGGGAAUCCUUUCGCCACUAAUACAAAAAAGCACAUAUAAGAUGAACUGCCUCAAAAUUGAUUCUCUGAAUCUUUGAUGUUUUUCUUACAUGGUUGACCAUGAGCUUUUUAAAUUCCUUUUAGACACCUAAUGUGGGAGAAACUUUUAGUGAGAUUUGGGAAAAACAUUAUCCUGUUUAUAACCUGUCCUUCUUUUCUUCAGUGGAUAGCAAGGACCAGAAAGCGCUUGAGAGGCUCCGUGAAGAAAGGCAAGCGAAGAUAACUGAGCUGAAGGAGAGGACAAAUUACUACACUACACAACAGCUUAUUCAGGUAGGUUUUUCAUCUUUCUAUCCUUCAUCUAUAUAUCUACUAUUGGCACUUGAUCUUGGGCACAUCGUAUGUUUGGCGAGAAUUUUUCUCCCCAAAUGCAUUGAUAUCACUCUCUGUAGAGUUACAUGCCUAAGUGGUUCCUGUAUGGUCUACUCUUGUGUACCUGUCAAUUUAAUCACUGAGCACUUCUUUUAGUCAAUCAGGUCACUGAAGUCUCGACUAUUUGUGAAAUUCAUUAUUCCAAGUGAAUUAAAAGAACUUGUACUACCGCUUGGUCCAUAUACAUAUCAGUAAUACUCUUGAUUCCAUCCGUUUUUUAAGAAUCUCAGCAAGUGUUUAACCGUCCAUGUCUGCAAAGUCGAUGAUGUACACUUAUAAGAUGACGCUGGGAAUAUACCUAUUUUUUCCUCCUUUUUUUCUCUCUCCAAGAACGAGGUAUGGUUUAGUACAAUUUAUCACGAUCCUAUCAUAAUAACUCUUUUGGUAUCUAAAAGAGUUUAGGGUUCAAAUCUAUUUCUUUAUAUCUGUAACAUUGGAGGGAUAACUAAUAAUUUAACUUCUGAAGUUAGUUUAUUUAUCAUCAAGGAUGGUAUUAGUAAUUUAGCAAAGCUUUGAUUAGCGAAUUUUCAUCGAAAUGGACAUAGCACGAUAUUCAUGUAUCAGUGAAAGUAGAGUGACUAACUUUUAAUUUUUAUUCUCUGUAUAUGUUACUGAUUCUUUAUAACGAUUAACGCAGAGAUACGACCUUGAUCCUGCUGCCAAGGCUGCAGCAGCAACUGUUCUGGCGUCUAAACUUGGAGCAGAUUCUGGGUUGAAAUUUUAUGUUGGAGAUGAAUCAAAUACCAGUCCCUCAUUGGGAGUUAGCAAUGAUGUUAACCCGGCGCAACCUACUCAGCUCCGACACAGAAAACCAGCUUCUGGCAAAAGUGCUGCCGCAGUAAGCAGCCAAGAAGCUCACUUCUUUGAUGAUUCCUUAAAUGAGUACGACGAAAAUGCCGGGGAAAUUGCUUCUCCAAAUCAGAGUUUUGUUGGACAUAAUAAAGGUUCAGCUGGUAGUGACGGGGGAUGGCUCGCUCGAAUUGCAGCUUUGCUUGUUGGAGAAGAUCCGACACAGUGCUAUGCGCUGAUCUGCAGCAACUGCCAUAUGCAUAAUGGUAAGUGAUGUCUUUCGAAGUUGUUAUCAUGUCAAAUUACCUUUUUAUCCCUUUCCGCUCUAAAUGUGCUCGCCCUCGUGUUUAACCUCGAUCACAAGCAACAAAAUGCAAGAACUGACUCAACUGGCUAACUUAAUGUGCAGGAUUUGCGAGGAAAGAGGAUUUUCUAUUUAUAACAUAUUAUUGCCCUCAUUGCCACGCAUUAAACGGGUCUCGACAGCAAGCGGAAAACGAAAUGAUUUUGAAUUCUGAGAGGGAAACUCCGAUUUCUCAAGCUGAUGGUAAUGAUGCGUUCAACGACGCGAGCAAUUCGAGCUCGAUCACCGGCAGUCCAUUUGCAAACACUCCAACAGCUGCCAAAGAAAUGCCUCAAGGAGACAACGGCGACGAGGAAGGAAAUGAUGUGCAUACUAAUUAGAAAUUUGUAUUCAGUAUUAUAUGUAAUGCUUUUACAAUGAGAUAGCUUCUGUUGAAGGGAAAAUUCGUUUGUUUGUCGAUGAUUCCGCAUAAAGAGAGGAAAGGAGCAUGUUGUGUAAAAUAAUUACUAAUUCUUUUUGAGAGUUAUGGUAAUUUUUGGCCAUUUUGUUAUAUACUGUGAGGAGUGGAAGGUACCAUAAUGGGGUUUUUGGGCGACUACACUUAUAGAAUUUUUUUUAAUUCUAAGAAUAUAUAUGUAUCCAACAUUUUUAUUUGUAAAUUAUGUUGCACUAUUUUACAACACAUUGUACUGUUUGAUAAGUUAUUGUGAAGUGCUGUCAAGUAAUUACGCAAUAAAUUUUCAAGUCAUGUAACGUGUUUUUUAAUUGUUCAGCAACUUAUCACAUAGUAUUAUAUUUUUUUACUAAUGGUUUAAUAUUUUUAUUUUUAUUUCUUUGAAUGGAUAAAAAAAAAUGUAGAGAGAGCAUGACGAAACAAUAAAGAAGAAGAUAUAAUAGUGCAACACAAAUAUUGGUAACAAGCAUAAAUAUAGUAAGAAAAGAGUCGAGAUGAAGAAGGAAUAUAAUACACCACUUAGGCCUUUGUUAUCAGGGACGAAGCCAGAAAUUAAAAUUCGGAGAGGGGCCAAGAUUUAGAUUUAAUAGGAAAAAAAUUCAACUUCGGAUAAUAAGAAAAAAAAUUUGUCAAAUUCACUGAUCAGUUAUUACUAGUAACAAUAAUAACAAUAUACUCAAACAGAAACAAGACUGUAAGAGUUGAAGGGAAAUGACCAAGAAAUUUGAAAAAAAAAAGAGACAAAUUUUAUUAACAAAUUUAAUUUGGCCCCCUAAAAUUAAAAUUUAUAAUAUUUUAAUUUUUAUUACAAAGGACUUUUAUGUGAUUUUAAAAAAGUUAGGAGAGGCCAUGGCCACUGUGGGCCCCUCAAUGGCUCCGUUCCUGUUUGUUAUAUUAUUUAUAUAAAUAUGGCACUGCUUUUUUUUUUCGGACAAUAUUUAAUCUUUUAAUAUUAGUAAAUUUUUAUUUUUAAAAAAAUUUACAUAGCAAAUACUAAGGAUUCACGUUGGUGACAAUAGUUUCCAUAUAUUAUGAAUUAAGGUAGAUGAUUUGCACCAUUUAACUAUUACUUUUUGUCUAGAGAAUACGAAAAUUCAUCUUGCGCUAUGUACGAAUUUUGACUACAAAGACAAUUUUGUCAAAUUUUUGAAAAAUAGGAGCAAAUUGUAGAUUCCAAAAAAUGCAUUGGAUCUGCAAAAUCACAAAAUUAGUUAUUAUUUUUUAGCACUGCUAUGGUACACUGAAAAGGGGUACAAGUCACCCCCUCAUCUAAGGACCCUUAGUGGGGAGUUUUUAAUAUUAAUGGACUUAAAAGAAUAUUAUAAUUAUAAAAAUAGUUUUUAAAAAAAAUUAUUUAUAAAAUUAGUUUUAUGCAAUGAAUAAUUUACCAUAUUUAUUUAAAUAUAAUAGUUUAUUUAUUCUCAAAAUGUUAAAAUUAUUUUUACUAUUUAAUACUAUACAUCUUUUGAAGUUUAAAUGUGUAAAAUAUAUAAGUUCGGUAAAUAAUGAAUAAUGUAUCGUUUUUAGAACGCGGUGAGUCAUCGUUUUUUAAAAAUAGUAAAUAAUUCACUGCAAAAAUCUAAUUAUAUAAAUAAAAAUUUUAAAUGUCCAUUUUUAUAAUUAAAAAAAUUCUAUAGCAUCCGUUUGGUUCGGAGUUAAGGAGUGGAAAAACCCUUUAACCCCGAAGUUAUUUCCAAACGCCUAAUUUGGGGAUUGGGGUUAACUAACCCCACCCCACACCACUCCACCCCACCCCACUACUCCAAGUCUCAAACCAAACAAAACACUGUUUUACCAAUUAUCUUUCUUAUCUCAGCCACUCCAAUCAAACACUAUUUUAUUUAUAUCUGGACUAAACCUAAUUUUCAACCAAAUACAAAAUUAUUCUAAUCCCAUCUUAUUCCUGAACUUAACUCUAUUUCUGGAAUAACAAAUUUUUACUUAACCCAGAACCAAACGGUUGCAUAGGUUUAGUCGAUCUCAAAACCUUCUUAAUAGGUCCUUAUAUUGUCCCUUUUUUUUUAUACUAAAAACUUAAAAAUUUUUUUAAUAAAUUCUAGGCCGAAGUAAUGUAUAUCAUACAUGUAGCAUUUUUUUUUUCAAUCAAAAUCUAUUAAUUAAAGAAAAUAUAAAACUGAAGUUCUUAUUGCAAAAUUUCCAUAAUAGAGGGGUCUCUGUACAUUUUUAUGCAGAAAUGGGGCUUCGUUUUUUUGUUAACGACAAUACAGGGAUCGAAAACUCCAACUCUCUCUCUCUCUCCCCCUUCCCCAGAUCUCCUUCCCGGCGAAACCCUAGAUCUCAAUCCCAGGUAUGCUCUUUUCCCUUCCUCCCCAUCUCUCUCUCAAUCUCCGCAUCUUUGAUUCCAUUUCAUUUCGAAGCAUUAGAUCCGUUAGUUUUAGCUUACACUCUUUGAUCGAUGUGAAAUGGCUCAUUAAAUCGCUAUAAAGUUGAAGGUUUUUGCCUAAUAUUGGGCUAAUUGAUGUUACUUUUGUGGCCUAGGGUUGUAGAUCUACGAGCAUUGUACGAGAAGAUUCGAACUAAGAAAUUUUAAGUUUAAAACGAGCGUUCAAAAUGUUGUAUCAAUAUUGAGUUUUAAUACGAUGUUUUCUAAUGCAAGUAGUUCUUAGGGGAAUCGUGGAUCGAUGUGAAAUCACUUAUUAAAUCGCUGUAAAUUCAAAGGUCCCCCCCCCCUCCCUCCCUAAAAAUAGGGUUAAUGAUUGUUUUUUAUUGGCCAAAAAAAGAAUAUUGAUCUAUGAGUGCUGUGGCAAGAAAGAUUUGGAACUUAGAGAUUGUUAGGUCUAAAAUGAGUUUCAAAACACUGUAUCAACAUUGUGGUUUUGAUACGAUAUUGCGUUUGCAAUUCUUUGGGGAAUCUUGGAUGUUUAUGCACUUCAGAUAUUUUUUUUUUACCUUUGCACUAGCUUGGAGAGCGUAAAUUUUGUUCUGAAGAAUGUGCAUUUUCUUAUACAUUAAAAGAAUUUUUUGUGAGUUUUGCUUGUAAAGAACCAUGUUUUGUGGACUGAUACAUUUUGUAGAAUUAUCUGAUUAAUUGAACUCAUUAGAUCCAUUUAUAAGCCUCCCAAUUAAGAAUUGCGAUAGUUGACCAGACAAAAACUUGGUAUUCAUUCUGCCAUUUUGCUUGCAUAAUUUUUUUUUAUUUUUCUCUGAGAUCUCUAUUUUAGAAUACACUUUUUUUAUGCAUGAUAUUUUACUUCAUCUGUGCAGUUAUUCAGGUAAACUGUAUACUGAGCGAGGGAAGUGAUUUACUGCCUUUACAUAGAGAGCCAUUCUUAUUGCAUUUGUUUACUUUUUAGGUACUAGGCUUACAGAGAGAUAGCUGAAUCCUUCGGAGACACAUCUUUUGAAACUCGAGUUUGUCAGCAUGGUAUGAGAAAAGGGAUCCAUCUAGUCAUUUAUCUCCUGAGCUAUCAUUCUUGUUUCUUAUCAUGAAUUUGAAGGUCUAAUGGUACUUGAAUCUUAUAUCAAUUUGGUUAUUUACUGAUUCAUGAAAUGCGGAUUUUCUCAUUUACUAAUGUUCUGCUAUUUUCCCAUUGCCAAGAAUUUAAGUAGCAAAACAAGUUCAGUCAUAUCUAUUGGUUUUAUUUGGAAUCGAUAUCUUCCUCUUGCAAGUUUUUCUUUACUUUGUCAAGUUCAAAUCAAGUUCAGUCAUUUCUGAUUGAAGGUGUCUAGUUCAUGUUGGCUGCUUAUGUUUAUAAAUUUAUUUUCUUUCACGCAAUCACACCUUUCCAAUGUGUCUUCUCGGUAAAGGAACAAUAGGAACAAUAGAAGUUCCUUUGGCAUUGGAUAUCAAGUGGAAAUGUUGACUGUUGAGGAGAUAAGUAGAUGCUAAACAUGAUAAUUGGCAUAGAUAGGGAUUAGCAUGAGAACUACUUUAUAAAUAAGGUUCUUUUGGAAAAAAAUGUUAGUACAUUUAGUAAGACCUUUUAAUGUACUUAUUCUUGACUAUAUUCAAUUCAGAUGACAAAUGGAUAGAUUGUGUUUAUGUAUAUCAGUCUUCAUCCUAUAAUUUUAGUAAUUAAUGACUAUUCAAAGUCUGAAGGAAAUCAACUAAAAAUUUGCUAUGUUUUGUUCAAACAGGUGGUUCUUGCAGCUUCGAUCAUAACAAAGUCUGGAAAAGGUGAAUUUUCUCUUGAACACUAUUCUGCAUUUCUUUAUACAUUACAAUUUAUAUUUCUUUUUAUUUUAUCCUUUUCUGAUAAAUAAUGUAAACUUCAGUUUCUUUUGCGAACUUUAGCUAAGAAACAUUGCAUUUGAUCUGUCUACAUCAUGAAUAUUUUUAAUAUUUCUAAGUUGUUUCGUGUCUGUGUGAUCCAAUUGCCUUAAGUUAAUGCUGCAAAUAUGUUUGUCAUGAUACUAUCUUAUGAGAUAAUCUUACUUUCAAUACCAAUUUGCAGCUUAAUUUAGAUAAGAAUCCAAUGAUACUUACUGUUUUAUUACUUUUUUCCUCUGCAUGAAGAAGAUAUCUAUAUACUAUUAUCAUUUAAACAUUCUUUAUCUUCUACGUAUGUUAGCAACCUUAUAGUUAUCCAUUAUCGCAUUUGAUCUAAAAUUAGGGCUGCCAAUCUGCCAUCAAUGAUGUUUCUGAAAUGUGGUUAGUUUUAUUUUCAUUAUUAUUUGUCUCUUAUAAGUGAAACUUGGCAUUGGUCUAAUUUUUUUUUCAGUUCUCGAUUUGAUAGAUUAGAAUACUUGGAUGUAGAUCAUUAUGUGUAUGUUCUGUUGUUAUGCUAUUAUGUUCCAUCAUGUUGUCUUACUUUUUGAUUGCAUUCAUUCCCCUGUAACUCCUUUCAACUACGAAACUUUUCUUAGUAGUAUUAUAUUGGUUGUCAUUUUUUACAAAACUUCUAUUUGUCAGAUGUGAAUGAAGGAUUUGAAAAUCCAUCCUGUUCACAGUAGAACUGAAAGCAUAUACGUCCUUUUGAUUUUUGCUGAUGAUUCAUGUCUUUUUGUAUAUUGUGUAUAAACAAAAUGAAAAUGUUAUGUGAAGAUAAUUGUGUGUUUUUGUACAAGUGCAAAUUUUCAUGAUUAGUCAACCAAGUUUGCUAAUCCUCAAACUAUUUUUUGUACCACAUGACCAACAAUGGUCCCAUGCUGAAUCCUUGAGACUUGCAUCUCUAAUCUACUAAAACGACAAAAUACCUUAUUCUCUUAAGUUAUCAUUUAAUUGGAAUGAUCCAAAAUUGACGAAAAUGCAUCUUUCAUCUGCCUCUAUCUCGAAGAGAGGAUAUUAAUGCUCAAUUUUAAGUAAUUGUUCUAGUAACUCUCAUUCCUGCCCCUCGAAAGCUUGGCACAAAUAACCGAUAUUACACACUGUUAGCUUUGCGCCAUCUCAUAUUGACACACUUCAGAGAUCCAAUUAUUGGAUAUCUGUCUUCUUUUACCAUUUUUUACCUGCUGAAUGCCGGAGGAAAAUAUAUAGCACAGAUGAAUUAUAAUUCCUUAUAGGGAAACCUUGUAGACUAUUCUAGACUCUAUUUCAUAUUAAUGUUAUGUUUUUCUUAAUUUUGAUUACUAUGACUAUUCUAGUACCUUAAAUAUGGCCUGAUGAAAUAUUGUCCUGUCUGACAUAGGUCCGUUUUAGACUCUGCCUUUGUACAUGAACUGCUUAUCAUAGGGAUUACUACAUCCCAGUAUUCUGGGUGCUCUGUUGUUUAAUCUCAUAAGAUAACUCUUGUUUUUUCUUCUGUGGACUUGAUUACAGCACUUGUUUCAAGACAGUUUGUUGAUAUGUCUCGCAUAAGGAUAGAAGGACUACUUGCUGCAUUCCCAAAGUUGGUUGGAACUGGAAAACAGCAUACUUAUGUUGAGACUGAAAAUGUUCGCUACGUGUACCAACCAAUAGAAGCAUUGUAUCUGCUACUUGUUACAAACAAACAAAGUAACAUUCUUGAAGAUCUGGAGACACUGAGACUCUUAUCGAAACUUGUAUCCUUUUCUGCUUCAAGUCUUGUAAUUAUAGCAAAGUUACUGUUUCAAUUUUAGAUUUGUUCUUGCAUCCCUCUGGGUUUGUUGUUAUUUCUUUCUCUUUUUUUUUCUCAUUAAACGAGCUUUAUAUUAGUGUCUGGAAAUUUUGGUCAUGUUGAUUGAAAUUUUGUAGUGAUGGUUUCCUUAUACUGUACAAAGGUACCAGAAUACUCACCCUCUUUAGAUGAGGAGGGCAUAUGCCUGACAGCUUUUGAGCUGAUUUUUGCCUUUGAUGAGGCCAUCUCUUUAGGGCACAAAGAAAAUGUGACUAUUGCACAGGUUAAACAGUACUGUGAGAUGGAGAGCCAUGAAGAGAGACUGCAUAAGAUGCUCAUGCAAAGCAAAAUUAAUGAAACUAAGGAUGUCAUGAAGCGAAAAGCUAGUGAGAUCGACAAAAGCAAGGUAUCUUUUUUUUUCGCCCUCCUCUUGCUUCAUCUUCUUAUAGUGAAAGCAGUCUAUUGUGAAUGUGCAAAUAUACGACUAUUGCCUUUUAGUUUUAAUUGAAAUCCUUUUUCAUCUCUCAACUAUGUCUUUCACUAUUAGAUGGAAUCAACUGUAAUGCAUAAGCGUACGGUUGACUUAUAUAAACCUUGGAUACUUCAUUUUCAAUGAAUUUGUGCCAAAUUUACUUGGCUGACAAUUUUUACUCCUGGACUUAUAUAAAAACUUUGUGUUAGGACAUUGGGCUUGCAUUUCAGCAAUUUUCUUUUUUAAAAAUUUUAUGUGAAAACUGAUAUGCUUGAGACCUUUUUACUAUAGCAUUUGUUUAUUUACAGCUUUAAUCUCCCUUAUCCUUGUUGUCAGACAAAUUGCAGGCAUCUAGCUGGUGGAAGCUUAAAUAUUCAAUUUUUUGUAACAAGAAAUAGACUCACCGGUUAUAAGAUGAUAAGAAAUAUGGGUAAAUUUGACAUAUGAUAAACCAAAUAAUUUUGCUUGCUUGAACUUUCAUGUGACUCUAAAUAGGCAGAAGAUUUAAUUUUGAUAUAUAUAAAACUUAAGUCUGUAAGCAAUUGUUGAUAUGAUUUCGAGUUUUUUUUUUUUUUCCUUCUGGAGACAUCCACUUGGGUCAUCAGUUUUUUGCUUCAUGGAUGCUAAAACUUUGAACCAUUAAUCUCCGUCAUUGCUGAUUAUCCAUUUCUCUAUCUCAUUAUCAGUUUUCUUCUUCAAAUGCUAUUAACCAAAUAAACAAUAGGCAUGAUUAAUCUAGCUUUUGUUGGUUCUAUUAUGAAAUUCUUUAAUGCUUGCAGAUUGAGAAAGGCAGAGGGGACAAAGGAGGAUUAAUGUCGAUGUCUGGUCCUCGAAGAAUUGAAAGUGCUUUUAGUGAUAUGAGCAUUUCUAGCAGUGGUAGUGGAUUUGGAAGUGGUUCCGGAUUUGGACUGAGCACGGAUGCUGACUCUUCCUCCAAGCCCAAAGGUUUGUACCUCUAGAUGUCAUUGCCUCAUUACAAGCUCAUUAUAUCAAAUUUGGCUAAUAUCACUGUAAUUUGUUUCUAAUUCUUGAGAGAUUGAAUUAUUUCUUCUGGAAUCUAUAUCCUAUAUUCCUUCAUGUCUUAGUUGCUGAAAUCUUUUGUAAAGAAUGUGCAAUAUGUGCAACUCCCUUUCAAGGAAAAGUGUAACUUGAAUCUUUCUUUGAUUUAACUACCCUUUGAAUGGAAAUGGUGUAUACUUGAACAGUGGCAUUAUUAGUUACGUGGUACAUAGCAUCCAUAUCUUAUAAUUUUCCUUCUUUCAUUAGGCUAAGCAUCAUAUCUUUUUGACACAUUAUCGUGCCUAAAAUUAACGUAAUACUGUGAAACUAAGUGUGUAUCAACUUUAAAUAUCAUAAUUCGUCUGAUUGAGGGAGAUCUAAAUUUCUGGAAAAAGUUUUAAGGUACUUUUAUAAAUGUAUCAAUUUGUUACAUUUUUUUUCAUUGUAGUCAUUUCUUUAGCCCACAUUUGUACAGCUGUCAUGUUGGGAAAACAUACUCAACUUUGGCGUUCAAUUUCACUAGCUUUGGUCUUCCAUUUUGUGUUUUGUUGUAUUGUUUGUCUUGUUAUGAAUCUGUAGGUCGUCCACCAGCUUCUGCUACAGCUCCGCCAAAAGGCCUUGGCAUGCAACUGGGCAAAACACAGAGGACGCAUCAGUUUUUGGAAUCUCUAAAAGCGGAGGGAGAAGUGAUUCUCGAGGACGUUCAACCAGGUGCUACUCAGUCAAAGUCAUCUCUGCCACUAAGUGAUCCUAUAACGUUGAACAUCGAGGAGAGGCUUAACGUUACCGUUAAGAGAGAUGGAGGAGUCAGUAAUUUUGAUCUCCAAGGAACUCUUUCUCUUCAAAUUCUUAAUCAAGAGGAUGGCUUUAUCCAACUUCAGGUUCUGAUACAUUUCUCUCACACUAUGAUUUAUCAUUUCAUUUGAAAAUCCAUGAUUCAAAUGCAUUUGCUAUUUUUAUAAUGAGAAUGCUCAAGACACAAUAGAAUUCAGAAAAAAAAAAAACAGCUGUUAUUUUAUUAGUGUGAGAAGCUUAAUGAAAUAAUGAAAUUGCUAUUUUGCUUGUUUUUUCUUGUAUAGUUCUGGUAAUUCCCUGGUUUGAAAUUGAAUCAGAUGACCUCAUCUAUUCCUUAUAAUGGAUAUUUAUUCCCCUUAGAUUUAACUAGCAGUCUCAUCUUUAUAGACAUGCAAUUGGACCUUGGGGUGUACUAUAGUGUGAUUUCCCUUGCAUGGAAAUAUCGACUGACAGUCUGUGGAGUUACUUGCUAGUCUAGAAAUUUUCUAUUGAGUUUAGUGUAUCUCCUUUCUUCGCAAUUGGAGUUGUGUUCAAGAUGAUAUGUACUGAUCCAGUAUAUCUAUUUAGUAACUGAUGCAAUCUUGCCGAAUUCCGAAGCUUUAAUCAGAAUCAUUUGUGACCUGUUCUGAUUUUAGUUCCUGUAUUAGUAGUUUACGUUGAGUAUAAAAUAUGAAAAUAUAGUUCUCUACUAGCUUCUGCUUUUAGAGACAAACUGAUGUUUUACUUGGUAUUAUAGUAGGAGAUCCUGAGUUUAAAUCCACCACAUUCCUAGCAUCAUUUAAUUUUUCCCACAUCUUGGGCCUAGUGAAAAGUCUUGAUCAUAGAUAUGAUGGUCUGCUGAAUAUAAGAUAUUGAAAACCCUUAUUCUCUAAUAGCUUUAGCUUUUAGAGUUGUUUAUCAAUUUAUGCCGACUAUCCAAUAUUUACUGAGUACGGUACCAUUUCCUUCAUAUUUUUUUAAAUUCUUCCAAUGAUGUAUAAGAUGCUCUUUCUGGCAGUAGACUUGUACCAUCAUUGCUGCUAUGUACAUGGAUAUUCAAUGAUAUUUCAGUGCUGAUUCUGCCAAGGAUUGUUUGCUCAAUCUGUUCAAUGUACGAAAAAUAGAUUUGGAAUGAUAGAAUUUAUGAUAGUGGGCCAAUUUUAUCUAACAGAUUGAAAACCAAGAUGUACCAGGCCUUAGCUUCAAAACUCAUCCCAAUAUCAACAAAGAAUUGUUUAAUAACCAGCAUGUUAUCGGGUUGAAAGAUCCAAAUAGGCCUUUCCCCACUGGCCAAAAUGAUGUCGGUCUGAUGAAAUGGAGAAUACAGGGCUUGGAUGAAUCCUCUUUGCCAUUGACUGGUAUGUAUUGCUGUAGUAUUAAAAGUAAGAGAUAUUUACAUACGCAAUUCCCCUGAAAAAUAUCUAUUUCUAUAUAUCACUGCAGAAUCUGAGUUUCAUAUAUGCGCUUCAAAAACUUAGUUUUCUACACAUUUGCCCUUCUACUUACAAAAUGUCCCCUGUGAAAAAUAUUUUUUUCCAAUUCAAAACCAAAUUCCACACAUGACUGGAAUGGACAAACCUGUAAUAAAAGUGGCUUGGUAAUAAAUUACACUUCACAGGGGUAUAUAUGAAAUUUGGACUUUUCAGGGUUGUAUUGUAAUAAAUAAUUUUGCAGGGGAAACCCCUUGCAAUUUGGACUUUUCAGGGUUAUAUUGUAAUAAAUAAUUUUUCAGGUGACUUUGUGUAGAACCCCUUGAAAAUAUUGAUGAUUACUUUUAGACUGUCUUGCUAACUUGCUCAUCUGGUCUUGCAGUUAACUGCUGGCCCACUGUCUCUGGAAAUGAAACUUUUGUGAACAUUGAGUAUGAAGCUUCAGAUAUGUUUGACUUGCACAAUGUUGUGAUUUCUAUUCCUCUUCCUGCUCUUCGGGGCCCACCAACUGUGAGGCAGAUCGACGGAGAAUGGAGGCAAGCAUUUUAAACUUAUUGUUUUAUUGGAUCUUCUUGGAUGUCAUCAAGUAUGAAUUGCUUUUUUUAAAAAAAAAAAUUUAAUUAAGAAGGCAAAAAGGAAAAACCGUUGGAGUAUCCAUAAGCUGAUUGUCUAAUUGUUUAGAUGUUUGAAUUGCAUAAAAAUUCACAAAUUUUCAAUCUAGUAUGCUUAGUUGGGUUCUUCUUUCUGCUGGAAAUGUAAAUUGAGAACAGUGAGCUUCUACUUGAAGUUAUCGUUAAUUCUAUUUUGAAAUUUUAAUCUGAUUUGUAAUAAUUUAUUCACUGCUAAUUGUCUCUGAGGUCCCUCUUUAAUUUCACGUAUAGCUCACCCUUUUGGUGUUGUCAAAUGACUCUUUCCAAUAAUUCUAAUAUUUGUCUCUUUAAGCUUUUUGUUUUUCUUUGUAUGUCUCCUUUUCCAGGUAUGAUUCAAGGAACUCCACACUGGAGUGGUCUGUUCUUCUUAUUGACCAAUCGAACCGCAGGUAAGCUUUUAUCUAUUCUUCAUUAGCUAUAAUUACAUUCUUCAAUUUUAUUUUUUUAACAUAUAAGAGCGCUUCAAAUUGGCUAAUUAUUAUCCCCUUUUUUUUUUCCUUUUUCUUUGUAGUGGAUCAAUGGAGUUUGUUGUUCCUCCAGCGGAUGCAUCAGCAUUUUUCCCCAUCUCUAUCAAAUUUACAGCUGCUAAUACUUACAGCGAUGUGAAGGUUAGAUUUAUCACAUACUCAAAUGUUCUUUCAUUUUCUAGAAUAUUUUGAAUGCGGUAUGUGAUGGUCUUGUAAGUUCAUCCUUUCGUGAGUCUAUAUUUCAUACAAAGUGUAGGACACCCUGUUUCCUGUUUAGCAACUUUGCACCAUUUACUGUGCUUGAUUGAAAGCCGGUCAUCAAUUUAUUCAUUAAUUUAACGAGUCACAUAUUAAUGGGAAGAAAGUUUAUAAAAGAAUCUUAACCGAAUCUAUCUGUUGUCUUCACUUGCAAGCUGACUUAUUGUGAAACUGUAGUAGAUAGCAAAUAAAUAUCACAUUCUAUAAUGAUUUUUUGUCGUUCUUUGACCUCAUUUAUUACUACUUGAACCACAAUAUUCAUUAUUUACUUUGUGAAGCAUUUCAUGAUAAAUUGUUCGACAUCAACCUAAGUGUACUCAUCAUUCGACUUCUUGCUUAUGCUCCUUUUUUAGAUAAUGCUCCAUUUUGUUCUUUUCUAGUCUCUGUUAAACUUAUACCCUAUUACUAACAUGAUAUCCAAAAACUAUUUUCAGGUCGGUGGCAUCAUUCCGCUUCGAAGCGGUGCUCCUCCCAAAUUUUCACAACGGAUUCAGUUGAUUGCGGAUUCGUAUCAGGUGGUUUAAUUCUCUGAUGAAAAUGUUGCUUUACUACUAUUAAUAAAGUCACACUUGUGCGCAGUUCAAUUUGAAUGGAGUAAACUUUCUCUUUUAUUUUUGCACCCCUUUUUUUUUUCCAUAUAUUUAUAUCACCAUUUUAACUGAAGAAACAGCUGCACAGGAUUUUUUUUUUUUUUUUUCGUUUUUUGAUUAGUUGGCAGCAGUUAUGUCAUAGAAGUAUUUUUAAUAUUCUAUCACACAGUUAUUUUUGUGCCAGCUGAGAUAGUCCUGCAGAAUUUGAGUUUAUUGUUUGGAAAAUAUAUAUAUUCAGCUAUAUUGUUGUUCUAAGUUCUAUCUUUAAAAUGAGCAAGAUUUCUAUCAGGAAUAAAUUUAAGUUAUUAUCUUUUUUUUCCUUUCGGCGUGUGGAGAAGUUUGUACUAGAGUGCACAAAUGUGCAAGGAAGGAACGAAUUUUCUCUAUUCAAUUUCAGCUCUAAAAGUUCGCUUCAACAAAUUUCUCUAAUUCACUCUUAUCUGGUUCCCGUAUUAUCUUCGACAUGUGGUGGAUAUCACAAAUAAUAAAGCUGGGAAUCAAAUCCGUUAAAACUGAGUGUUUUUCUACUAUGAUAGUAGUUAGAGAAACCGUCCGUAAUGUGCAGAAUCCUCUAGUUUGAUAUCUGCUCUUUCGACGAAGACAUUUUUUUUUUUUUGAUCUUUUUGUAUUUUCUGUUGAAAAUCCCCUAUGCCGAAAAUUUCUGUUAGCCUAAACUCCAGUGGUUAGGGGGGAUUUCCGUCUGCACUGCCGACGUUGGCGUGUGUCGUGGCAGACGGUGCAAGCAUUCAUCUUUUCCGGCAUCUCUGGUCCAAACUGAGCCCUGGAUGGCCCUCUUGCUGGCAGCCACUACGGCUUUGCUUGCAAAAAAGUUGGGACGGCUGAAAAAAGUUAAAAAGUUCUUUGUGGAAUCCCAGUUUCCAUCUGAGGAGAGAGAUAGAGCACGCGGAAAUCAUUAGCUCGCCCAGAAGUUUCCCUGGAGGAACACUUGAACACUCCGGGGAUUUACACUUCAGCUAGUGUUAGCGGAGCGUGCGAGCGUAGAGGCCUGGCCUGGCCUUAAAUCCAAUUCUAUCAUCAGAAGCUGCUUGCUUUACCAAAAGCCAUAGUAGACAGAAACGAUUGUAGCAAUUUCAGUAGAGGAUUUUUUUGACAUUUAGUUCACUCAAAACUUUUUUUUUUAUAUAUAUAAAUAGCCUCGAUAAAAUUAUAUUUAUAAAAAUAAACCUCUUUCAACCAUAUUGAGGCUAUAUCCCGGAUAGGUGAAGGCCAUGAGCGUUUUUAAGUCGAACGUAAUAAUCUAAUCACCAAUGAUGACUAGAUUACCCUUCGUUAUUAUGUUUUUUCUGUGUUCCUUUUAACUUUCAUUAUCCCUAAAUCAAAGAAUAGAAACAAGGGAGUAGAUACAAUUUAAAUACGGUGAUUGGAUCACGGUAUUAAACUUAACAUAAUCCUCCACCAUCCAAAGUGGCACUCGCUUGGUCAGAAGAGGACCAGUUUUUACAAAUAUAAAUUUGCUGAAACCAUUAUACAAGAAAAUAUUUUCGAGUCUUAAUGCCAAAAAUACCCCCUAUCAAUAGCUGUGCAGGGUCGGCUGACCAAGUUAUUUCUUUCUCUAUUCAACAAAACGAAAAGAAACAAGCAUAUUUUCAUAUAUAUAUAUAUAUAUAUAUCUGAACAGAUUAUCCCAAGAUUACCUCAACUUUUUUCUCGCGUAUUCAUGUGCUAACACAAGUAAACAAUUAUUCAUGGCACCAAGAAACUUCAUCACCUGGUUGCACCCUCCGCAACACAGCGGUUCAGCAGAGAUGGCCCUCAGAAAAAAGAAGAAAGGGUUCUCCUCGCUAUAACAACGGAUUGGAUUCCGAUGAAUAAAUAGGUUACAUACAUUACGCCGAAUGGGAAUGGGCACAAAAAAACUAUUACACAAAGCUCGCUCACACGAACAAACCGCACAAGAAGGGCGAAAUGUAUGGAUAAUCCCUGUAUUGUCGCAAUAUUGCUGAUUAGUCUCCGAACCUUUCGCUCACACUUCAGUAUCUGAAGUGUUAUUAUAUACUGCCAACCCUAACCACCAGAAGAAUCUGGCACGCCACUUUCUCCCAUAAAACGGCCUUUCAAAUCGCGAUGAGAAAGUUUAGGAUGUAAGCAGCCGUAUAUAGUACAGGGGGCUACCCAUUCAUUUCACCCGAAAAAAAAGUGAAAGACGAAAUAAAAUUCUCAUCCAGCAGCUGUGGUGCACAACACGCACCGCAUACGAGACUCACCUGAUCGGGUUUCAUCGUCAUCCUCGCCGUCAUUGUCGUCGUCGCUGCUAGAUUUAGUGCUCUUUGCUUUCAUAGUUUCCAACCCAUCCAUGAGGCACGGGACGUGGUACCCGUGGCAGCAGAAGAACACGACAACCGACAGGUCACGGAUCGAGAAAGGGUCGAAGCAGAGGCAGCAUCGCCCUCCGCCCCUUGUCCUCGAUUUUAAUUCGAUCGUUCUUGAGCUUUGGAGUCUCUCAAUUGAGCGGGUGGAGGUACCGUCUUCCCUCUUAUUUUGCGCCUCUUCUUCUAUACUACCCAAGUACACGGCCCGGCGAGCCUCAUUGAAGUACUUAACCAAGAGGUUGACGCAAUCAGCCUGUUUAAGAACUUUUCAGUUGAUUAAUUGUUAUAAGCUACUUUGCACGACACUUGAAGUAUUGAAACCUACAUAUGGGUGUUUUGUUAAAAUGGGGUAAAAUAUAGGAUUUAAAAUUUCACAGUUCAAUGAAAAAUUGCAAUUUUACGUCGCAAUGUUUAUAGGCGGUACCCUACAAUUUCAGCCAAGUUUAGAAGAAAAGAUGCACCUUGAGGAUGUCAUUGCAUCCGUGUCUAAGCGACAUUUCGGUUCGGUAAUCGGUUAUAAUUUUGACAAGGCGGUCCCGUAACCUACAACAAUCAGAAGGAAUUAUCAGUCAUGCCAUUUCAGAGGAAUUUGACAUAAUAUUAAAAAAAAGUGAACAGCUAAAUGAUGGUAAGCCGACAGAGAAAUAAAAUACAUCCCUAUUUGCAAUAAUUUCAAGAAUAUUACAAGAAAUAACAUUAGCAAUUGGAAACAAAUUUUCAACAUGCCGUAACUGCAAAAUUAGCUAAAAAGGAUAAUUAAUGGACAUAGAAAGUUCAGCGAAAUGAGCUUCAUUUUGUUGAAAAACAGAAAAUGUGGUGGUUAAUUGGAAUAAAUAAGAUGCAGAAAAUAACAAAGUUGCUGCUCACCGAGGAAUUUCUAAUCCAUUGGGCACAACAUUAACAAUGUAGAGAGGAUCAAGAUUACCAACAGUGUGCUCCAACAACAUUCCUACCUGCUCAAAUAGUCAAAUAUACGGAAUAUACUGCAUAAAUAUAAGAAAAUGAUAGUUUAAUUUAAAAAUAUAUACAAAAUGAUGGUAUAAAUAUAAAUAAAAAUAUAAAUAAAAAUUAUAUAUAUAUAUAUAUAUAUAUAUAUAGGCUGGGGCUACUAUACUCUUAUGAGUAUAGACUCUCUUGUACUCAUAAAUUUUUAACCGUUGAUUGAUAGGAUGUGUGGUUAGGAUGACAGUGGUUCCCACUUAGAAUGAUAGUGAUCUCCUAGGGUUGAGUGGGUAGUUGGUUGAAUAGUAUCAUCUAACGGGUGAAAAUGAUCAAUAGAAUAAAUCUAAGGGCAAAAAACUUAUGAGUAUAAGGGAGCGAAUACUCAUAAAAGUAUAGUAGCCGGACUCAUAUAUAUAUAUAUAUAUAUGUAAAUGUAUAUUAAUUGCCCCUUCAUUGUACCAUUUCAGGCUUCUGAAGGCAUUGCCUGAUUAACUCCUCCCAUAGUUCAUCAUCAUGUUGAUCGGUCACAAAUUCUACAGCCUACAUAAAGUUAAAAUAUUCAUUUAUUAGACACCAAGAAGUAUAUUAUUAUCCAAUCAUAAUGCAGUAAUUACGAUGGAAUGAAAUGUUUUUGGUAAACAAGGACAAAAGAAAAAGAAGAAAACAACUGACACAAACAAAGUUACUUAUGCACACCUCCUGUAUGUCCUCCAACUUAUUUAUAAUAAUAGCAAGGGCCUGUUUUGCAUUUCCCAUCCUACCAAGGACAAAGACUUGCUCUCUUAUGAGCUCUUUCCUAGCACAAAUUUCAUAAGCCUGAAAGGUAAUAAAAUGUUAUUUAUUUAUUCAGUAAAUCUGAAAAAAUGUUAGCAAAUCAAGUCCAACCUUGUCUAGCCUGUAAUGCUGACUGGUACGAAGAAAAGGGAGUAGCAAUCGUGAUUCGUAAUCUGCAUAAAGCUCUACCUAUGACAUAAAAGGACAAAGUACACAACGAAUAAUUAAUCAAGAAUAAGUGUUAUUGCAUGCACAGCAAGUACUGAAAUUAUUCAAAUUCAAAAAGAGUAGAGCUCAGGGGGAAAAGAAAAUUGUACAAGGAAAAAUGAUGAUUGCCCACAGUAAUGACAAAUAACUAGAGAUAGGUAAUUAUUGUGAUAUGAUCCUGAAGGGAUGAAGAACAAAUAAAAUUCAGUAAGAAAACAGAUAUACCUGCAUAUCAUGGAACUCUUUUCCAGCAUUAAUGUCAACCUCAAAAAGGGAAUGCAAGUAAAGAUGCAAGAAAUAUCUCUUGUCACACUUUUUAUUGGACUGCAAAAGCUGCCCGACAACUUCAGAUGGAGGAAUUAUAUCACGGUGUUGGAUCAAUAAAAGAACUGUUCUUUUACUGUCAAGUAUCAUAAGAUCGACCACCUGUAUAAGAAAUAAUAGUAAAUAUAAUAUUAAAAGAAUUGCCUUAACGAUUGCAUAGAUGUACAAGUUAAUUCUAACAUUUAUUUGACAAUAAAUAUAAUUGCUAUCUUAGUAAUAUUUUGCUAAUAGGGACUAAAAGCAACAUGCAUAAACUUCAACACAACCAAUAAAAUGAGAAUGCAAUAACAUAUAAUUUCAUGAUAACUUGAAGCUCAACAUACAUUCCUUUCUUUCAGUGAGCAGCUGUUAAUACCUGUAGAUCAUAAAACUCUUAAAUGCUUACCGGUUUGGAGUGUAAUCAUCAUAGUGAAAGGGUCAACGUUGUACUCUGUUUGAAAUGCAUUUUGUCUAUUCUUAUCCUUCAACUCCUCUCUCUAGGCUUCAAAGUUUUUAAAAAACCUUUUUUGGAUAUAUAUGAAGACUAACACAUUUUUUUGAGUGAGAGAAAGCACAGUAUGCACAAACAAGAAACAGAGUCAUUUCAGCAGACUAUUCUUGUCAAGAUAAUCGUAAAAGGACCAUUUUGCAGAAAAGAAAUAGUAAAAAUUUGAACCAUAGAUUUUAACAAUGGUCAGAUGCAUGAGGAUUUUUACUCAUAAAGGAGAAACAACAAUAGGACAGAACUUUUCAUCUGAGCCACAAGAACAAACAACAGUAUUGUAUCCAAGUACUAGAAGAGGAAUAAACAAAAGCGUAUGCCGCAGAGCGCAAGGCUACUUUUAGUGUAGCCUCCACAGUAAUGAUAUACAACCUUACCCUAGUUAAUAAAAGGAUUUCCAUGAAUCAAACCAGCAUCUAGAGGUUGUAACAAAAGGAAUCACUACAGUUAUUUGCACAAGCAGAUAGCUAAAACGAGUGGGCUGUAAGCUUCAUAAGCAUACCAAGUAUGAUAGAAUAUAGCUCUUCCCAUGAAAGUAAAACUAAGAAAAGAAAGUAAUACUGAGAAAAGAUAAAAGUGAAAUUAUCGUCAACAUUAGGGCUGAUAGCAUACCUUGUCAUGAACGGCAUGAUAUAAACUGUGCUUUUCAAUAAAAUUGAAAACGUCAGGCUUCAAUACCUGAAAAGACAAAAAUGGAAAGAUGAAGUGGGAAGGUAACAUCAAUAUGCGAAUUAAGGCUUGUUUGGCCUGUUUGGGCUUGGAAGAAAUGCUGUUACUCAAAGAGCCGUUCAAAGCAGUGGUAAUAUUUUCUUUUUUUAACCGUAAGUUAUCCUCUACAGCUUCUCACUGCAGAAGAAGCAAAAUGUUCAAAUUGGAACUUUUGGUUUUGGGGCCUGAAAGACUAUUUUAGUCUCCCAACAGCAAAAGCUCGGGACAAUUUGCUAGCCAAACACAUGGUUUAUGGAAGCUUCCACUUCGUGCAUAGAGAUGCUUUUCCAUAAGCCAGGCCAAAAUGUCGCAUGAAGCGUAAGUACUUACAUCAGCAUACAAACCAAAGGCUUUCUCAUACAGUCCAUUGAUCACAUAUAAUUCAGCUAAUGCCUGUUACAAAAACAUGAAUAAAUAAAUAGGAGAUAUAGAACAGAUGUACCAACGCAAAAAUUCCAAACUAACCUCUUUCAAAUUAUCAGUCAUAGAGGAGGUAUUCAUUUGUGGCUCAAUGGCAGAAAUAACAGGUGAUACAGAAUAUAAUGUAGGCGGCCACGAUUUAACAGUUGACAAGAGAAGUUUGUGAAAUGGCGGGUUAGUAGCCAAUGCAACAAGGGCAACCUGUUCAUAUAAAGAAUAAUAUUCAGGAACUCUACAAGCUAAUGAUAAAAAUCUUACUCAUGAAGCAACAACUACAGAUCCAUUAUUUAUCUUACAGACCUCAUAUGCAGUAUCACUCAGCUGAGGAUAGUCUGUAGGAAUGUAAGGAACCAACACAGGAAGCUGGCGCAGAUGGGCAAAGUGAAAAACCCACCUAUUGAAGAAAAAGUUUUAGUUAACAGAGAAUUGAAAACUGUGAAAGUUAAAUUGUGGGCUUUUGCAAACCUUUCCCAUGCUGAAGCGGAUCCACGGAGUAACUUAGGACACAAAGAUGCAGCUUCUGCAUAUUUCCUUUCAACAAUUAGAUGAUCAAGGUAUCUUGAUCCCACCUGACAUAAGAAGAGCACAAAAUCAUUGACCAAAUGAAAUGUUCAAUGAAUCUAGAGAACUUGAAAUUAGUAGCAUGUAUUAAAGAAUUUAUAAGAAGGUAGCAAAAUCCUAAUAAGAAUUCCAGAAUAUAAAGAUAAACUAUUAUAAGAAAAUCAUAGUAGACAAGGCCAUAUGCCACUGAUGCUAUCUUAAAGAGAGCUUAUGACUUUCUGCACCAAACAGGAUGGGAAACACUGAAAGGUUAUUAAAUGAAUGAGAAAUAGCUAUUCCGCCUACAAUUCUUUUCUUGCCAACCCACGAAACCAGUUGAUAAUAGAUUUCAGUUUUUGACCAACAUUUUUAUUGCUAAACAAUCCCACUGGGCCAGGAUUAUAUGUUUCUUCAACCAGUUAUAUUAUCAUUGUACACCCAGUAACGAUGGCAAUGGGGAUAAAAUCAACAGUUAAUUGGAAGCGGAUUUUAAAUUGUUGCUUAAAAUGUCCAUUGCUAGAUUACAUAGUAUAAAGUGCCAUGCUGUUUCACAGCUCGCAAAAUCGAUGAGCUUGACAAUGUAGCCUUGUGCACAAACAAAAAAAAAAAAACAGAAUUCUGUUUAAUUUAAAUAGUAGGGUUGCUAUUCAUACAAGUACAAUAUCGACUCAAAAAAAAAAAAUCUUUAUGAUGGCAAAUGCAAUCACAGGCGUUACCAGCCCCUCCUUUAACUAACAGAUUAAUAGCAAGAAAGAGAAAGAAGCAGCGCCACAAUAAUCUCUUAAUCAAGUGCUUAGAGGGGAUGUGGAUCAGUAGAUCUCAUUUGCUACAACUGACCAGCGAGUAAGUACUACUUUUAAUAAUAAGUAAAUAAUGUGCAAUUGUUUGUCAUGGAAAAUAUUGACAACUGUUACGCUGGCAUGUACAUCCACCCAUAUGAUAUUGCACCAUUGAUAAUUAAAGGAAAAACAGCAGAGAUCUAAUGUACCUCAUCAAGAAGUUCAGUCCGUCCCUGUCCCGCUUCAACUGCAGCUAAUGCCUUUUCAUGCCAACCAUGAUGAAGAAGCCAAGCUAUGUGAUCUUCAGCAUCUCUAAUUUUCAUACAGAUAUUGGAUAGUUAAGAGCAUGGAGUCUGCAAUUUUACCGAGCUUCAAAAAUACACAUACUCUUGUCCAUGUUUGAUGACAUUUUUCAGAUCAAAACAAGCAAGCAAUUAUACAAGUUGAAAAUAUAUCAGAUGGUCAAAUCAGAAAUUUGCAGGAUUCCCUCCCUAGUUUAUUUCUAUCUCAGCCCAAACCCUUGAAACAAUUUAGAAAGGCCCAAUUUUAUUUAGAAAAAGGAGGAAGAGUAGGUACUUCCCCAAAAUAGCAAUUCAAAUCAUAACAUGUACAUAGAUAGUAAAAUGUAAUGGCAUGCAUACAUACACUAUAUAAGUACAUUGUGAACACCAAUGCAAAUAAGUCAAAGAUGCUGCUAAGUUCAAGGGGGAAAAAACAUAAAAUAUAGAACGAUGGUUCCUAGAGUAACAGCCUAACGAGUUAAAAGACACCAGAAAAAGCUUGAAAAAAAGAAGAAGCUAAAGUACUUAAAAUGAGUAUAAAUUCUACAAAAUCCUCAUAUACCUAGGCCUCGCAAUCACUAUGUCUUUGGGAGAUACGAUAUAAUAGAGAGGUUCAUCACCAGCAGCCCACUGACCACCAGCAUAGCUGCUUCCUAUGCAAAAGUGCAAAAGCAGUUAGAAGUUAGCAUUCCAAACCAUGCAACUACAGUUUACAUAUUAUAAACAAAAUGAUUAGGGCUGUUUGGUCUAAUUGUAGCUUAGCAGUUACUUCUACAAAUAGCAAUUUGAAGAAGUUAGUUUUUUUAAGCAUUUGUAACAAACCUAGUCCCUAAUGAUCAGGUUUCCAAUUUGUCCUCAAGAGUUUCAAUUGUAACAAUUUAGCCAUAGAAGUUUGACCAAAAUAUCAGUUUUGUCCUUUGAGCUUCCAUCAUAACAACUUCGUCUCCGAAGGCUAAUCCGGAUUUCAGUUUCGUCCUUAAUGUUCCAUUUCUAACAAAGCAAUAUCUAACUGCAAUGCUGACCUAGCCAAGUUAGAAGUAUAAUAACAAUAGAGCGACUUGCUCGUUAUGCAAAAUGAACUUCGAAGACUAAAGUACUAAAACUAUUGAGGAAAGUGAAAUCAAAAGCGAAGUUCAGGGAUGAAAUUUGUAAUUAACCCUUUUGAUCAAAAUCUCCUUUACAGCCUCUCGUUGCAAUAGAAGCAGAAUCUCAAAUGGGAGCUUCCGCUUGGGGGCCAAACCCCUUUUAAUUUCUUGUCCAAAGAAAAUUUUGAGCCUAUUUGUUAGCAAAAUAGCUGGUUUCUAAAGCUUAUGAUAGGGAAGCUAUUCCAUAAGACAGGCCAAGCAGGCAAUUCAAAUUGGUAAAGGGUGUUUGAAACCUGUGAAUGGAGCAUGUGCAAGAGCAUAAUCUUUUGCCUUAUAAUGUUCAUAGCCAUGAACAGGUAAAGCAUCAGUUGUUAGUUCCUCAUUUUUCCAUGUGACAAUUCGUAUUUCUGGCCUUUGUGCAGUUCCCUGUGUAAAAAUUCCACGCACAUUAAGAACAAGUACUUCUGACUAAUGUAAAAUAUUUCACAAGAGCUAAAGUCAGAGAAAUUUACAAUGUCCAAUGCAACCAGCAAACAGGAAAAAUUAUUGCCAGCACCUGUGCACCACAUCAGCCAGCGCACCACCCAUUCUCUACCAUUCAUCCAUCACAUACUUCUAGAUCAAUAAAUGCUAGGAAGUGGGGACUGAACAGUGAGAUGGGAUGAAGGGCGGAGCAUGGGCGGGGGCACAGGCUGACAAGAUGUGGCAAAUGCAGGCAAUAAUCUAUCCUACUUAGGCAAUCAUUAGUAUUACUAACUGCUCUGGAGCAAGACUUUUUGAAAGCACAUUGAUCAGAAAACAAAGAACCAUGUAGCCCAGUAAAUCUGGUUUGACCCUAGUUGGGAAAACAUCUAGCUUAGUGUUGCCAGCCAUCCAAACUCAUUUUGACCUUGUUCACUUUCUUAAAAUUUCAUACUUUGGUCAUAGCUAGUGCAAUUACAUAACUGUCCAAAAAUUUGAUCAUUAGGCAUGUUUUGGUAGAUAGCGUUUAGCGUGCUAGUAAAUGCAGGUCUGCAUUUAGACCUUCUAAAGGUGAGACAGACUUAUUUUUGUUCCCACAAUUUCAUAUAGCCAUAUAAAAAGAAAAACCACACAAAAGUCCAUAAACAAGAAAAAAGACUUUCAAAUAAUGUCAAAUGAGAUCACUGCAAUAUUAUACUUUUCUCUUUAACUCAUGGUUUCUCAAGCUUCCCAUAGCCAAAAACUCCAAGAUUUGCAAAAAAACCUGAAACUGGAUAUGAGACUAAGAUUUGGACCUAGUCAUAAAGUCACAAUAGAGUUGACAAUAAAGCAGCAUUUCAUUUUAGGGUAUUUCACAUAAGUAACUGCACAAAAUCCUCUAUUUGAUAAAUGUAUACACGCGACAUCAGAAUUUUCACAUAUACCCCUUGGCAGUGCAGUUUAAGAUAAUGCUCUCACCUUAAAUUAGGGUUACAAUUUACAGGGGAAGGGUUCUAAAAAUAACCAUCCAGAAUAUAUUUCUAAAAAUAAGCCCCUGUAAAAAAAUCUGAAUUGUCAGAUGCGCGUGUCCUUUGGAACUGCCGCUCAAAAAAAAAUGUUGUUACCCUAAACUAGAGAUCCAUUUUACAGGAAAGCUGGUUUUGUUCAGAUUUUUUAUUUUUUUGGUAUGUAGAGGAAGUUUUUUCUAAAACGAUGAGAUAUUUUCACUACAAGGAAAUAAUAUUUCGCAGGAUAUUAAGUAUAUAUGCAAUUAGUUAGUACUUUGAUAGAGUAUAAGUGAAAUUUGCUAAAUAUAGUUUGAAAAUGCUAAUGUUGUCAAUCUAAAAAAUCAUUCUUUAAGCUACUAAAUGAAAAUACCUGCCGUGAUGGGACAGUUGUACUGAAAUCCUUUUCUCCAUUUUGCUCCUCCGGGAUGUAUGCUAGUACUACUAAAGCAUCGCCGUAUGGAGCAAUACCAGAAAUGUAGUAACUAGUUUGAAAAGAGGCCACAAUAUCCACAUACUUAGUACUUGAAAUGGAAAUAUUUGUCCGUACACCAUUCACACCAUUGGGAGAAUUAGCUCUAAUGGCAGCAAUCUUUACACUCGUUCCCCAGCCAAUGACCAAGAGAGUGUCAUCCUAGAUACAACAAAUCUUCUUAGCAUGUGACAUAGAAAAUUUCCAGAUUCAACAUAGAAAGAGGAAAGAACCUGCAAUUGCUAUAAACCUUCUCAAAAGUAUUUAAGAAAAAAAAAGAGAAGAAGAAAACAGCCAUCAUUAGCUGAGUUAGGCCUGGCUAGAACUUUUGACAACUGCUGCAUAAUAGAGUUGUUUGGGGAAGCACAAGCAGCUUUGUCAUUACAUUUCAUUACAUUUCCCUAGCAGCUUCUCAAUAACCUAAUUGGAACAUCUGCUUUUGAGGCCCAAACACUCAUUUUAUCAUCUUGCCAUAGCAAAAGCUCUAGAGACUCUUCAUGACAAACUCCUAGUAACUGUUUCUUGAAGUAGAGAAGUUAUACCAGAAACUAAGCCAAACAAACAAAUUAGUGCCCAAAUACCCUCUAAUUUAUUCCUUUAUAAUCAUAAAGAGAGUAAAAUGCAAUAAUAAACAAUCAUGCACUUAAUUCUGCUACUGCCCAUGAUUCAUUGCUCCUCCAUCUUACCUCCACCCCAUCCUGAUAAAGUAUUAACAAUAAAAAUAAAAUAAAAUAAAAAUAAAAGAAGAGACUUCCAGAUCAGAUAGGUAGGCUUUUCGUUGGUAUUCAUUAUAUUCUCCGGUAGCUUGAGUUUCAAAUUAAUACUGAUUCAAAACUGUAGAAAAAUUUUUACUGCCGACCUUUUCAAUUGUCUUAUUUUCUGAUAAUUUAGUGGACUGCCAUCUGAAAUCUGAAAAAUGUUCACCAAUUUCAGCAAAUGGUAUAUCAUUAUUUCGACAUAAAGCAAUUUCCGGCCUGUAAAUACACCACUUACUAGGCUAAAACAAGGCCCAAACUCAAGAUAGCUGAAAUUCAGUCUCAAUAACACACAUAUGCGUGUUACUUGUAUUACUUUACGGGCCAAUAAGAACAGUAUCAUAUAUCUAUUUCUAUCAGUCAGGAACAGUAAAUCUCAAAAAUCUCAAAUGACUUAAUAUUUUGAGCAUGAUGAGGUCAAGCACAACAUUCUCUUUUGAAAUGGUUGCCUCAGCCAGACUACUUCAGAAUGAAAAGGGGAAACUUCACAGAAUAUAUUUUACCUGCCACACCAAGUGAGGAAGUAAAAGCUCUGGACGGGGGAUUCCCCUCGGUCUCUCAAUAAAAGAAAUUCGCUGAUGAUUUGCCAUGUCAUAAACUUUUACUCCUGCAUCAUUAGCCCAAGCAAUAAGACUUGUUCUCCACUUCACGGUAUGAAUUGGACCCUCACCGUCAUGCAGAAUCUGAGAAGAUACAAGGAUGCUGAAUAAUUAAAAUCUGACAAAUCUACAUAUAUGUACCCCCAAAUUACACAUUUAUAUACAUAUAUUCUUGUAAAAUCAGAAUUUAUAUCUUUUCAAAAGUGCAAUUCUUAUAGAAAUACUCGUUUUUAACCUGAGUCAUCCAAUUCAGGUGAAAAUUUGGCUUUGCACAAGAACAAAGCUUUCCAAUGAGGGGCAUUUUGUAAGUAGAAGGGUUAUAUAUUUAAGAAAUUAAAAUUUUGAGACGCAAAUAUGAAAUGAGUCUUGCAGGCGUAUUAGUAUAUACGUUAACAUCUCGAGACACAAGCGGGUACUAAACCGAAAUAUAUUCUAUAUCAAGAAAUAAGACAUACCUGCUUAUUAUAACCUAGCCAGUUCUUCAUGUUGAGAAAUAGUUGACCAGCUAAACCACCCGCGACAAACCUUCUUGAGGAUUUCCGUGAAUAGUCAGGGUCUAGAGCUAUUGCUUUCAUAGGCCGAUGAUACUCGAAUUUCAAUUUUUCAUCCGUAAAAAGGCUGCUUAUAACUACAGAUCCAUCAUCUGAGCAGCUACCAAUAAAUUCACCUUCUGCAUCAAAGCUAAGGUCGUUGACUGUAGCGGUAUGAGCAGCAAAUUCUUUGACCUGUAAAUAUAAAGUGUUGAGAACAUCGGCAUAUUUCGGCAAGAUAAUGGCAAGGAGUAGUAGACAACAGGGCAAAUCAGAAUAAAAAUGACAAGUACUUCUCAAAACAACUAAAAAUCUGGUCCAACCAAUAUGUCGGAACCUCAAAUAUCCUUAAUCUUCCUAAAGAUGAAAAAUCACGCCAUGCAAUCAAAACUACUUCAACUAUAUUGAACCUAAGUUAGAUUCAUCUAAGCACAAACUAGGGAUUGAGUAACUCUAAAGAAUAACAACUAACAUUUUAUACAGCUAUACGCGGUCAGCUAUAUAGGUCGUAUACUUUACAUAAGAUUCUUUGUGAAAUAAAUAUUAUCAUGUAUUUCCUUAUUAUGUCCUCCAGUGUUCAUUAUAAUAUUCCCUUCCCUCAUAAGGCAACUUCUACUUGAAUACUCUUUACUGACACCCCAAGUGGUCUUCUUUGUGCAUGUCCAAACCAUCUCAAUUGGUUCCGCGUGAUUUAACCAGUUGGGUGCUAUACCUAAUUUGCUACUUAAUAGAAUCCUUUCUUUACUUUAUCUUCCAUACUAGCCCCACUAACAUGACUAACUUUAUAGUUGUCUAAUAAAAUCUUCCUUCUACUUUCAGGGGUAUAACAUUAGAAGCACUUCUUUCACUUCUAAUCAUCUUAUGCUUCCGUGCUAGAGCAUAUGGAACGCAGUUUUUUACAAAUGAAACAGUAAAGAUAAAAAAAGAAAAAUUCAUGGUGGAUAAACAUAACUAAGAGGGAUUUCUGUCGUUAACUUGGAUACAUCCAAGUGAAAAAGAUGGCAAAUAGUCUAACAGUGCAUUCAAGAUGUUGAUAAAUCAUCUUAUGCUCCAGUCAUCAAAUAAAAGCUCAUCAUCCAACUACCAUUCAAGAUAACCUACAAAGCAGUUUAUAUUGGGAGCUACACACAAGCCUAUAUGUGCAGGGUAGGGCCCCUCCUUUAAAAAGCAGAUGAUACAAAGGCGUAAAAACAGGGAAUCAAUAUCUAACUUACAAGACCAAGAGAAUAAAAACAAAUGUGAUUGUUUCAAUGAUUGGCUCUCACAAUGCCUAGAUGGUGGAAGUAAUGCUGUAAUUAGGGUACACUAUCUACAAAAGAUAGGGGAAAAAAUAAAAAAACUUUAAUUACUUGAACAAAAAAGAACUGUUCUAAUCAAAAUUAAAAACUACAAAAAUUAAGGUCGAUCUCCCGAUCUUUAUAUUUGAACAUUGAAAAUUCUAAUUCAGUUUUCUUGACCAUAUUUCGGACAGCAAAUCCCCACAUCAACAAUAUUUCACUUCAAAACCAAUCUCAUGACAGAAAUGAUCAUAUCCGUUUGGGCGAUUAAAAAGAAAUUAUUUGACUACAGGAUGUGUCGAUCGCAUCAUAAUUCUACCUCCGAGUUUACUUUACUCAGAAAACCGAUCUAAGCGACCAAAAAUCGUUCUGAGGGAAAAAGAACGGAAUCGAAUCGGAAUCGACCUGAUUGCCCUGGAAAUCGAGGAUGUGGACGGUGCCGUCGUGGGUGCCGAGGGCGACCAUGCGCUCGGCGACGGCGAUGGACGCGGCGGCGUCGGUGGAGAGGAGGGGGGGAACGCUCCCCCCCAUUCUCUGGUACUUGAGCCUCGGCUCCUCCUCGUCCUCUUCCGCCUCCUCCUCUCCCCUGUUCUCUACAUGCUCCUCCUCCUCCUCCUCCUCCUCCUCCUCUUCCUCCUCCUCCUCGUCGUCGUCCUCCUCCUCCCUCUCGUCGUCCCCCUCGACCCCGUUCUCCGAGGGUUGGAGCUCCGACGCCAUGGCUGCUGCGCCGAGAUCCGUGUACAGCAGGAGCUUCGAGAAGCGCCCACGCGAUCGCUCUCUCUCUCUCUCUCUCUCUCUCUCUCUCUCUCCUUCUCUUUCUCUCUCUAGAUUUUUUUUUUUUUUAUCCUGUUUAAUGCUAAACUUCGUGCCAAUUUUAAUCCGGUUCGUUUGUCGUUACGAAAUUAAAAGGAAUUAAUACGAAAAGUCGGGGCGUUUGAUAGAUCCGUUAACCCGCUUAGGACUUAACGGGCGAAAAUGAGGAGCCCAUUAUUAAUCGGAUCGGGUAAUAUAUAUAGUAAGCUUUUUAUCGCCUUGUUUUGAUGCCCAAACAAGUUAUUCACAAACAAAUUAUUAUGACUUUAUUUAUAUACUAGUGUAGUAACCCGCGCGAUGCCGCGAAUAAAUGAUAGAAGAAAAAUUAAAAAAUAUUGAAGAGUAAGAAGAAAGAAGUUUGGAAAAUAAAAAUUCAAGUGUGUUUUAUUUUUUGGGUAGGAAAAUGUAUGAAUUGAAUUAACCAAUAUGGUCAUUGAAAAUCGAUAACUGCCCAGAAUCAACAUUCAAAAAAAAAACCCUACAAAAGUCGUAUGAAGAUGGAGAUAAUAAUGUUGCGAUGAUGACGACGAUAGCGAUAAAAAUCUGAUGAAAAUUUGCAGAAUUUUGCACCCUUUUGGACAUGGAAUGAUCAAAAGUUACGGGCCAAAACUGCCAUAUCAAUUAUGAAAUAAAAAAUAACCUCUAAAUUAAUCAAAAUAAUGCAUAUAAAUUAAAUCCUUGAUUGAUACAAUCACCAUACAAAAAUAAUGCAAAUAAAUUAAAUUCUAAAUGAAUACGUAGUAAGAAUUCGAGAUUAAAAUAAAGAAAAGAAAAAAUUAGGUUUAGGAUUUUCGUUUUCCAAACCUACCCCUCGAACCGUCUAUUAUUGCUCUCCAAUUAGCUUUCUCUAUUGAAAAAAUCGUUCGAUUACCUUCUUUUUCCAUAAUCCGAAGAGAUCGACAUUGAUAGAAACCCUAUAAACACUCUUUUGAUUCGGAGGGGGGGUUCGGGUCGAGUCGGAUUGGCACGGAUUAGGACUUGGAAGACUCCCUUGCUCUUUCCCAAUCUCUAGAUCUAUUCUCAUUUUUUAAUUUUGUAUGUAAGGAAUUGUUUGUGGAAGAAGAAAGGACUAAUUUUGAAGAGGAAACGUAUAAAUUAAAAUGCGUAUUGAUUACAUGCCAUUGAAUAGAGAGGAGGGAAGGAGAAAAGCCAAGAAUAAAAAUUAAUUAAAAAAAAUAAUUUUGAAGAGAAAACGUAUAAAUUAAAAAGCACAUUGAUUAUAUAUCAUUGAAUAGAGAGGAUGGGAGUGGAAAAGCCAAGAAUAAAAAUCAAUUCAGAAAAAAGAUUAGCGAGGGUGGAGAAAAACUUGCCACGUGGCAAAAUUAUUGAGAAUUCAUAUAGAGUAAUAGAUAAUAGAUAAUAGAUAAUAGAUAAUAGAAGUAAUAGAUAGAUAAUAGAUAUAUGAAAAUAAAUUAUUUAAUAAUAACUUAUUUGGUUUUUUUUUUGUGAUUUGAAAUAAAAAGUUUAAAUAUCUUUGAAGAAUCUUAACAUUACUGAUUUGGAAAGAGAUAACAUAUUUUAUUUACAAUGUAAUUUAUACCUUAUUUCAAAUUUAGUUCAUUGAAAGGUUUUGAGAAAUAAAUUAUUGAACUUCUUCUUUUUGCUUUUUUUUUUUGAGAGAUAGCUAAAAAUGUGAAUCAACUAGGAUUCGAACUUGGGACCUCGGGUAUCAACCACUAAACCCUUUGCCACUUGUUCUAGUGACGGUCGGUUAAAUUAUUGAACUUCAGUUUUUGUUUAUUAUAUUUUACUAAAUUCCAUGUAGUUUGUCAAACAAAAAGACAAACCGAUUUAUAUUCAGUAAUCACACUAUCUCUAGAGAUGGCAUGGCUAUUAAUUUAUCUCUUAAGAUCACUUUUACGUGCAAAUUGUUAAUUAGUUGUUAAACUAAGUAGCUAAAUAAAAAUAAUUUUGAGAUGAUAUGAUAAUAAUUUAAAAGGGUAGUAAUUAUUGCCACAUAAGUUUUUGAUGAUAACUUAAUUAAGUGCCACAACAUAAUGGAAUAGAAUUUAGAUUAUGUUAAAUUGAGAGUAUUAAAUAAGAUUCUCUUAUAGAUUCUAUAUAGUAUUUAACUUUGUCCUGUUUGAUUUAAAAUUUAAAAUAUGGCAUGUGUUGCAAUCAACAUCUAUCAUGAGUUUUAUUUAUAAUUUCUACUCUCAUAAUUGGGCCAAUAUAGACAAAGGUUAUCUCCAAAUCUAUACUACUUAUAAAAACGUGAGUUUUAAAUUUUUUUUCUUUCCAAAAAUGUCUCUAUCAUUUUUACUAAUAUUGUCAUGUCCAGUAAUUUUCAACCAUCCAUUUUAAAUAAAUAUUUAAAUAAUAAUUUAUUCUUAAAUAUAGAUUUUAAGUUUUCGCCAUUGGAUCUCAUCCAACGAAUAAAAAUGAAAGUAUCUGUCAUUUUUGUUGACAAAAAUACCCUCCAUAUCCGUUAUCUCCUAUGUACGCCGCGUUUCUUAAAUGACCAAUCAUUUAAUACGUAAAACUAAAUUUAUCUCUUAUCUAACGUAAUACGCGCCAAUCACGUAAUGCCUCCGCUAAUCACGUAAUAUGUAAAAUUAAAUUUAUUUCCUAGCCACACAUUUUUUCAAAUAUUUUUUCUUAUCAAACAUAAUACCUGUCAACACAUAGUAUUCAAAAUUAAAUUUUAAAUUUGUAAUGCCCGCCAAAAUUUAAUACCCGCGAAUUUGAUUUUUUUUUUUGGUAUUUUCUCAUUUUCAGCUGUACGUUUCUUAUAUAUAAAAUAUAUAUUUUUUUAAUAGUAUCCUUUUUUAUUUUUAUCUAUAUUUUUUUUCAAAUAUUUUUUUAGUAAUAUCUUUUCUCAUUUGUUACAGCGGUACAUCGUCAUCGUCCUACUCAUCAUCAUUGUUUGUGCCGGUACAUUGUCGCGUUCACCACCUUCGUCAUAAUUAAAGAGGUAUUUUAAUUCUAUCUGAAAUUUUUUCUUUUUUUUAAUAUGCCUUUAUACUGUUUUAGUUUUUUUUUUUGUUUUUUCUUAUUUUCAUAUAUACGUUUCUCAAAUAUAAAGUAUAUAUUUUUUAGUAAUAUAUAUUUUUAUUUUUAUUUAUAUAUUUUUUAAAUACUUUUAAAUAUUUUUUUUGUAAUAUACUUUCUCAUUUGUCCCCGUUGUCGACACUGGUACAUCGUCAUCAUUAUCACUGACGCCGACACAUUAUCACCUUCGCCACCUUCACCGCCUUCGCACAAUUGAAGAGGUAUUUUGAGCCCAUCUAAAAAUUUCUCUUUUUUUAAUAUAUCUUUAUACUGUUUUAGUAUUUUUUUAGUAUUUUUUAUUUUUACUUAUAUAUUUCACAAAUAUAAAGUAUAUUUUUUUAGUAAUAUUUUUUUUUAUUUUUUACUAUUAUUUUUCUUAAAUAUUUUCAAAUAUUUUUUUAAUAAUAUUCUUUUUUAUUUAUCUCCGUCGUCGACACCGGUACAUCAUCACAUUACUUACGUCUGUACAUAUCGCCUUUGCCAUAAUUAGAGAGAUAUUUUAAUUUCAUUUGAAUUGUCUUUUUGUAAUGUGCCUUUAUACUGUUUUAGCAUAUUUUUUUUAGUAAUUUCUCAUUUUUACCUAUAUAUUUUUCAAAUAUAAAACAUAUAUUUAUUUAGUAAUAUUCUUUUUUAUUUUUAUCUAUAUUUUUUUCAAAUAUUCUCAAAUAUUUUUUUAGUAAUAUUAUUUCUCAUUUGUCCCCAUUGUCGGUAUUAGCACAUCGUCAUCAUCUUCCUCAUCGUUAUAGCCGUCAUCGGCGCCAACACAUUGUCGCCUUCGUCACCUUCUAUACUACUGCUAAUUUCUAUAUAAUUUCAGUUUUCUUAGAUGUUGUAGAAAUAAUUGUCUAAAUCAAUCACUCUUUAUUUGUAUGGUGUUAAUCGUUCUAAACGUGAAGGUAAAGCGUUUCUCUUUUUAUCAUUUCACAUAAGUACAUAUUUAGUAAAAUCAUCAUGAAUAAUCAAAAUUAAAAAAAAUUAAAUUUAAUAAAGAAUUCAUAAAGUAAAUAAAAAUUUUUAGCUUGAUUGUAUUUCUUGAGUUUUUGGAAAUAGAUAGAUUAAGCACUAAUUUUAUUCACAAAUUUCUGCGCUAAAAUAAAUUGAUUCUAGAUAAAAUAAAUUUGAAAUACGACAGAAAAAUAAAAUUAAAAAGUUACAUUUAUUCAUAAUUACGAUAUUAACGUGCACUGUUUUAAUACACAACUGAAUUCAUUUGUUAAUAGCACUAUCUUGUCCUAAAGGACAAUUAAUUCGAUUCAUUACUUCAAUCCAUCCAAGAUAAUUAGUUAUUAUAAUGUUUUUCAUUGCCAAUGUUGUUAGCACUAUCUUGUCGCUGAGGAUUAUCUAAUUCGAAUCAUACUUAAUCCAUCCAAAUAAUUAGUUAUUAAUAUUUUUUCUCNNNNNNNNNNNNNNNNNNNNNNNNNNNNNNNNNNNNNNNNNNNNNNNNNNNNNNNNNNNNNNNNNNNNNNNNNNNNNNNNNNNNNNNNNNNNNNNNNNNNAAUAAAAGUGACAAAUAUAUCACUGAGCCAAUCUUCUAUAAAUUUAUUAUUUGUGAACCCACAUUGCUUUUCUAAAACUGUAGCAGGUAGGACAAAAUAUCAAUAAAUAGGAAAUGUAUGUAGGCUAAUUAGUUAGUUAGCAUGAUUUUUAAAUGCAUUACAGUGGACUUACUAAAAUGUUGGUUCUAACAUUUAUCUUUUAAUAUAAUCUCUUCUUUAUUGUUUUUAGGGUUCUUUUGAUCUUUUCUGAUGAGGGUGAUACCACCUAAAAUUGUUAUGAUAGAUGGAUCUGAUCUAAAGUACCUUCCAAUGCCUUUCUCUCGAAAAAAAAUUAUCGAUUUUUAGAAAUUGGUGGUUGAGACUCCUCCAUUCCCCAUAUUUCCAUCUUUUAGCACCAAAAUCCUGCAAUUGUGGCAAAAAAAAAGAGAGUAAAAAUACACACAAAAAAGCAAAUUUAGAAAAUAACACAAAAUACUCCACAUUGGUUUUCUAUAGUUCCAAAAACGCUAAAAAAUUGUUGAAAAAAAAAAAAAAAACAAAAACAAAACUCUCUAGUCUAAAAUUCCAUGGCUUAAAUUCCUAGAACAUUAAAAAAAAAAUUUGUGAAGGAAAAGGCCUCCAUUUUCUCCAUAAUUAGAAGAUUCAACCAAAUAAUUAGAAAAAAAAAUUGCAAAUCCAAGGAUAAAAAUAGAGAAAGAAAUAAAUGCCAAAUGCUAGACGAAAUGCCUAGUAAAAAAAAAAAACUCCACAUAAAUCAGACCUUUCAUAUUAAUAAAAUUUAAAUAAAUAACGGCGACCUCACAAACACCCAAUCCUACUCAUUCCACUUCAAAUCCUACUAUAUAAAAAAAAAAAACAAAAAAAAGAAAAAAAUUAAGAAAAAAGAAAAGCAGAAUCCAAUGCGGGAAAGAAGCGAAACAGAAUCAUACACUAGCGAAGAGAAUAUAAUCGGAGAGAGAGGGAGAGAGUAAUUUCUUACUGAUUACUUCGAUUUUGGUUCUAUUUGUAGGGUUUUUUUUUUUUUUGUUCUUUUUUGCCCUAUUUUCUGAAACCCUGGUUUUUCGAUCGUACCGAUGCUUCGUCCGCUUCGGAGCCGCUGUUUUUUUUAUAGCAAUAUAGAGAGAGAGAGUAGAGAGAGAAAAAUGAGAGCGGAGAGUAGAGAGAGAAAGAGGAGUUUCCCGGGCUGUGGCGGUUGUUGUGGUGGCUUCAGACUCGGACCGAGAGGUCACUGUGAAUCAAUUUUUUGGGUUAAUUACAAAUGGCUUAAUUGCACACACAUAGCUUCCCCUGAAUACAUCGAAUAACUGAUAUAUUCUUAUAUAAAGUUUAACUUUUUACUUUUGUUCCUAUAAAAAUUUUAAUAUUUUUAAAUAUAUUUUUACUGUUAAGAUUCUUUAGAAAAAUAUAAUUAACCUGAUUAGUAAAUAAGUUAAAUUAACCUUUUUACCCCUUCUAUUAUUAUUCGGUAAAAUACCUUUUUGAUAGAAUAUUUUUUACAUAAUUAUAACAGUUAGAGCUUUUGAAGGGAUAUAUUUAUAAGGAUAAAAAUAUCAUUUUACUUGUCUGCUGUUAAAAAAUAAUAGUACACUAGCGAUAACAAAUCAGAGGGGGAAAUAUGAAUAUCACUGAACUUUUACAUAAAUAAAAAACAAAAGUUGAACUUUUUAGAAAUAUAUUUAAUAUUCGAUAUGUUUAUAUGAAACUGUAUACAAUUAACCCAUUACAAAUUUAUCCUUACAAGAUAAUAAAAUUACAUAGUCCUAGGCCAAGCUUUUUAUUGGAUCGUUGGCGUUCACUAUUAAUCCCAAAAAUUCACGUUUUAAAAAUAUACAAUUAAUUUAUUUAAAAUGUAUUGAUACAGAACCUAUGGGUCACAUUUGUGACUUAGCCCAACAAGAUUCUUGCCACUUCGAACAUGACUUGGUCCAAUCCGAUUUUCUGCCAUUUCGAACGUUACUCGGACUAACUCGACCUCCAGCCACAAGGCAAGAUAUUAAUCCCUUUAAACAGACAGGUUUAAAAGCAAUGAACAUCGGAAAAUAAAAAAAAAUUCAGAAUGGUUUACUAUUCCAAAAUAGUAAAAAAUAAAACUAAAUUAUUUUUUAUUUACAAUAUUGUUAUUUCUGGAAAGAACUAUUUUUGUAUUUGGUUAAUCUUAUAUAAUAAUAGACAAUGGUAAAAAAAAAUAAUAAUAGCUGAAUUUGAUAUAAGAUUUGAUUAAUAUUUUGUNUAAAAAAAAAUAAUAAUAGCUGAAUUUGAUAUAAGAUUUGAUUAAUAUUUUGUAAUAAAAUAGAUAUAAAAUUAUAUUAUAUAGAAAAAUAUUUGAAAUAUAAUGCUAUUUUUCAAAUUUCACUUAAACUUAAAUUUAAUAAAAAUUUAUUAUACUAAUUGAGUUUAAUUUAUUACAAUAUGUAAUAUAUUUUGUCCAUAUAAUUACCUUAAUUUAAUUUAUAAUCUUAACAAAGCUUAAAAUUAAAUCUUAAAACCUUAAUUUAAUUUAUAAUCUUAACAAAGCUUAAAAUUAAAUCUUAAAAUAACAUUAUUCCAUCAAAAGAGUGGAAUAGUUGAUCUGGAGCUAUCUCAAGUCAGAACAACCGAAAAUAGCAAUAUUUGACUGGAAUAUUUUAUUCCGACUAAAAAAUACUUUAUUUGACGGAUAGCGAGGAUAACGUGCUGAUUUAUUUCUGAACCAAAUGGGGCUUAGCAAUUAAAAAUAUUCAGCUCACGUUGUAUAAUUUGUAAAAUACAUUUGUCUCAUUUACUAACAGGUUAAAAAUUGACUAUCUUUCUACAUAAUAUUUAUUCUACUGUGGUCCUCAAACUAUAGGGAAUGUGACACUUUCAUCCUUUAGCUUUAAUUUGCUAUAAAUUUUAGUUUGAACUUCAUGAAUCGUUCAAAUUAAGUUUUGUAAAAUAAUUAGUUGACUUAAUGGUAACGUAUUACUAAUAUAAAAUAAUGUGUCAACUAUAAAAAUGACAUGGGAUUGACACAUCAGUGGCAUACGGACAAUCAAUUAAUUAAAUUUGUCCAUUCUGAAAUAAUUUCCUUGGUUUUUUUUUUUGCCAUUGAUCAAAUUAAUAUUAUUCCCUUCUUUCUUUCCUUUCUCUCUCUCCUUAGUUUUUCUCCUCGCUCUUCAUCUUCCUCCUCCAUAGCCGUCCUCAUGUCGACACCGCUCUCUUCUCUCCUACCUUGCGCAUACGGCUGACAUCCAUGUCGGUGAUGGUGGCUUGGAUAUGGCAUAGAUCGCGAAGGUGAGGUUACAGCGGAGAGCAUGAUUACAGAUAGCGACGAGUGUGCUACGAAAAUUGAGAAUGAUGAAGAGGGAAAACACAUUGGGACGGGGACGGUGACUGCAGCAAAGGACGAGGGAAAAAGAGCGAAAAAGGAUGCAGAAACGGUUGGUAAGAACAGAUGUAAAUCAGUAGGCAAAUUCUACAGAGGUGGAUUUGGUUUGAUUGUUUCCUUCUUUGCUUUUGAUUUGUUUUGGAUUUUUCUGUCUCUUCCGGAAAGCUACUGAACCUGUGGGGAAACACGAGGAAGAGGAUCAAAGUUCACGGGUUUACAAUCAAGUUCAAUAAUUGGCCUCACUUUUAGCUAGACCGGUAUACUAUCUAUAGCACGGAGCCCUUCGUACUAUCAAGUUGUUUUUAAUGAUGCGGCUUCCAAAUCGACUAUUGACUCCGUUACUCUUGAUUUACAGCAUUAAAAGUAUUUGAAAACUAAAUUUUAUAAUUUUUCGUUAUUAUUUGGCUAAUAAUCAAAAAGUUUCAAAAUUGAUAAUUUUAAUGGUAGAUGUGAUACUUUUGUGAAUUUAACGAUGUAAAAAAAUUCAAAUCUGAUGAAAUUUAUAUAUAAAUUUUUUUUCACUAUUUAAAGUAAGAUCAGUACCUCUGAUCUUAAAUUCAAGUCUUUUAUCAUCAUUUUUUAUGAACUUUUUAUUUUCAUCCGUUCAUUUUUAGAUUAUUCGUUUGAUAAGUAAAUGAUGCUAAACAAUUAUGAAAUUUAGUUUUUAAAUACUUUCAAUAGUGUAGAUCAAGUUUAACGAAGGCGAUCGUCGAUUUCGAAACCGCAUCAUUGAGAACAAUUUGAUAGUACGGAGGCCUCCGUACUACCGAUAGUAUACCAACCUAGCUCUCUCUCUCUCUCUCUCUCUCUCUAUAUAUAUAUAUAUAUAUUUUUUCAACUCUUUGACACCAAAUUUAAAUAAAAUUGAAUAGAAUUUAAAUAAAAAAAAAUUCAGUUCGGUUUGUUCUACCAAAAGUUUUCAAUCUUUUCUCCAAGUUUUGAAACCUUUCAUAAGAUUAUAAUAUUUUAUUUAUUUUACUUAGCAUUUUAAAUAUCCAACUCGUUAUAUUCAGCUCCUUGCAAGAAUAUCUUAUUACCGAAGUACAGGAGGUAUUUGGUUGCCCGAAAAAUAUCAAGAAAAUAGUUUUUUUAAGUUGAAAAAAUGUUUUUCGUUUGUUUAGUUUUUUGAAAAAGUAAUUUUUCUAUUAAAAGAUUUUUUCUGAUUUUAUAAAACAGUGGCAUUUGAUUCCUUAAAAAUAAAUAAAUAAAUAAAUAAAUAAAUAAAUAGAAAGCUAUUUUCUGAAAAAAAAUCAUGAAAAAUAUAUGAGAUAUUUUUUAAAAAACCCAGCCACCCCCGACGGCUUAAUGUGUUAUACUCUUUAUUACUCUAUCUGAUUACUGCAGUCAAAAUUACAACCACUUUACACAUAGUGACAACUCUUGCUGUUGAAUUUUCUUGUAUAGUUUCAAUUAUAGUAAUUAAAUUCAAAUACAUCAAAUCAAACACCAUAUCAACAUUGUAUUUAGUUACAAUAACAGUGCAAUUACAAUUAAUAGUGUAGAGACCCGCGCGAUGCAGCGGGUAGAAAAUAGAAAUAAAUUUUUAAUAUUUUAAUAAAAUUUAUAUUUACAGCUUAUUGGAAGCUAUACCAUAUUUAAGCACAGUCAAUUUGCAUGACUAAAUUCAGUUGUUAAAAAAAUAAAAUAAUAGUUAGAAGCAUAUGAAAUACAUAAAUAAUAACUUAACGUAUCUGGCUUAAGAAAAUUUUGGUUGACGUCUCAGGCUCCAAAUCUCCGCAUCAUACUUUUUAAUCUACGAAAGAAAUUUUGCCCACAACAGUGUCUACUCAAAAAAAUGAUCAUAAUAUAAAAAUAAAACAAAAAACACCAAUCUUAAAAAAACUAAUAUUUUUUUGGAGCACUUCUCUUACUCAUCCAAAUCUCAUAUAUCUUCUUAAUCUUCAACUGGUAGUUGCUCCCUGCGCCGAGUCAUUUCUGGAUUUCCAUUGUAACCUAUGAACAAAUACCUCAUCUGCAUCACUAAACUGCGAUAUCUAAACCGACACAGUCUUGCCAUCACAUCAACCAUAGAAACCCUAAUUCUUAAACAAUUUGAUUUAUCAAAAAGUUCCUGCAAUUCUUGAGAAGCAAACUCCCGCACAACGUCCCCGCGAAGAGGAGGCUAGGACGGCGCUCCCCUCGGCCUAGUUGCCGGCACGCGGGAGCCGUGCGAGAAGGCAGCCGAGGCGGCGGCGGUUCACGGCGAGCGACGGCUCCAGUGCAGACUGGCCCAGCGAGCACUUAUAUGGGGCGCGGCUGGACUUUACAGGACGAUAUUUUUUGAAGGAGACAACGUUCUUCGCAUGCUCUUCUUCUUCAUCAUCCUCAUAAUCUUUGUUAACACAAUGAGAUAGAGAGAAUGAGAUAAGUGUGGGGUGAGAGAUUAGAUGAUAAUGUUUCUUUUUGCAUGAAAAAUAACAUGUCAUGCAAGAAAGAGGGGGUGAGGGGAUUAAUGGUGGAGGGGAGUGGAUUGGAGUUAUAAAGCUCACUAAUUGGUGAAAUAUAAUGCAUGUAAUUAAAUGUGGACAGGUGAAAGUUUGAGCAUUUAGAAGUGGAGAUUAAUAGUGGAGGGGAGUGGAUUGGAGUUAUAAAGCUUACUAAUUGAUAGAAUAUGAUGCAUAUAAUUAAAUGUGGAGAGGUGAAGGGUUUAGCAUAGCAUUUAGAAGUGAUGAUUAAUGGUGAAGAGGAGUGGAUUGGAGUUACAAAGCUCACUACUUGGUGGAAUAUAAUGCAUGUAAUUAAAUAUAGAGAGGUAAACGGUUAAGCAUUUAAAAGUGGAGAAGAAACGUAAAUUUUAUAUUGGGGAUUCAUAUAAGAGAUGGAUAUUAUCUAUUAAUCUAAGAAUGAAGGGUUUCUUGCCACGUGGCAAGAAAUUUUAUGGAUUUAUUAUGUUUAAUAGAUAUGCAACCAAACAGUCUUUACAUCAAGCCGUAAAAAACCUAUUUACUCGGCCCAAGAUGAACAUCAGAAUAGGCCCAGACUCCAAAUGGGCCAAAGCCUAAAACACGGAGAAGAGAAUGGGCCAAAAGUCCGAUAAAAAAUGAAACCGAAAGGUUAGAGGCCUUUGAGAGGAUGUUGAUACGCUUAUUCAUCUGAUACUUUAUAAAGAACUCGGUAGCAAAGCCCCCACAAAAGCCGACUUCGAUUAUUACUCUGCAAAAUGAAUUCGGCGGGCGACGGAGCCCCUAAACUGCCCGAUUUCUAUUGUAGUCGGCAACGAGGAGCCUCCGCACGCCGACUACAAGAGAUCGAUUUGUGUAAAUGCGAAAAAAAAAAAAAAAAAAAGGGAGUGAGAAUAUCAGUUCUCGGUCAAACGGUCAGCAUUUUGGCGCCUCCUUUCGGAAAGCGCUCGCUCGCUGCCACGUCAUAGGGGCGGUGCAAAAAGCCAAAACCAACCGCCAAGGCUUACGUACAUCUCACACUAGACCCGGUCUAUACACCCAACCACUCUCUAUUAACCUCCAUUGUCCGAGACAUGUUUUUUUCGGAAUAAUUACGUACACAUCUCUCAAAAUUUCUGAAAUAUUUUUAUAAUUUUUUAUUUUUUUAUUUAAAAUAUACAUCUUAUAUAUUUUUUUGUUAUUAAAAAAUAACUCCGCUAUUAGUAUUUGUUAAAUCAUCUUGGAUUAAAUCUGGAUUAAAUUUUUACCGGAGUUAAAAAAAUGUCAAAUUUCCCUUUUGUCCGUAACUUAAUGAUAAAUAAGAAAAGUUAGUAACAACAGAAGAAUAUAUUUGAAAGGGCGAAAAGACAAGCUGUUUUUUUUUGCCCCUAACUUAAGGGUAAUAAAAAAAAGUUAGUAACAAUAAAAGAGAUAUAUUUAAAAGGACAAAAUAGUAAUUUUAUAAAAAUAAUGUUUAUUUCUGACAUUCACUAAUAAAAUUUUACUCUAUAGAGAUAUAUUUGAAAAAACUUAGAUUUUUAGGAGAAUAUUUUUUAAUUAUAUUAGCCUUCUAAGCGAGAGAAAUAAAAAUGUCUGAAAUUUUUUAGGAGUAUAUAAGUGAUUAUUUUUUUUUAGCCCUUGUGUAUUUCAAAUUGCAUUAGAUAAUUUAAAUAUAAUUUUAUUUGAUUAAUUUUAUCUUACACCAUGUGAGAUAAAUAUCAAGAUUUUUUUAUAUAGCAUAGAUUCUUUUUUCUAUCUUAUACCUUCCUUUCUAUUAUAAUAUUUUAUAUAUUUUCACAUAAUAGAGAUGACAAUUUUAAUUUUUACUAAAAUUAUAUUAAUAAUAUUAUUAUAAAUUUUUUUAAUUCGUUGAAGUAUCAAAAAAAGUAAAAUUUAGCAUAAACUAGGAAAAGAAUAUAGUGUUCUAAGGAUAGUGAUGAAUUUGUCAUGAGCGUGAUUUGUCUAUGAUGACGUGGCACACCCGGUUCAUGAGAAUAGUUAUUGCAGCAAAAGGCGAAAUUAUAGACCGAAAGAAACCACGCUUUUUUAUUCAAUUCCUUCGAUCUCCUCCUCGCUCUUCUUCUUCUCCUUCUUCCUCUUCCCUUUCCUUUUCUCCCUCUUCGCCUCAUCUCUCUCGAUUCAACCCUAUCAAUGGCGAACGACGCCAUCCCCUCCUCGUCCUCGUCGUCGGAGGCCGCGGCGGAAGAGGAGGAGAAGAAGAAGAAGAGGCGUAGUGGCCGCGGAGGCGGCGGCGGAGGAGUGGUGUCGCGCGUGUGGAAGGGGAUCUUCGGAGCGGGACAUGACUUGGAGAAGGAGCUUCGGCGCCUCUCCGUGGCGGAGGCCUCCGCCCACGCGCGGAUCAAGCGAAGGGCCCAAGCCACGCGCGCGAUGAGGACGAACCUCGUCGUCGUAUCGAUCGCUCUUGAGGUUUUGCGAUUUGAUUUGAUUUUAGCCGAAUUAGUUUUAAUUAGGUCGCUGGAAUUUAUCAAGUUGAUUUCGAAUUUAGGGUUUGAUGAGGUAGCAAGGUUGCCACUAUGUAUUGAAAUGAGCUUAAUAGUUGGUAGUUGUUUGAUAUUCUCAAAUCAUAUUAGGUUUGAUUGCAAUAAUUCAGGUAGUUUGAAUCACAAACUUCAAUAAUUCUAGUUUUGAUGAUCAAAUAUCAGCAACCUUGUAGUUCGAGAACGAUUCGUCAAAUUUGGCCUAUGAUUUAUGUGUGCAAAUGGAGCAAUAUUGCUCGUUUAGUUUUAUUUUUUAUUUGUAGAGACAUGAUUUUUGAUGUUUAUAAUGGUUGCACAGAAUUGCGCCAAGUGAUUGAAAAAAUCUGAUAUGAAGCUGUUUGUCCAAUUUAGACUAUGAUUUAUAUGAGCAAAUGGAGCAAUCUUGCUUGUUUUAAUUUAAUAUUAGUUUGUAGAAACAUGAUUUUUAAUGUUUAUAGUGGUUUCACGGCAUUGCGCCUAGUGAUUGAAAAAUCAGAUAUGAUGAUGUGCUUAAACAUAAUAUAUAUUAGAUUUAGUAUACGUCACAAAUAUAUCUUUCACCGGUUGUGUACUUCUAUAUCUUCUAUAAAGGUUCCUUGUGGUUCUGCAAGUGUUCGUUGCUUGAUUAUUGCUAAACCUUCCAAAAAAAUGAUUUAGUGUUCUUGGUCAUUUUCUACUAGAUCAUUUUUCUUGGUAGCAUGGUAUCAGAGCUAACCCAAAUCCCCCUCCAUUCCAAGAGGUCCUGAGUUUGAUUCUUUUAUCCGCCACUUUAUGGCAUAUAUUUCCGUCCUUUAUUCCAUUGUAUUUUCCAUUAUCUCAGACCUUUUGGCAUGGUUCAUUUGAUACUCACCGUGCACGCGAGUGAGGAGUGUUAAGACAAAUCCUAGGCCGUUUCCUAGUCGAUCAAUUUUUUUGUUAACACCUAUCAGAUAUGUCUGCAGCACCUGCAUGAAGCUUGUGCCCUUCCCCAGGUGUGGGUUGAGGGACUUCAAGAAGGCCAGAGCCUGCCCGUCGCUCACGUCGCUAAAUAUCUUCUUCAAUCUCAGCUCCUUCACGUCCUCCUCGCUGCUCAAGAGGAGGGCGAGCAGAGAGAGGUAAGAGCCGACCCCGUAGUCGGUCACACCGACGGCGCAAGUCUCGAACGCCACCAUGUUCGAUAUUACGGUCUGGGUCGCAUCAUCGAUUUGGAUCGGCGGAAGGGACAGCCACCCGAAGAGCAAGCCGCUGCGGAAGGUAAUGUCCCGGAACCGGGACAUAUCACUGGCGCGGAACCGAACCCCGAUCUCUGUGAGCUCCAUGGCAGAGCUGAAGAGCGAGAAACGAGUUAACCCACUGGGUUUUGACUCAAUGCUGGGGCCUAGGUAACUCUCGCGCACGAGGUCUAGUAGGUGGCAGGGCUUAUAACCGCUGACGGCGCCCUCGUCGAACUGGGGAGGCGACUCCAUCUCCAAGGAAGAGACAAUUGCUCGGGCAAACCAGUGGAUCCACACACGUCGCAAACUCAUGAGGGCCUCCAGCACCACCCACGGAAUCUGGUUCUCGAGCAACAAGAUGUCCUUCCUGAUCUGUGAGCCGCGGAAGGUGCUGAAGCUCAUGAAGAUGGACGAAGAAGGCAUGCAAUUGCCAGUCAUAAGCGCUACGAACUCCAACAGGUAGCAGCCAUCGAAGAACACAAUGUCGGCGAAUUCCUUUUCGCUCAUGUACUCAAAUAGGUCCGCAUAGCCACUCCGAGCCUCCCCAGCGACUGCACGGACCUUUCUGUAGAAAUCUUCGACGGAGUGUCUUGGGACCUUUCUGUAGAAAUCUUCGACGGAGUGUCUUGUGCUGUUGCAAAAGUCAUGAGCGGCCGCUUUCUUGACCACUUCCAUCGACUGCAGUUGCAGGUCAUGUCAGUGGUAAGGACUGCAGUUGCGGGUCGUGUCGGUGGUAAGGACCGAUGGCCACUAUCUCGGGGUUGAAGUACCGGGCGCCAUUCUCGAUACUUCAAAGAGGUUCGGGGACCUUCUGUGUGAGGGGCUUGCCCAAUUGAGCCUCUGCUCGUACCUUCUCAUUGCUCGCCUUCAUGAUGGCAGCAAGCUCUCUGCACUCGGCCGUGGUUUGGUCGGCGGAUGCCAUGGCCGAGUUCCUCCCUUGCCCUUGCACAGAUGAAUCUUAACAAUCGUUUCUUGUCUGAACUUCUUAAAAUGAGCUUCUAGGAGUGAGAAUGAAACGGGCGAUACGAAACAAAGAAAAGGAAAGAAGAGUGUGAAGCAACCGUUAUUUUUGUAUCAGCCGUGGCUUGGUUGACGAAUGCCAUGGCCAAGUUCCUCUCGGCAGCACGCCCCUCGGCAGCACGCUUGAAUCGCAGUAAUCGUUUCUUGUCUGAACUGCUUAAAAUAAACUUCUGGAGCAAAAGCUUCAAUGUGACGGACGAUGGGAAACAAAGAAAAAGGAAGCAAAGUGUGAAGCAACCAUUACUUUAUUAUUCUUACAAAGAGAGAGAAUGAAAAGUGGGAAGCUAAGUGUUAUCUUUUUAAAGAAUGAUGCUUUAUGACAUUUUAGAAGAAAAUUAGGGAAGAAAUCCUUUGGCUGGUAUCAUUGCUUUUACAACUUGGGAAGGCAACUCUAGUACUGAGCUUUGGGUUAGAGAAGUUCUAUAAGAAGAAAUCCAACUUAACCAGAGCCUUUCCAGCAUGAGCUUUGUGGAACGCCUGGAACAGCACUUGGAUGCGAGUACACAAUCUUUCGUGGAUCCAGACACCUGCCAACUCUCUAUUUUCAUCGAUGCCUUUCAAAAGAUUGUUUUGAGGUACAAAUAAUAUUUUUCUUUUCGAUUGAGCAAUACUAGGGGUACCAAUACUAGGGGUACGUCUCUACAGUCAGUGUAAGUCUCUUUUCGAUUGAGCAAUGCCCGGGGCGGGGAUACAUCCCCUGCAGUGGAUGUAAAUUUUAGGCUCAAAUUAUAAAAAUUAUCUUAUUAAUUUUUUAUUUUAAAAAACUAUAAAUUUUUAUGCACCCGUUUGGUUCGGGAUUAAGGGGUAGGGGUGGAAACGAGCCGAGCUCGCGCGAGCUUAUGUCAGCUCAAAUUCUGCUUGAAAUUAAUUUCGAGCCUAAAUCUAGGCUCAAGCUUGGCUUGAAAUUAAUUCGAACCGAGCUCGAGCGAGCCUAAUUUCGAGUCAAGCCGAGCUCGAGCUCUAAAUGAGCCGAUUGAAAUUCUCGACAUUAUAUAAUCAAUAGUUUAAUUUUUAUAGAACAUUACCUAUAAUUUGAUGUAACAUGUUCAAUAGUUCAAAAUACAAAAUAAUUGCAAGAAAUGUGAGCACUGAGCUAGGAUGACUGCCUGACUGGGUGAGGGUCUGAGAGAGAGAGAGAGAGAGAGAGAGAGAGAGAGGGAAAAAAAAUUAGGGAUUUGAAAAUUUGAAUGUUAUAAUGUUUUAGGGUUAUGUGCAAUAGUGAAAGUCUGAAAGAGAGAGUGUGUUAUGUAAAUUUAGAAUUGGGCUCAAUUACACAGUUGUACUUGUUGGGUUUAUUUUAUGGGCCAACAAUAAUGGCCCAAAUUAAAUUAAAGCCUAUAUAUAAUUAAAAUACAUUAUAUUUAUAAAUAUUAUAUAUAUAUAUAUAUAUAUAUAUAUAUAUAUAUAUUCGUGCUUUGCGAGCUUUUCGUGCCUAAUUCGAACGGGCCGAGUAAUACUCAAGCUCGGCUUGAAAUGAAUUUCGAGCCUUUUAUUUUGUUCAAGCUCGGCUCAUUUAAUUUCGAGUCGAGCUCGAACGAGCCGAAUAUCGAGCUGAACACGAGUCGAACGCGAGCCGGCUCGCUCGUUUGCCAGCCCUAUUAAGGGGUGGAAUAACUCCUUAGCUCUGAAGUUAUUCCCAAACACAUAAUUUGGGGGGUGGGGUUAGCUAACCCUACCCUACCCCACUACUCUAACCAAACAAAACACUAUUUUACCUACUAUCCUUCUUUCUGAACUACUCCAAUCAAACACUAUUUUAUCUAUAUCUGGACUAAACCGAAUUCUCAACCAAAUACAAAAUUACUUUAACCCCACAUUAACCCUGAACUUAACCCAAUCCCUGAAAUAACAAGUUUUUACUUAACCCCGAACCAAACGGUAGCUAUAAGUAGGUGUGUAGGUGAUAAUUUUCUUUGCCGGUUGAGCAAUGUUAGUGGUGCACUGGUAGACUAGGCGAAAAUCUUAUGCCUUAAGAGCUCAAAUUUUAUACUUAUCAUAUUAGUUUUUGUUUUUUUAAAAAAAAACUUAAAUUUUUUUUAAAAAAAAAUUUGAGAGAAAAAUAGCACGCUAUCCACUCCAUUUAUUGAAAUGAUGAACUAGACUGCAUGGGUGAGACAACAUCAGCCUCGAGUGGGGGUGAAAAAAAAAUACUAAUAAUAAUAAUCAGAGCCUCCGAUUAGCUGGGAGUAACAAUUCCCAAAGGUUCAGAAGCUGUUUAAUCCUACCCGAUACAAGAAGGGGGUUCGGACGAGCCUUUCUAAAGAUCACGUCGUUCCUAGUCCCCCAAAUACUCCACCAACAUGCUACCAAUCCGAUUAAGUUUGUUCUCGUCGCUUGCGAUCCAAUCCUUGCUGUCCAUUUAUCCCAUGUUGACGACACGUCUUCCCCCUAAUCAGAGAGCUGAGUGUUAUCCAAAGACGUCGCCAAUAGGAAUUUCAAAAAGACGCACUGUGCGAAUAGAUGGUCGACAGUUUCUUCUUCACACCCACACAACACACAGUCAGAGUUACCUGUCCAUCCUCUCUUUAGCAAGUUAUCAGUUGUAAGGGGUCUCUUUUUAAGUACGAUCCAACAGAACACUUUCACUUUUGAGGGAACUUGUAGUCUCCAAAUCCUACUUGAUCGAAUGCCCCUGAUGCCCCCGUCAGUCACCAUCGAGUAAGCUAAUUUCACCGUGAAUCUCCUAUCUUAGCUCCAUCUCCACUGCGUCCUGUCAGGUGUCAGGUCUAGUUGGUAGCUGGAUAUCUUUUCUCUGAGAGCUAUUAGAGUGGGGCUCAAACCAGGACCUCCAGAAUUAACGUCACCAAGGAUCUUGCUUCAGUUCCACCCGUCGCUUGUGAGACAGUCACUGAUUUUCCUAUGUUUUUGUUGCAGAAAGGAAUAAAUUUUGGGGAAGGACGAGGCCAACGUCUUUUCCCCACACCAGCGGUUAGUCCAGAAAUCAAUAGUGCAUUCGUUGCCCACCUUGAAGUAUAUUCCCCACUGGAAGAUUGCGCUAAGACUAAGCACUCCCUUCCACCAGUGAGUAUAGGGUCUAAAUUAUCUACCGUCCAGAAUUUCCACCACCAUUUGAUGAGGAAAGCAUGGUUCAUCGUGGCUAGGUUUAGGAUUCCCAGCCCACCUUUUUUCUUACUUUUGCAAACGUUCUUCCACGCCACCAGACACCCCCUACCUGAUGUGUUAUAUCCUUCAUUCCAGAAAAAGUCUCAACGUAGAGUCUCGAUACGCUUAAUUACCCAUUUGGGUGCCUUGAACACCGACAGAAACUACAGAGGGAGAUUGGUUAGGACUACGUUGAUCAGAAUAAGUCUACCUCCUUUCGAUAGAAGCUUUGAUUGCCACCUGUCUAUUUUCCAUUGAAUAUUCCUGAUCAGCCCCAUUCAGUCAUCCUUGGAAGGGGGACGGGUGAAUCUGUGAUGCUUGAGGUAUAAGAGUUACAUCUAUAAAAAAAAAAAAAAAAAAGAGAGUACAAGGAGUAUUUUUAUUUUUCUUUUUUCGAUUACAGUCAGUAUUUUUCGCACACGGCAUUAAAAUAAUUAUUAAUAAACAAGAAAGAUCAACGUUAACAUGUUUAAUCAAAUAAACGUGCGCCUAGCGGAAGCCCAUCACUCGCAUGACCUUGCUGGCCUGCAUACAGUAUGCGUUCACGGCGCGGACCAGCGUUCUGAAGUGGUGCUGAUAGCCGCCGCCCACGUUAAGCGGGGCGAGCCUCCCAAAAUAUGUUGCCGCCACAAGCCAAUCCUCGGCGCGAAUUUUGAGAAUCCCCGCGUCGAUGAGCACCGUUGCGUCCUCCCGCCCGCCGAUGAGCUCGCUCAUAAACAUCGCGUAGCUGCAGAAGAGCCGCUCCGUCGGUUCCCAACCGUCGCCUAUCUCCAUCGCCACUAGAUUGUUCACCGUGUAAAUGGCGAGCCCGUUACGAGGAAAUCGCGGGAACUCUAACACGCCAUUUUUGUCGUCGAACGUAAUGUCGGCGAGAUGGGGCGUCGUCUUUGGCUUGAACCUCACCCCGAGCCUGCUGAGCUCUCGAGCCGGGGGCAUCAGUUUCCAUAGCACCCAGUCCACGGGCGAGUUCGAGGAGCUCGCGUUCAGUAGCCUCCAUAGGAGCUCCAUCUUUCUUAGCUUGCCAACUAAAGGCGGCGGCGACCGCCGAGAAGCGGUCGGUGGUGGCAGCGGGCGAAGGCAUAUGUGUAGUAAAUGGACUAGAUGAUAGACGGGUCCGUUGUAGCCAGCCGGCACUUCCUGUAUUUCUCCCAUGGUGAGGUAAAACACCGCUAGGUUUCUGACGAGCGCUCGGCCUUCGUCUUUGGUCCCGAACUCGGGUACGGCGGUAAUGCGGAACAGCUCCUCGAGGACGAAGAAGGGGAUUUGGUUCUCGACUAGAAGCAAGUCAUACCUGACCGACUCGUUGGCGAGCGGCAACUCAUCCUCUUUCUUGCUUAUCCAGUAAUUGACGAUCGCCUCGAUGAUGAAGCAACCGUCGAGCACCAUCAUUUCAACAAGAUCUUCGCGAGUAAAGUUGUACUUCUCCAGUGAUUCGUAGCACUGGAUGAUGCAACUAAUCAUCCCCUGGACGAUUGGGAUGCUGGUGAGUGCAGAUACCAGAAACAUUCUCCUGCCGCGAACUGAGUGAGGCAGUCUUAACUAGAGCUAAUUGAGGAAAGUUUUUAGCAAAAUCUUCAAUUUUCUAUCGUUCUCAUUCUUUCCAAUGUUUUUUUUAAUAAUUAUAUACGCCAUCAGAAUUAAAGCUUCAGGAUAGCACACUGCGAUCAAUCUAGUUGCUUCACAAAACUUGAGGAUUAUUAUAAACUAAAUUAUUAAUGUCUGCUUUGCCUUUUCCUUCUCCUAGUGAAAAGGUUUACAAUUAUCUUUCAUUUAUUAUUAUUAUUAUUAUUAUUAUUAUUAUUUUCAAAAGUGGUCGGUUUUUAGAGUGAUUCCAAUUUUGGGCUCUUGCGGGCGCCAAGUUGUUAAGAUGCCAAUCCAUACCUGGAUGUGGUUCAAGUACUGAACCACCACUGCAGUCUCUCUGCCGACGGCGUGGCCUCGAAGAAUCAAUCUGCGGAGGAACUCCAGUUUGGUCUUCUCCACGUUCGUCGUGAAUGUAGGCAUCAUGAGCUCAGUCAGCAGAGGGACGCCGCCGCCGAGCUCAGGCAGAGGGAGCUCAAUCUUUGCUUCCCCUGCUGUCCUUCUUUCAGGCAGAGGGAGCUCAAUCUUACCUUCCACUGUCGUCCUUCUUUCCAGCAGAGGGGAAGUCCACUGAGGAAGCUGGAUCGGACCGCGCUGUUGCAGAGGUCCGAUGCGUACGACCGUAGGGUAGAUACGGCCGCGCCAUAACACAUCCUGAUCUUGAGAGAGACGCGCGAUGCGCCCCCCCAUGGGUUGGUCUUGUGAGAUUGUUUGGAGCUUGGAGGGCAGUUUCCAGCUCCCUUGGCCUUCAGUCUCGGUACUUGACAUGGCCAUUUCCAAUUCUUUGUUUGUUGUUACGGAUUUACUUAACAACAGACACUUUAAAUAGUAAGGAGACAAGGAAUAAUCUAUCAUCCGCUCGACUACUACUCGGAGCUCUAUACAAGCAAGGAAUAUCGCAUGUAUAGUCUUUGCUUCUUCGGCGUAUGUACCAUAUAACCAGCACAGGGGAUCCAAGAAAGGAACANAAAAAAAUGAGAGAAUCGUUUAAAUUUUUAAAGUUUGAUUUACAUAUUAAAAUUAAAUAAAUUAAAAAUUUUAAAUGUGUCGAUUAAUAAGUUGAAGAAUUAUUGAAAAAUAUAAACAUGUUAUAUAUAUAUCUACUUAUUUAUUUAAAAAUAGUAAGUUUAAAUGAUUAAUAAACUUAUACAAUUAUUUUAUGCAUAGUGAAGGUAAUCUCACCAUUCUAUUUGAAGAGAUGACAAAAUUCACAAAUACAACUAUGAGCUUCAUAUUACCAAACAGAAGAAAUGUAACUGCAGUAAUUGCAACUGUAUAAAACCAAACAGACUAAGUGUAGUUACAACUGCAGUAUUUGCAACUGCAUGUAUUUCCAACUACACUGUUUUUGCAAUUAUAUCCAACCAAACGGCCCCUAAGAUGCACUGCAGUUCCACAAAGUGGACCGCCUUCAUUAUUGCAAACUCAAACUCCACAAUUAUUUUUUUUGCUUUUUAUGCAGGACUCCUUUUUUUUUUUUUUUUUCCUAAAACACCAUUUAACUAUCUUUUUCUUCAAUUCCUAUUGUAUAAAUAAUAACUUUAUAAUAUUGAAUGAAAGUUGUUCGAGAAUACCACUUUAAAGUGACUGAGCAUAUAUUUAACUUAUUUUAAUUCGAAAUAACAAAAUAUAUAAAGAUAAUAAAGACUAGUUAAAAAUAAUUUGAUAGAAGAUUUUAAUUAAUCGAUCAUGAAGAUUUAUUUUUAUUUUCUUACUAUUUAACUAAUGACUAUUAAUAAAGUUAAUAGUUUUUGCGUAAGCCAAUAGAUUUGUUAGUAGUAAUAUAGAGAUUGGCGAGAAAAAAAUAAUUAAGCGAUAUCUAAGAGAAAAAAAUAUUUCAAGAUAGAAAAAUAAAAAUCAAUCUCAAAUAUAAUGAAAAGAUUGAUAAAUAUAAUGAUGGUGCUAGUACACAAAAAUAAAGAUUAGACUACAAAAAGAAUGAAAAGUGUCGAGGAGUUGAUCAAAACUAGACACUAAAAUCUUUCUCUUUUUAAAUUGAUUUGAGCCUUCUAUGGUUGGCAAAGAUCUCGAUUUGAUGCAACAGAAUACUAGCUGUUCUAUUCUACGAUAUAACAGCUUAAUUUUCGUCGUAUAGAUUUAUCAGCUCUACACAAGUAAAUUAGUCGAAAGUUCCACAAAAAAUAAUACCUUUUUUGGCCAACACUCAAAGAAUACAAAUAAUAGAAUAUAGAUAAGUUGUGUUUGUUGUGUGUUGUGAAGAAUAAAUAAGCUCACUAUAAAUGGACUUCACAAAUAUUAAAAUUAAAACCCAUAAGCUGUGUUUGCUUCCGAUUUAGGUACAAGUUAAGGUAUAAGUAAAAAUUAGACUAAUUUUACGUUUGUUUCUGGGAAUAAGAUAAUUGGUGCUUUGAUGGUUAGAUUGGAACAAAAAAAAUAUGAGUUAUAAAUUUAAAUUAAAAAUAGUUUAUCUAAUUAAUUAACAUCAAAAUAUUAAUUAAAAAUAAUUCAAUAAAUUAAUAAAUUUAUUACGUAUGAAUAUUAUGAUAAAUUAAUAAUUUAAUAAAUAUAAAUAUUAGUUAAUUAUAGAAAUAACUUAACUUUUUAAUUAGUUAGUAAACUAUUUUAUUUAGAUAAUUAAUUAAAAAUUAAAUAGAUUAGUCAAAAUAUUAAUGGUUGGUCAAUAUAAAUAUUGGUUAUUAAAUAAAUUGAUUAAAAUAUUAAUUUUUAAUUAGUUAAUUAAUGAUAAAUAAUAAAUUAAUUAAUUACUUUACUAUUUAAGCAAUAGGUAAUGACUUAAAUACAUUAAUUAGAUUAAUUAAUAAAUUAAUAUCAUAAUUAAAAUUAGAUUAGACUUUAAUUAAUCAUGUUUUUACUUAGAACAAACUGUUUUGGAGGGAAGGGUGGGAUGGCUGUUUCAAAAUUAUACCAGAUUAUACCAAUUUAUUUCAGGGUGGGAGAACUGCUGUUUUCGAGAGCCAAAAAUAUCGUUUUGAGACCAAAGCGGGGGGACAAAAGUUUAUCUCCCCUUGUUGCUGAAUCAAACACUACCGGAAGUUACAAGAAUUAGGUGUGAAAUCAAAUGUUAAGAGUUACAGGAAUUGAAUUGACAGAGUGUACGGGACUGAGAAAUGCAAGAUGUAUAGGUAAUGUGAGGAUUUGUAACUUCGCUUGCAACUCCACGGUAAAUGCAUAGGUUAUCAAAAAUAAAAAUAAAAUAUUUCAACAAAAUUUUACUCAUCUAUAUAACUUUUGAAUCGGGGAUCCUAAGAGGGUACGGCAGGGGCCUCCGCGUUUUGCGUGAGCGGGGCGACGCGGGCGGGUCUGGACGGUGCGCGGGCGCGAGGCGCGAGCGGGCGGGCCGGGCGAGCCGGCGCGGCGGGCGAGGCGCUUGGGCGGCGCGCCGAGCGUGCGUGGGGGGCUGGCGCUCGGGCGAGCGCGCGCUGGUGCGAGCGCGGGCGGGCGUUGCGCGCGUGGGCGAGCCGGCAGGGAAAUGGCGAAGUGGCGCGGGGCGGGCUGAGCGCAGCGCGCGUGCGCGGCGCGAGCGGGCGCGGGCAUUUGCACGGCGCGCAGGCUCGGCGCGGGAUGCGGGCCAGCGCGGACGGGCGGCCGGGCUGGCGCUGUCGAGCGGUACUGAGCGCGCAAGCCGGGUUUGGGCGCGAGCGGCGGCGGGCGAGCGCGCGCGCGGACGGGCGGACGCCAGCUUUGGCUCGGAGAGGGGCGAAUGUGCAGCAGCUCGGUCAUGCGAGCCGGCGGUCCUUCCCCAUAACCCCCCUCCAUUACCUCCGUCGCCCUCCAUACCCAUCUCCAUGCUGCCACCUAGACCCCCUCCAUACCCUCUCCCAUGCUUGCAGACCUUAUUUAUUUAUUUUUUUUUAUCGCAUGCCUCCCUCAUCUCUCACCACUCACAUAACAGCGACUCCCACCCUUCCGUUCCUCCCCGUCGCCCUCCCUGCCUCGCCCUAUUGCUGCUAUUGCCGAGCGGCGCAAGCGGGCGGCGCGAGCUCGCGAGGCUUCGUGCUUGCCGCGUAAUUCCGGCAGACUCGAGCGGGUUCGCCGCGGAAUCUGGUCCCCCUACAGCGUUUACCAAGACAAGAGGGGGAGAGCUGCUUAUAACGCUAUUUCCCUAACGUUAAUGCUCCAUUGAGUCUACUUCACGGUACUUUCGGUCGGCACUCAUUACCGUGUUCAUCGCAGCUGUGUUGUCGAUCACCGAGUGCUUGGUUUAAUGCUGCUGAGAAAAUUGUUGUUUAUGGACUAAGUGUAUGGUUUAAUUUAAUGCUGCUGCAGAGAGUAGAGCCAGGAGGCCGCUGCUUAUGGUCAUCGGCGAACCGGAGCUCUGCCUCCAACUUGGUAUUGGCGACGAUCGACCAUCCGGCGAUGCCGACUCCGCCAAAGUUUGCAAGUAUGUGCAUGUGAUUAUAUUCCCAUAGAUUUUGAUCUCUUUAAGGUCAUGCAUGUUGUUUACAUAUUUCUAAUCUUUUUAUGUAGAUAGAUUAUUUGAUGAUGAUACUAAAAUUGAUGUUUUUGUAGGGAUGCGAGAUGUUUUGAAAUGAAAGAGAAGUGCCAGGAGAAGCAGCAACAGCAGCAGAAUAAGCAGAUUACAAUCUUCUACAAGGGGCAGAUUUGCGUCUACGACAUCACAGAGAUUCAAGUUUGUUAAUUUGGUUCCAUUCCAGAUUUUCUACUAUUUUUAAGAGUUUGCAAUAUAUAUAUAUUAUCUAUCUCCAUCGGUUUACAACCUUUAAUUUUCUUUUCUUUUGUCUUUUUUUUUUUUUUUCAUCGGAGUUAACAGGCAGAAGUUGCAAAAAAGAAUUGCGUGAAGCUUGGUUGCCUUCCUGCAAGCAGGGACCUGCAGUGAUGGAAGGAAUGCGUGGGCGGUACUCAUGCAGCCCUCUCCCCUGAGAUUUGCGGCUGCGCCACCGCCACCGCAGUAGCGAUUCGCGGAGAAGCGGGCUUCGGGAAUGGGCGGUGGGCAAAAGCGCGGCCGCACGCAGCGGCGGCACUUCAAGCAGAGCCGUGAGAACGUGUGGAAGCUCAACCCCAAGAAGACCCGCCCCGACGCUGACAAACCCGACGCCGACGCCAAAGCCAACGCCAACCCCAAGUGGGAGCCCUUCACCACCCAAAACCCCGGCUUCAACGAGCACUACAAGGUGCUUCUCCUCUCCGCACUUCCACGAGAUCGAUUCUUGGUUUGGCGUGGAUUUGUUUUGAUGAUUGGGAUCUUAUACGUGGUGCGUAGUUUGUUUCGUUUUAAUUGCGAUUUCUUGGAGGAAAAGGUGAAUUUUUUGGAUCAUUCUUUGGUGCCAUCCCAAUGGGGAAUCCCUUUCUCCCUUUUUUUGAUCUGUGAAUUCAUGUUUAUGCUUGCGCUCUAUGAUGUAUAACACAAAUUGUACCUUAGGCUUGACAUAUUUACGUGCUUUAUUUUUUUUUUCUCAAAAUUAUUAUGUAAACUUCAAACAAUCUGAUCUUGCCCCUCAUUCUUAAGCACCUCUUUUCUUUUGUGUAGGUUCGGACUGUUGAAACUUAUUGUGGGUCGUUAGCCAAUAUGGCAUGAAGCACAUGCGAUCCCUCGCAAAUAUCUGCAAUGCAGGUGUUAGAAAAGAGAGCAUGGCCGAGGGUUCUUCAAGCUUGCAUGAGGAUCCCCUCCAACUCUUGGAGUUCUCUGCAGAGAGGUUUCAGCGCUUGAAGCAUACAUCAAAGCAACUUUGGUCAGAGUAAUAAAUUUGUGACUUAAUGUUAUAAUUGCUUAGCUUUGUUAUGUUGCACUGUGUAUAUAAUCUCUGAAUAGCCUUGAAAAACAUCUAUUUGGUUAACAUGGCCAUUUCUUGCUGUUCGUCACUUCUUCACUGGAUAUUGUAGCAUGAUCUAUUUUAUAAUGUAUAGCAUAGUAUUUUACACAGCUAAGCAAAAUUUCUAAAUGAAGAAAACCUUAGUCAGGACUUCAGAAAAAAAAAUGGACAACUUAGAAGAGCUAUAGCGCAAAAUUUGGAGCAAUCACUAACCAGCACCACUGGGUGUAUUAAGCAUUUAUUAUUCGAAACUGCUCAAUGAAAAUAACGAAGGUUACCCAUAGUGUUCUGUUCUGUUUUGGGACCUUUUCGCUUUGAGUUUGAUUUUAUUGCUGUGUAUAAGCUUAUGCUUUUUGCUCCGGUUGGGGAUCCUAAGAGGGGUACUGGGCAGUGGGCCUCCGUGUUUUGUGUUGGGGGGGGGGGGUGGCGCGAAAGGCAACUGCGCGCGAAAGCGACGCAGGGCCGAGCAAGAGGCUGCGGGCAGGGGCCGGGCGCAGCGGCGCGCGUGCGCGGGGCAAGGGCGCGGGCUCAGGCGAGCAUGCGGCCGUCGCUCGUGCGGCGCUGAGCGGGCUGGGCGCACGGCGAGCGGUGCGAUGCCAGCCGCCGCGCGGGCGGCGAGCCGUGCGUGCGGGUUUUUUUUUUUUCCCUUUUUCUUUCUUUUUUCGCUGUCAGACCCACUCCGGACUCUCUCUUUUUUAUUUUAUUUAUUGUCCUGUUCUCCGUUUACAAACACGUUGAUCAAAUUCAAAUUUAAAUCCUGUGCACGCGCAGGCGAACGGGCUGCGCGGCUAGCGGACACGGGGCGAGCAGGAGCAUAUGCGUUCUUUGAGUGACGCGGUGCGACAGUGGGGGGGGGGCCGCGGGGUGCGCAACCCUGCAUGCGAUGCGAGCGGCAGUGUUUGUGAGGCUGCAUACAGAAAAUUUAUUAAAUUUUAAAGUUAAAUUGUUGUCUUGAAUGUUGCUUAUUGUGGCUAUCUUAAAAGGCUGUUUUUUUUUUGCUAGGUAUUUGUGCGUGUGGCCGCGACUGUUUCUCAUGAGCGCGCGGAGUUACGGAGACGGGCGGGCGAGCAGGAGCGGGUCCAUUCUUUGGCGAAGUCGCUGGACAGGCGAGCGGCGAGCAGCGCGGCGCGGUCACGUGCGCAGGUAUAUAUAUAUAUUAGUAUAUAUUGUGCUUUUAUUUGAUUUCUUUAAAAGUCAUUUAUUUCUUUUUGCCGUUGGGUGGCAUACAGAAAAUAAAAAAAAAUUAUCAUUUAAUUUUUAAUUUACAUUUUAGAUCUGCGCGGGGGGUAGUGAGCGGAGACGGCGUGGGCGAGCCGGAAGCGGGUGGGGUGCUUGUGACGGUGCCGGUAAGGGCGCAAGCGAGCCGCCGGCCGGCGUGGCACGCCCCGUCGCAGGUAUAUAUAUAUAUUAUUAUAUAUUUAUAUAUAUAUACCUAUUAGGGAGAACAGUGGCAUUUCUUCUUAAACACCAGAUUCAUCUCUUUUACUUUAAAAUGUUCUUAUUUAUUUUUAAAUAUAAGUAAAUAUAAUAGAUAUAUAUUUUAUGGUAUAUAUACAAAUAUAUUUAUACAUUUGUUUUCCUGCUCCCUACUGUUUUUGAUAUUAUGUGUAUACUUUAUUGGAUGUCGCUUUUUUUGCUACCUUGGGUUUAUUAAUUAUCUAGGAAUUAAUAUAUAUGGAUUUAGAUUUAUUUUUUCAUUAUUGGCAAAAUAAUCUGUUGGCUACUUUGCACCUGCUCUGUUAGUCCAUCGGGUUAUAGAAACUGAAGCAGUUUCGGUAUUGUUUUGCUUAGUCAGUACUCGCAAGUCUUGGAUUAGUCUGUAGAAAAAGCUUCUGCAGUUACAUAGUAUUCUGGUUUUGUUCUCCAAGAGAAUUUUUUGGAGAAUUUUUUUUUUUUUUACUUUUGCUGUAGUUUUAUGUGUUGGCCGACAAAAAAGGCCUUAUGACUUUAUUUACUAUGUUUUCUUUUCGGACAUUGCUUGAUUUGUAGGGUUUAACAUUGCGUGACUUACUAUGUAUGCUGGUCUUUUGCCUGUGAUACAUAAUAAAAACAAAAAAUAUAUUAAUAGUUAUAAUAAUUUACUGUUUUAUUUUCUUCCCGCCGCAUCGCGCGGGGCCCGUACCUAGUUUUAUUAUUAAAGGACGGAAUAUGUGAAAGUUUAAUGACCAAAAAAGAACCGUUAUAUAUAAAAAAAAUAUGUUCUUUAUUGAAUCUUCACUUAGUGAAAUAAUAAUUUCUAUUUUAGAGCCAGAGUGACUUCAUAUUUGAAUUUUUGCUACUUAAGAAAAAUAAAGUCUUACUGCUUAUAGAUAAUAAUUCAAGUAUCAAGGCGAGGUUUACUGGUUAGUACGUUAUGGCCUUAAGGGUGCGUUUGGUUCGCGCUAUAUUCCUAGUAAUUCAAUAGGAAUAAAAAAAUAUGACGGUGUUUGGCUAAACGCACUAAGUAAUCUAGUUGGUAAUAUUAGAUUUACUUGGGAAUGAGAUUUAUCCCAAAGUACUAAUCUCAUUCCCUUAAUGGAGGGUAGGUAUUCUCAUAUUAAUGAAUUGGGGUAAUCAUAAUAUGUCUAAUCUCUUUCUUUCUCCUUACCCGCGGCUAGUUGGUAUUAUUUUUCUUUACAUUCUAACUUCAUAUCUCUCUCUAAACUUAUUUUUUUUUCUCUAAACUUCAACUCUCUUUCUCUUUCUAAACUAAGCUCUCUCUUCCCCUCUUUUUCUAAAAUCUCGACUCUCUCACUCCCUCUAAUCUCGACUCUAUUUCUCUUCCUAUUUCUUUAAUUAUGCUCUCUCUCUCUAACCUAUAUUCUCUCUCUCUCUCUUUUUCUAAAAAGAUAUUAAAAUUUUUGAUGGCAUUAUUUUAAAUUAAUUAAAAAAAAUAAAUAAAUAAAUUGUAUAUUUUUUGUAAAUUUAAAUAACAUGACUAAAUAAUAUAACCGUGCGAAUCAAAUACAGGAAUGCCACAUUCUUAGUAAUAGGAUGAAUAGAAAUAAGAUUCUCGAACAUCUUUUUAUUGCUAGUAAUCUUUCAUAGUGCGAACCAAACGCACCCUAAUAGUAUUCUUAUAGCCGAGAAUCUUUCCAAGAGAGGCUGGCUGUAACAAUUUGAGGGGCCAUUUGGUUGAACAAAGUUGUAAAUUCAAAAGAGGUGCGUGAAACGGUUCACUAGGAUCUCACGAAGAGAGUACGCAGAUUGCUUGAUCGGUGGCUUAUGGUGGAAUAUCUGAAAGGAAUGUAAUUGUUGCAGGAUUUGUUUAAAGGAGUCCAACUGACUGAUGAGGAGAUGGUGAGAGAAAAUUAAAAUCGAUUUGCCUGAGCAUCUCUGUACGACUCUCAGCCUCCCUACCUCUUUUUUUUUUUAAUUUUUUAGAGAGAAAGAUAGUAUGCUAUUCAUUUCAACUAUUUUUUUUUAAAAGUAAACUUAGCUGAAAACGUGAAUCAACUAGAAUUCGAAUUACCGACUGUCUCUAUAGCAAGUGGCAAAGAGUUUGGUAGUUAGUAUCCAAGAUCCUAAAUUCGAAUCCUAGUUGAUUCAUAUUUCUAGCUAAAUUUAUUUUUAAACAAAAUAAACGAAGCAUGUAGCAUGCUACCCAUCUCUCAAAAAAAAAAAAAAAAACUAGAAUUCGAACUUAGGAUCUCGGAUACCAACUACCAAAUUUUUUGCCACUUGCGCUAGGAACGGUGAGUGCCUCCCUACCUCCUUAUAUAUACUACAAACAUUCUUAAUUCGUUAUAACUUUGUAAUUUUUGUAAACCGAUAUAAAUGAAAAAAAAAAAAACUUCAGUAGAGAGUUCCGUAACGGUACUUCGUUGAGGAAUCUUUAUUUAUUGUCAUGUGUUAGUUUUAUUUUUCAUCCGAGAAUUAUAAUCCUUCUUUAUAGAAUUUUAAAUUUUUUUAAAAAUUUUAGUAUUAAAAAAAACUCAACGAAUUUUUGAAUGAAAGCAAAACUACAACAUGAGAUGAGAAAGUAUCUUAUUAGCAUCUAUAUCUAUAACAUACAUGAAUUCUCAGUUUUGGAACAGGUGGCGAGCGUGGAGGCGCGGGCAGAGGCGAGCGCGGGGCGCGGGCAGGCGGGCGCGCGUGGCGGGGCGCCGCGUGGNNNNNNNNNNNNNNNNNNNNNNNNNNNNNNNNNNNNNNNNNNNNNNNNNNNNNNNNNNNNNNNNNNNNNNNNNNNNNNNNNNNNNNNNNNNNNNNNNNNNNNNNNNNNNNNNNNNNNNNNNNNNNNNNNNNNNNNNNNNNNNNNNNNNNNNNNNNNNNNNNNNNNNNNNNNNNNNNNNNNNNNNNNNNNNNNNNNNNNNNNNNNNNNNNNNNNNNNNNNNNNNNNNNNNNNNNNNNNNNNNNNNNNNNNNNNNNNNNNNNNNNNNNNNNNNNNNNNNNNNNNNNNNNNNNNNNNNNNNNNNNNNNNNNNNNNNNNNNNNNNNNNNNNNNNNNNNNNNNNNNNNNNNNNNNNNNNNNNNNNNNNNNNNNNNNNNNNNNNNNNNNNNNNNNNNNNNNNNNNNNNNNNNNNNNNNNNNNNNNNNNNNNNNNNNNNNNNNNNNNNNNNNNNNNNNNNNNNNNNNNNNNNNNNNNNNNNNNNNNNNNNNNNNNNNNNNNNNNNNNNNNNNNNNNNNNNNNNNNNNNNNNNNNNNNNNNNNNNNNNNNNNNNNNNNNNNNNNNNNNNNNNNNNNNNNNNNNNNNNNNNNNNNNNNNNNNNNNNNNNNNNNNNNNNNNNNNNNNNNNNNNNNNNNNNNNNNNNNNNNNNNNNNNNNNNNNNNNNNAUAAUUAUAAUAAUAAUUAUAAUAUAUAUAAUUAUAAAUAUAAUUAUAUAUAAUUUUUUAUUAGUAUGAUUUUUGUCUUUAUUUUUUUUAAUCUUUCUUAUAAUUUUAUUACAGCAAUAGUUGUUUAUUUUUUAGUUAUUUUUUUAUACAAUUUUUUGACUCUUUUUUUUUACUAUUAUUUAUUUUAUUUAUAUAUUUAUUUCUGCAGAAUCGUUCUGCAGCAACACGUCGGUCCUUUACUAGUUUUUCAAUAAGAUGUCGUAAGUCAUUAGAGAGCUCCCUGCAAUGGAAGCGUUAUUAAACUUGUUUUCUAGAGAUUGCUUAAUGAUAUAAGUAUUAAUUGCUUAAUGAUGGAAGUAUUAUUUGUCGGUGACUCAGCGUGCUUGAAGGUGUGUUGUCAGUUAAAAGUUAUUAUCAAUUUUAACUUGCACACCUUAUUUAGUGUCUUUAUUUACUCAGACGUUCAAACCAGAAAAGUGAAUCAUUAAACAAGUUGUACAUUAAGAUCAAAGAAACCAAAAAAAAAAAAACAAAACAAAACAAAAGAAAAAACAAAAUAAACAAAAUCAGGACAACAAUUUAAUUUCUUUUUUCUUUUAAUUUUCCAUCAUUUUUAUUUCCAUCAUUUUAUUUCAAGGGCAAGCAAAGCACGUAUGAAAAGAAACAAAUUAAAGCUAAGUCUUAGGUAAUGUUGGAAUGAAGCUUGUCAUUUCCGAGGAUAGAUGGUGAAGAUGGUUUGGAGAAUAGUGAUGAGGAAGAGAACGACUGAGGUAGCGGCCAAAAGGAAGUUGAAGUUGUUGUAGACGAUCUUGUGAAUAAAGACCCUCACCUUUCUGCGUCUGUGGUAGUCGUUAAGGUGCUGAAGCAGAGACAUGUAGUCAUUGCCGGUCAUGAGGUAAGGGGAGAGGGACUUGAAGAAGCUGAGAGACUGUUGGUCGCUGAGACCGCCGUAUAGUAUCUUCUUUGAUCUCAGCUCCUUGACGUCCUCCUCCCGGCUAAUGAGGGCGACGAGCAGAGAGAGGUAGGAGCCUACCGAGCUCUCAGACGCAACACCGGGGCACAUCUCGAACGCCACCAAAUUGCUGAGGACGAUCCUGUUGUACGUGGUGAGCACGAUUGGUGGGAGGGAUAGCCACCCGUAGAGCGGGCCCCUACGGAAGCUGAAGUUGCGGAACCGGAACGUAUCGCUAGCACAAAUUCGAACCCCGACUUCUGCGAGGUCGAUGGCGGAGGUGAAGAUCGAGAUAUGCGUCACAAUAUCGUCGCCUCGCUGGACCUGGGGGCCUAGGAAUUUCUCACGCACGAGCUCUAGGAGGUGGCAGGGACUGCGGUCGUUGUCGCGGUGGCUGCCGCCCUCAUCGUAUGGAGGCAGCAACCCCGCCGUCAUAUCAAUCUUAGCAACAAUUUUUUGGAGAAACAGAUCGAUAGGUACCCAUCGGAAACUCAUAAGGGCCUCUAGAACCACCCACGGAAGCUGGUUCUCGAGCAACAUGACGUCCCUAAAGACUCGAUCUAGGUUGAAAGAGCUCAUCCACCUUUCGACGGAUAAAGAUGCCGGGAUGUACCCGGUUGCCGUCACAAUGAACUGCAGCAGAAAGCAGCCAUCGAAGAACAUCAUGUCCGCGAAUUCCUUGUCGCUGAUGUCGUCGAAUCGGUCCGCAUAGCACAACCGAGCCAGAGGAGUCACAUCACGAACCACUUUGUAGAACUCUCGGACGGAGCGCCGUGAGCUCUUGCAGAAGUCGAGGGCGACCGCCUUCUUGAUUGCCUCUGCCGGCUGCACUUGCGGGUCGUGUCGGUGGUACGGCCCGAUCGCCACUACCUCGGGGUUGAAGUACUGGUCGCCCUUCUCGAUACUUCGAAGAAGGUAAUGGACCCUCCGUAUGAUGGGCCUCGUUCUGUCUGGCCAUUGUUGCGCUGUGGACUGGAUCUCCGUCAUCGCCGAAACAAGCGCUUCGGAUUCAUCCAUGGCUUCCACGUUCAUGCCGCUCCGCGCACAACUGCUGCUCCUUCAGCAAUCGCCUCUCGUGUUUCGGCCCCUCCUUAAGAAGAAGGACCGGCCAAGCUCCUUCGCCGUCUCUCGUAUCGUUUGCUUUUACCACCACUUCUCCGCAAGGCAACUCGAUUCCAUUACCACGUCGCAAGGCAACUCCAUUCGAUGGUCUUUGGUUUUUUCUGUCGGAAAGCUUUAAAACAACUAUAUAUUUCACCAGCUUUUUUUUUUCUUUCUUUUUCCCUUUGUUUGAAGAGGAAUGCUGCUUGCACUCUAGUAGUGAAAAGAUCAGAAAGAAGUUGAACAACCCUGUGUGAUCUCCGAAGACCGAAGAAUUUCUCUUUUUGGCUAAAUUUCACGGCUUGUCCUCAUAAUGCUCAUGAUAUAUAUAUAUUUUAGUUUUUUAGAUUAUAAUUUAUCAUAAUUUUUUAUUCAAAUUUUAUAAAUUAUUGUAAUUAAGUCUCAUAGUCCGUCCUAUUGAGUAAGCCGGAGACUGAUUCAUCGCCAAUUUGGUAACACUAUAUAUAUAUAUAUAUAUAUAUAUAAAAUUAGGCUGGAAUACUUCUAAUAGCACUAAGUUGUUGGUGCUAUUAGAUUUUCGGUCUUUGGACGAAGGGACGUGCGGUUAGAGUAAUAAUGAUUUUCGAGUUGAAUUGAUGGUUGGUUGAAUAGUAUAAUUUAACAGGUGAAAAUUAUCAAAAGGAUAAAUCUAGCAGCGAAAGAUUCGAUAGCACCAAAUAAUAUAGUAGUUAAACUCUCUCUCUUUAUAUAUACUAGUGAAGACCCGCGCUUCGCGGCGGAAAAUUUAUGCAAUUUUUAAAAUAUUUUGAACAAUUUUUUUUUAUUUUUUUAAUUUCCAAAUUUAAUUUUAAAUUUUAAACUUCGAAAAAAUGAAGAGAGAGAAAAAGUAAAAAAAAUUAUUUAAGUAGAGAGGGACAAAAAAAAUUUGAAGUUUGAAGCACGAUUUAUUAUAUGUAUUAUUAAUAAAUUAAUUAAUUAUAUAUUAUAUAACAUUAUUAAUAAAUUUAAUUAAUUAAUUAAAUUUAUAGAGUUUAGAAAUUAAAAAUUUUNUAUAUAACAUUAUUAAUAAAUUUAAUUAAUUAAUUACUUUUAUAGAGUUUAGAGAUUAAAAAUUUUAAACUUUGAAGUUUAAAAUUGAAAUAAAUAUUAUAUGUUAAUAUUUGAAUUUAAAAUUUAAACAUAAAAUAUAAAAUCUAAAAAAUUAAAAUUUUAAAAGUCUCUCUCUCUCCCUCUCUCUCUCUCUUUCUCCCCCUAGCUCUCUCUCUUUCUCGCUCUUUCUCUCUCGCCCAGCGUCUCUCUCUCUCUCUUUCUCUCUCUCUUCCCCUCUCUCCCUCAGUCCCUCCUCCCCCCGGUGCUCGCGCCGCGGCCGCGGCCGCGGAGAGGGGGAGAGAGAGUCCCUAAAUCCUAAACCCUAAACCCUUCGUAGCGGGUAAAUAAUAUUUAAAUUAAUUAACAUAUAUAAGUAUUACAAUUUUAAAAUUAAAAAAUUAUAACUAACUAAAAAUAUUAUAAAAUAAAUUUUAAAUAGUUACAUUAUUCUAACAACUUAAUAUAAAUUUAUAUUUGAUUUAUAAUUUAGAUUCGGUGUACGAUAUAGUUAAAACAGAAGUAUAGGACCCCAAUCGGGCCUUUCUAAAGUGUAGCAUAAUCAUUAAAAUUAAAAUUUCUAAUUAUAUUCGUAUGAAAUGUUACUAUAUUAUGCAAAUAACACUGUGUAGUCAGUAGUCUGAUGGUCAUAUAAUUUUUUAUAGAACACAGAGUCAUCGUAAUUAAUAUCUUUGAUCUGCAAAUCACAUUCAUCUUUCAGUCUCUUAAGAGCAAUACGUGCGGCAUCUUGUUCAGCCGCAGCUGAUGUAGGAAAUUGGGUGCUCAAACAUCGAACAGUUUCAACUAUAAUUUCACUCUGAGAAAUUUGCAAAUCUAUAUAGCCCACAAACCUCCCCUCGGUGUCCACGCUUAGUACACAUCGUGGCACUUGUAACUGGAGCUGCUCAUAAAUGAACUGCAAAAGGAGGAAGCAGAGAAAUUUUAAUUUUAUGGUUAGAAAUUCUAUGUUGAUCAGAAAGAAACAAUUCAUAGCAAAGAGAACUACUAACCUGAAACCCUACCAAGAAGGAAACGUCCAGAUCUUGUAAAUGUGAGCGUCGAUUCCUGGGGAUAAAACAAUAAGAUUAGUAUUAUUAUUAUAUAAUAUAAGAAAGAAAGAUUUGAUCUGAAUACCUAAAUUUCUUACCGUUCAAAUUUUGGGAUAAUAGCAUAAGAUGCUAGUUUCGAUCUGAGGCAUGGAUGAAUUUUAUAGGCAAAAAUGUAGCAGCGAGGAGGGUAGAAGAAUCGACCAGGGUAGAGGACAGGAUCCAUCUGAAACGGUGGUAGAUUUUAUGAGCACGAUCCCGUCGAUCCCGUCUGAAACGAAAAUAGGAGACGGAUGCUGCGACGUAGAGAAGAGAAGAAACGAUUUGCUGUAACCGACAGGAAAAGAAGCAAGGUCGCGCGGUGGGGGAGCGAUUUACUGUAACGGAUAUGAGAAGAACAUGAGAAAAAGCAAGGUCGUGAGGAGGCGGGGCGAUUUGCGGUUUCGUGCGGAGAAGAAGAAAGGAUCGCGUGUAUUGGUUUGGUUUUAUUUAGAAGUUUAGAUAGUGAACGGUUCGGUUUGCUUCGCUUCGGUUCAGAGAGAAGCAGUUCAAUGGUUCGGUUCAGAUGUUUAGAGACAACGGUUCGAUUCGGUUGGUUCGUUUCGGUUCGGUUCAGAGGUUUAGAGAGAUGCAGUUCAAUGGUUCGGUUUUCAUACACAAAAUUAGAGAGGCAGAUCAUUGGUUCAGUUCGGUCUAAAAGAAAUGGUUUGGUUCAAAGUGGGUUAUUAUUAUUAUUUAUCUAUUAAUUAUCUAUUAACCUAAGAAUGAAGGGUUUCUUGCCACGUGACAAGAAACAUUGUGGAUUCAUUUAGGUUUAUAGAUACUCUUUAUUACUCUAACGGCUUAAUGUGUUAUACCCUUUAUUACUCUAUCUGAUUACUGCAGUCAUAAUUACAACCAAUCUACGCGUAGUGACAACUCUUGCUGUUGAAUUUUCUCGUAUAGUUUCAACUAUAGUAAUUAAAUUCAAAUACAUCAAAUCAAACACUGUAUCUAUAUUGUAUUUAGUUACAAUAACAGUGCAAUUACAACUAUAUACAACCAAAUAGUCUUUACACCAAGAUGAACAUCAGACUCGGCCCAGACUCCAAAUGGGCCAAAGCCUAAAACACGGACAAGAGAAUGGGCCAAAAGUCCCAUAAAAAAUGAAACCGAAAGGUUAGAGACUUUUGAGAGGAUGUUGAUAUGCUUAUUCAUCUGAUAUUUUAUAAAGAACUCGGUAGCAAAGCCCCACAAAAGCCGACUUUGAUUAUUACUCUGCAAAAUGAAUUCGGCGGGCGACGGAGCCCCUAAACUGCCCGAUUUCUAUUGUAGUCGGCAACGAGGAGCCUCCGCACGCCGACUACAAGAGAUCGAUAUGUGUAAAUGCGAAAAAAAAAAAAAGGGAGUGAGAAUAUCAGUUCUCGGUCAAACGGUCAGCAUUUUGGCGCCUCCUUUCGGAAAGCGCUCGCUCGCUGCCACGUCAUAGGGGCGGUGCAAAAAGCCAAAACCAACCGCCAAGGCUUACGUACAUCUCACACUAGACCCGGUCUAUACACCCAACCACUCUAUUAACCUCCAUUGUUUGAGAGAUGUCUUUUUUUGGAAUAAUUACCUACACAUCUCUCAAAAUUUCUGAAAUAUUUUAUAAUAUUUUAUUUUUUUAUUUAAAAUAUACAUUUUAUAUAUUUUUUCGUUAUUAAAAAAUAACUCCGCUGUUAGUAUCCGUUAAAUCAUCUUCGAUUAAACCAGUAUUAAAUUUUUACCGGAGUUAAAAAAUGUCAAAAUUCUCUUUUUGUCUGUAACUUAAUGAUAAAUAAGAAAAGUUAGUAACAACAGAAGGAUAUAUUUGAAAGGGCGAAAAUUCAAACUGUUUUUUUUUGCCCCUAACUUAAGGGCAAAUAAAAAAAAAUUAGUAACGGUAGAAAGGGGAUAUUUAAAAAGGCAAAAUAGUAAUUUUAUAAAAAUAAUGUUUAUUUCCGACGUUCACUAAUAAAAUUUUACUCUAGAGAGAUAUAUGAAAAAAUUUAGAUCUCUAGAAGAAUAUUUUUUAUAUUAGCCUUCUAAGCGAGGGAAAUAAAAAUGUCUGAAAUCUUUUAGAGGUAUUUAAAUAAUUAUCCUUUUUUUAGCCCUUGUGUAGUUCAAAUUGCAUUAGAUAAUUUAAAUAUAAUUUUUUCUGAUUAAUUUUAUCUUACAUCAUGUGAGAUAAUAUAUUAAGAUAUUUUUAUAUAACAUAGACUCUUUUUUUUAUCUUACACCUUGUUUUCUAUUGCAGUGUUUUAUAUAUUUUCACAUAAUAGAAAUAAAAAAUUUUAAAUUUUACUAAAAUUAUACUAAUAAUAUUAUUAUAAAAUUUUUUAAUUUGUUAAAAUUUUUAGCUACGGCUAAAAUUUAGUAUGAAAUAGAAAAAGAAUAGAGUGUCUGAGAUCUAAUGAUAGUGAUGAAUUUGUCAUUUGUGUGAUUUGUUCAUGAUGACGUGGCACACCCGGUUCAUGAGAAUAGUUAUUACAGCUAAAGGGCAAAUUAUAGACCGAAAGAAACCACGCUUUUUUUAUUCAAUUCCUUCGAUCUCCUCCUCACUCUUCUUCUUCUUCUUCUUCCUCUCCCCUUUCCUUUUCUCCCUCUUCGCCUCAUCUCUCUCGAUUCAGCCCUAGCAAUGGCGAACGACGCCAUCCCCUCCUCCUCCUCGUCGUCGGAGGCCGCGGCGGAAGAGGAGGAGAAGAAGAAGAAGAGGCGUAGUGGCCGCGGAGGCGGCGGCGGAGGAGUGGUGUCGCGCGUGUGGAAGGGGAUCUUCGGAGCGGGACAUGACUUGGAGAAGGAGCUUCGGCGCCUCUCCGUGGCGGAGGCCUCCGCCCACGCGCGGAUCAAGCGAAGGGCCCAAGCCACGCGCGCGAUGAGGACGAACCUCGUCGUCGUAUCGAUCGCUCUUGAGGUUUUGCGAUUUGAUUUGAUUUUAGCCGAAUUAGUUUUAAUUAGGUCGCUGGAAUUUAUCAAGUUGAUUUCGAAUUUAGGGUUUGAUGAGGUAGCAAGGUUGUCACUAUGUAUUGAAAUGAGCUUAAUAUUUGGUAGUUGUUUGAUAUUCUCAAAUCAUAUUACGUUUGAUUGCAAUAAUUCAGGUAGUUUGAAUCACAAACUUCAAUAAUUAAAGUUUUGAUGAUCAAAUAUCAGCAACCUUGUAGUUCGAGGACUAUUCGUCAAAUUUGGCCUAUGAUUUAUGUGUGCAAAUGGAGCAAUAUUGCUCGUUUAGUUUUACUUUUUUGUUUGUAGAAACAUGAUUUUUGAUGUUUAUAAUGGUUGCACAGAAUUGCGCCAAGUGAUUGAAAAAUCUGGUAUGAAGCUGUUCGUCCAAUUUAGCCUAUGAUUUAUAUGAGCAAAUGGAGUGAUCUUGCUUGUUUAAUUUUAUAUUAGUUUGUAGAAACAUGAUUUUUAUUGUUUAUAGUGGUUUCACGGCAUUGCGCCAAGUGAUUGAAAAAUCCGAUAUGAUGAUGUACUUCAACACAAUAUAUAUUAGAUUCCGUAUACGUCACAAAUAUAUCUUUCACCAGUUGUGUACUUCUAUAUCUUCUAUAAAAGUUCCUAGUGGUUCUGCAAGUGUUUGUUGCUUCAUUAUUGCUAAAACCUUCCAAAAAAUGAUUUAGUGUUCUUGGUCAUUUUCUACUAGAUCAUUUUUUUUUUGGUAGCAUGGUAUCAGAGCUAGCCCAAACCCCCCUCCAUUCCAAGAGGUCCUUAGUUUGAUUCUUUUAUCCGCCACUUUAUGGCAUCAAUUUCCGUCCUUUAUUCCUUUGUAUUUUCCAUUAUCUCAGACCUUUUGGCAUGGUUCGUUUGAUAUUCACCAUGCAUGCGAGUGGGCAGUGUUAAGACAAAUUCUAGGCCAUUUCCUAGUUGGUCAAUUUUUUUGUUAACACCUAUCAGAUAUUUCUCUCGGUCAAGACUCAGGGUUAUAUACUCGUUAGAAAAGCCUUGAUAAUUUCUUAGGAUAGUUGCUUUUUGAACUGAUUUCUAAUUGUUGUUGAUUUGUUUCACAGGGUUUGGCUGUUGCAUAUGCUAUCAUGACGACAAGAUCAUUGGAUUUGAACUGGCAGAUGAGGGCAGUUAGAGUGAUGCCUUUGUUUGUGCUUCCUGUUUUAGCUGUUGUCAUCUACUCGACACUUGGGAGCGUCAGAAGAAUGUGUAAAUAUCAUGGACUCUUUUCCUUUUAAAUUUUUUUUAUAACCCAGUUCUCAGUUUCUAUAAAUUUGCUGAUUGAGCUUUUGAUCUAUUAGUCUCUCUUUAUAGACGUUUAUUUGACUGUUCUUUCAUAUUUGAUUGGUCCAUUGAAUUUUUUUUAAUUAAAUAGAUAUUUAAAUGGAAAAAAAGAAGGCGGCCGUGGAGUAUAGAAGAAGUGAUCCUGGGUUGUACUCAGCUUUCAUCCCUAUUCAAUUAUGUUUUUGAUGGGAAUAUGGGACUUAUUAGGUGUAUCAGCAUUUUUCCAGCUACAAAUAAGGGGGUAUCAUGUUAAUGAAGUUCAUAGUUUUGUCUGGAGAAGGGAAAAAAAGAAAAUAAUGUGAUGGUGGGGAAUCCUUUCGCCACUAAUACAAAAAAGCACAUAUAAGAUGAACUGCCUCAAAAUUGAUUCUCUGAAUCUUUGAUGUUUUUCUUACAUGGUUGACCAUGAGCUUUUUAAAUUCCUUUUAGACACCUAAUGUGGGAGAAACUUUUAGUGAGAUUUGGGAAAAACAUUAUCCUGUUUAUAACCUGUCCUUCUUUUCUUCAGUGGAUAGCAAGGACCAGAAAGCGCUUGAGAGGCUCCGUGAAGAAAGGCAAGCGAAGAUAACUGAGCUGAAGGAGAGGACAAAUUACUACACUACACAACAGCUUAUUCAGGUAGGUUUUUCAUCUUUCUAUCCUUCAUCUAUAUAUCUACUAUUGGCACUUGAUCUUGGGCAAAAAAAAUGCAUUGAUAUCACUCUCUGUAGAGUUACAUGCCUAAGUGGUUCCUGUAUGGUCUACUCUUGUGUACCUGUCAAUUUAAUCACUGAGCACUUCUUUUAGUCAAUCAGGUCACUGAAGUCUCGACUAUUUGUGAAAUUCAUUAUUCCAAGUGAAUUAAAAGAACUUGUACUACCGCUUGGUCCAUAUACAUAUCAGUAAUACUCUUGAUUCCAUCCGUUUUUUAAGAAUCUCAGCAAGUGUUUAACCGUCCAUGUCUGCAAAGUCGAUGAUGUACACUUAUAAGAUGACGCUGGGAAUAUACCUAUUUUUUCCUCCUUUUUUUCUCUCUCCAAGAACGAGGUAUGGUUUAGUACAAUUUAUCACGAUCCUAUCAUAAUAACUCUUUUGGUAUCUAAAAGAGUUUAGGGUUCAAAUCUAUUUCUUUAUAUCUGUAACAUUGGAGGGAUAACUAAUAAUUUAACUUCUGAAGUUAGUUUAUUUAUCAUCAAGGAUGGUAUUAGUAAUUUAGCAAAGCUUUGAUUAGCGAAUUUUCAUCGAAAUGGACAUAGCACGAUAUUCAUGUAUCAGUGAAAGUAGAGUGACUAACUUUUAAUUUUUAUUCUCUGUAUAUGUUACUGAUUCUUUAUAACGAUUAACGCAGAGAUACGACCUUGAUCCUGCUGCCAAGGCCGCAGCAGCAACUGUUCUGGCAUCUAAACUUGGAGCAGAUUCUGGGUUGAAAUUUUAUGUUGGAGAUGAAUCAAAUACCAGUCCCUCAUUGGGAGUUAGCAAUGAUGUUAACCCGGCGCAACCUACUCAGCUCCGACACAGAAAACCAGCUUCUGGCAAAAGUGCUGCCGCAGUAAGCAGCCAAGAAGCUCACUUCUUUGAUGAUUCCUUAAAUGAGUACGACGAAAAUGCCGGGGAAAUUGCUUCUCCAAAUCAGAGUUUUGUUGGACAUAAUAAAGGUUCAGCUGGUAGUGACGGGGGAUGGCUCGCUCGAAUUGCGGCUUUGCUUGUAGGAGAAGAUCCGACACAGUGCUAUGCGCUGAUCUGCAGCAACUGCCAUAUGCAUAAUGGUAAGUGAUGUCUUUCGAAGUUGUUAUCAUGUCAAAUUACCUUUUUAUCCCUUUCCGCUCUAAAUGUGCUCGCCCUCGUGUUUAACCUCGAUCACAAGCAACAAAAUGCAAGAACUGACUCAACUGGCUAACUUAAUGUGCAGGAUUUGCGAGGAAAGAGGAUUUUCUAUUUAUAACAUAUUAUUGCCCUCAUUGCCACGCAUUAAACGGGUCUCGACAGCAAGCGGAAAACGAAAUGAUUUUGAAUUCUGAGAGGGAAACUCCGAUUUCUCAAGCUGAUGGUAAUGAUGCGUUCAACGACGCGAGCAAUUCGAGCUCGAUCACCGGCAGUCCAUUUGCAAACACUCCAACAGCUGCCAAAGAAAUGCCUCAAGGAGACAACGGCGACGAGGAAGGAAAUGAUGUUCAUACUAAUUAGGAAUUUGCAUUCAGUAUUAUAUGUAAUGCUUUUACAAUGAGAUAGCUUCUGUUGAAGGGAAAAUUCGUUUGUUUGUCGAUGAUUCCGCAUAAAGAGAGGAAAGGAGCAUGUUGUGUAAAAUAAUUACUAAUUCUUUUUGAGAGUUAUGGUAAUUUUUGGCCAUUUUGUUAUAUACUGUGAGGAGUGGAAGGUACCAUAAUGGGGUUUUUGGGCGACUACACUUAUAGAAUUUUUUUUAAUUCUAAAAAUAUAUAUGUAUCCAACAUUUUUAUUUGUAAAUUAUGUUGCACUAUUUUACAACACAUUGUACUGUUUGAUAAGUUAUUGUGAAGUGCUCUCAAGUAAUUACGUAAUAAAUUUUCAAGUGAUGUAACGUAUUUUUUAAUUGUUCAGCAACUAAUCACAUAGUAUUAUAUUUUUUAACUAAUGGUUUAAUAUUUUUAUUUCUUUGAAUGGAGAAAAAAAAUUUGUAGAGAGAGCAUGACAAAACAAUAAAGAAAAAGAAAUAACAGUGCAACACAAAUAUUAGUAACAAGCAUAAGUAUAGUAAAAAAAGAGUCUAGAUGAAGAAGGGAUAUAACACACCACUUAUUAGGCAUUUGUUAUAUUAUUUAUAUAAAUAUUACACUACCUGUUCUUUUUGGACUAUAUUUAAUCUUUUAAUAUUAGUAAAUUUUUAUUUUUUUAAAAAAAUUUACAUAGCAAAUACUAAAAAUAAAAAUAAAGGAUUCACGUUGGCGAAAAUAGUUUGCAUAUAUUAUGAAUUAAGGUAGAUGAGAUGCACUAUUUAACUAUUACUUCUUGUCUAGAGAAUACGAAAAUUCAUCUUGCACUAUGUACGAAUUUUGACUACAGAGACAAUUUUGUCAAAAUUUUGAAAAAUAGGAGCAAAUUGUAGAUUCCAAAAAAUGCAUUGGAUCUGCAAAAUCACAAAAUUAGUUAUUAUUUUUUAGCACUGAUAUGGUACACUGAAAAGGGGUAUAAGUCACCCCCUCAUCUAAGGACCCUUAGUGGGGAGUUUUUAAUAUUAAUGGACUUAAAAGAAUAUUAUAAUUAUAAAAAUAGUUUUUUUAAAAAAUUAUUUAUAAAAUUAGUUUUAUGCAAUGAAUGAUUUACCGUAUUUAUUUAAAUAUAAUAGUUUAUUUAUUCUCAAAAUGUUAAAAUUAUUUUUACUAUUUAAUACUAUACAUCUUUUGAAGUUUAAAUGUGUAAAAUAUAUAAGUUCGGUAAAUAAUGAAUAAUGUAUCGUUUUUAGAACGCGGUGAGUCAUCGUUUUUUAAAAAUAGUAAAUAAUUCACUGCAAAAAUCUAAUUAUAUAAAUAAAAAUUUUAAAUGUCCAUUUUUAUAAUUAAAAAAAUUCUAUAGCAUCCGUUUGGUUCGGAGUUAAGGAGUGGAAAAACCCUUUAACCCCGAAGUUAUUUCCAAACGCCUAAUUUGGGGAUUGGGGUUAACUAACCCCACCCCACCCCACCCCACCCCACCCCACUACUCCAAGUCUCAAACCAAACAAAAUACUGUUUUAUCUAUUAUCUUUCUUAUCUCAACCACUCCAAUCAAACACUAUUUUAUUUAUAUCUGAACUAAUCCCAAUUUUCAACUAAAUACAAAAUUAUUCUAAUCCCACCUUAACCCUGAACUUAACUCCAUUCUUGGAAUAAUAAAUUUUUACUUAACCCAGAACCAAACGGUUGCAUAGGGUUAGUCGAUCUCAAAACCUUCUUAAUAGGUCCUUAUCUUGUCCUUUUUUUUUAAUACUAAAAACUUAAAAAAUUUUUUAAUAAAUUCUAGGGCGAAGUAAUGUAUGUCAUACAUGUAGCAUUUUUUUUUUUUCAAUCAAAAUCUAUUAAUUAAAGAAAAUAUAAAACUGAAGCUUUAUUGCAAACUUUCCAUAAUAGAGGGGUCUCUGUACAUUUUUAUGCAGAAAUGGGGCUUCGUUUUCUUCUUAACGACAAUACAGGGAUCGAAAACUCCAACUCUCUCUCUCUCUCCCCCUUCCCCAGAUCUCGUUCCCGGCGAAACCCUAGAUCUCAAUCCCAGGUAUGCUCUUUUCCCUUCCUCCCCAUCUCUCUCUCAAUCUCCGCAUCUUUGAUUCCAUUUCAUUUCGAAGCAUUAGAUCCGUUAGUUUUAGCUUACACUCUUUGAUCGAUGUGAAAUGGCUCAUUAAAUCGCUAUAAAGUUGAAGGUUUUUGCCUAAUAUUGGGCUAAUUGAUGUUACUUUUGUGCCUAGGGUUGUAGAUCUACGAGCAUUGUAGNNNNNNNNNNNNNNNNNNNNNNNNNNNNNNNNNNNNNNNNNNNNNNNNNNNNNNNNNNNNNNNNNNNNNNNNNNNNNNNNNNNNNNNNNNNNNNNNNNNNNNNNNNNNNNNNNNNNNNNNNNNNNNNNNNNNNNNNNNNNNNNNNNNNNNNNNNNNNNNNNNNNNNNNNNNNNNNNNNNNNNNNNNNNNNNNNNNNNNNNNNNNNNNNNNNNNNNNNNNNNNNNNNNNNNNNNNNNNNNNNNNNNNNNNNNNNNNNNNNNNNNNNNNNNNNNNNNNNNNNNNNNNNNNNNNNNNNNNNNNNNNNNNNNNNNNNNNNNNNNNNNNNNNNNNNNNNNNNNNNNNNNNNNNNNNNNNNNNNNNNNNNNNNNNNNNNNNNNNNNNNNNNNNNNNNNNNNNNNNNNNNNNNNNNNNNNNNNNNNNNNNNNNNNNNNNNNNNNNNNNNNNNNNNNNNNNNNNNNNNNNNNNNNNNNNNNNNNNNNNNNNNNNNNNNNNNNNNNNNNNNNNNNNNNNNNNNNNNNNNNNNNNNNNNNNNNNNNNNNNNNNNNNNNNNNNNNNNNNNNNNNNNNNNNNNNNNNNNNNNNNNNNNNNNNNNNNNNNNNNNNNNNNNNNNNNNNNNNNNNNNNNNNNNNNNNNNNNNNNNNNNNNNNNNNNNNNNNNNNNNNNNNNNNNNNNNNNNNNNNNNNNNNNNNNNNNNNNNNNNNNNNNNNNNNNNNNNNNNNNNNNNNNNNNNNNNNNNNNNNNNNNNNNNNNNNNNNNNNNNNNNNNNNNNNNNNNNNNNNNNNNNNNNNNNNNNNNNNNNNNNNNNNNNNNNNNNNNNNNNNNNNNNNNNNNNNNNNNNNNNNNNNNNNNNNNNNNNNNNNNNNNNNNNNNNNNNNNNNNNNNNNNNNNNNNNNNNNNNNNNNNNNNNNNNNNNNNNNNNNNNNNNNNNNNNNNNNNNNNNNNNNNNNNNNNNNNNNNNNNNNNNNNNNNNNNNNNNNNNNNNNNNNNNNNNNNNNNNNNNNNNNNNNNNNNNNNNNNNNNNNNNNNNNNNNNNNNNNNNNNNNNNNNNNNNNNNNNNNNNNNNNNNNNNNNNNNNNNNNNNNNNNNNNNNNNNNNNNNNNNNNNNNNNNNNNNNNNNNNNNNNNNNNNNNNNNNNNNNNNNNNNNNNNNNNNNNNNNNNNNNNNNNNNNNNNNNNNNNNNNNNNNNNNNNNNNNNNNNNNNNNNNNNNNNNNNNNNNNNNNNNNNNNNNNNNNNNNNNNNNNNNNNNNNNNNNNNNNNNNNNNNNNNNNNNNNNNNNNNNNNNNNNNNNNNNNNNNNNNNNNNNNNNNNNNNNNNNNNNNNNNNNNNNNNNNNNNNNNNNNNNNNNNNNNNNNNNNNNNNNNNNNNNNNNNNNNNNNNNNNNNNNNNNNNNNNNNNNNNNNNNNNGAUCAAGUCUAACGGAGCCGAUCGUCGAUUCGAAAAUUCCAUCAUCGAAAACGGCUCAGGAGCACGGAGGCCUCCGUGCUCCUGAGAGCACAGCAGCCCUGCUCUACAUAUAUAUAUAUAUACAUAUAUACAUAUAUAUAUAUAUAUAUCUAUAUAUAUAUAUAUUAGGUCUUGUGUGCUAUUAGGAGCACGGAGGCCUCCGUGCUACCAAUAAUAUACCAGCCUAGCUCUAUAUAUAUAUAUAUCGAGUCCGGCUACUAUACUAUUAAUAGUACAAACCGCUUACUAUUAGCUUUUCGGUCCUUGAAUGAAGGGAUAUGCAAUCAGGAUGAUAGUAACCCCCUAGGGUUGAGUGGGUGUGGUUAGUUGAAUAGUAUGAUCUAACGAGUGAAAAUGAUCAAUAGAAUAAAUCUAAGGGCAAAAAACUUAUGAGUAUAAGGGAGCGAAUACUCAUAAAAGUAUAGUAGCCGGACUCAUAUAUAUAUAUAUAUAUAUGUAAAUGUAUAUUAAUUGCCCCUUCAUUGUACCAUUUCAGGCUUCUGAAGGCAUUGCCUGAUUAACUCCUCCCAUAGUUCAUCAUCAUGUUGAUCGGUCACAAAUUCUACAGCCUACAUAAAGUUAAAAUAUUCAUUUAUUAGACACCAAGAAGUAUAUUAUUAUCCAAUCAUAAUGCAGUAAUUACGAUGGAAUGAAAUGUUUUUGGUAAACAAGGACAAAAGAAAAAGAAGAAAACAACUGACACAAACAAAGUUACUUAUGCACACCUCCUGUAUGUCCUCCAACUUAUUUAUAAUAAUAGCAAGGGCCUGUUUUGCAUUUCCCAUCCUACCAAGGACAAAGACUUGCUCUCUUAUGAGCUCUUUCCUAGCACAAAUUUCAUAAGCCUGAAAGGUAAUAAAAUGUUAUUUAUUUAUUCAGUAAAUCUGAAAAAAUGUUAGCAAAUCAAGUCCAACCUUGUCUAGCCUGUAAUGCUGACUGGUACGAAGAAAAGGGAGUAGCAAUCGUGAUUCGUAAUCUGCAUAAAGCUCUACCUAUGACAUAAAAGGACAAAGUACACAACGAAUAAUUAAUCAAGAAUAAGUGUUAUUGCAUGCACAGCAAGUACUGAAAUUAUUCAAAUUCAAAAAGAGUAGAGCUCAGGGGGAAAAGAAAAUUGUACAAGGAAAAAUGAUGAUUGCCCACAGUAAUGACAAAUAACUAGAGAUAGGUAAUUAUUGUGAUAUGAUCCUGAAGGGAUGAAGAACAAAUAAAAUUCAGUAAGAAAACAGAUAUACCUGCAUAUCAUGGAACUCUUUUCCAGCAUUAAUGUCAACCUCAAAAAGGGAAUGCAAGUAAAGAUGCAAGAAAUAUCUCUUGUCACACUUUUUAUUGGACUGCAAAAGCUGCCCGACAACUUCAGAUGGAGGAAUUAUAUCACGGUGUUGGAUCAAUAAAAGAACCGUUCUUUUACUGUCAAGUAUCAUAAGAUCAACCACCUGUAUAAGAAAUAAUAGUAAAUAUAAUAUUAAAAGAAUUGCCUUAACGAUUGCAUAAAUGUACAAGUUAAUUCUAACAUUUAUUUGACAAUAAAUAUAAUUGCUAUCUUAGUAAUAUUUUGCUAAUAGGGACUAAAAGCAACAUGCAUAAACUUCAACACAACCAAUAAAAUGAGAAUGCAAUAACAUAUAAUUUCAUGAUAACUUGAAGUUCAACAUACAUUCCUUUCUUUCAGUGAGCAGCUGUUAAUACCUGUAGAUCAUAAAACUCUUAAAUGCUUACCGGUUUGGAGUGUAAUCAUCAUAGUGAAAGGGUCAACGUUGUACUCUGUUUGAAAUGCAUUUUGUCUAUUCUUAUCCUUCAACUCCUCUCUCUAGGCUUCAAAGUUUUUAAAAAACCUUUUUUGGAUAUAUAUGAAGACUAACACAUUUUUUUGAGUGAGAGAAAGCACAGUAUGCACAAACAAGAAACAGAGUCAUUUCAGCAGACUAUUCUUGUCAAGAUAAUCGUAAAAGGACCAUUUUGCAGAAAAGAAAUAGUAAAAAUUUGAACCAUAGAUUUUAACAAUGGUCAGAUGCAUGAGGAUUUUUACUCAUAAAGGAGAAACAACAAUAGGACAGAACUUUUCAUCUGAGCCACAAGAACAAACAACAGUAUUGUAUCCAAGUACUAGAAGAGGAAUAAACAAAAGCGUAUGCCGCAGAGCGCAAGGCUACUUUUAGUGUAGCCUCCACAGUAAUGAUAUACAACCUUACCCUAGUUAAUAAAAGGAUUUCCAUGAAUCAAACCAGCAUCUAGAGGUUGUAACAAAAGGAAUCACUACAGUUAUUUGCACAAGCAGAUAGCUAAAACGAGUGGGCUGUAAGCUUCAUAAGCAUACCAAGUAUGAUAGAAUAUAGCUCUUCCCAUGAAAGUAAAACUAAGAAAAGAAAGUAAUACUGAGAAAAGAUAAAAGUGAAAUUAUCGUCAACAUUAGGGCUGAUAGCAUACCUUGUCAUGAACGGCAUGAUAUAAACUGUGCUUUUCAAUAAAAUUGAAAACGUCAGGCUUCAAUACCUGAAAAGACAAAAAUGGAAAGAUGAAGUGGGAAGGUAACAUCAAUAUGCGAAUUAAGGCUUGUUUGGCCUGUUUGGGCUUGGAAGAAAUGCUGUUACUCAAAGAGCCGUUCAAAGCAGUGGUAAUAUUUUCUUUUUUUAACCAUAAGUUAUCCUCUACAGCUUCUCACUGCAGAAGAAGCAAAAUGUUCAAAUUGGAACUUUUGGUUUUGGGGCCUGAAAGACUAUUUUAGUCUCCCAACAGCAAAAGCUCGGGACAAUUUGCUAGCCAAACACAUGGUUUAUGGAAGCUUCCACUUCGUGCAUAGAGAUGCUUUUCCAUAAGCCAGGCCAAAAUGUCGCAUGAAGCGUAAGUACUUACAUCAGCAUACAAACCAAAGGCUUUCUCAUACAGUCCAUUGAUCACAUAUAAUUCAGCUAAUGCCUGUUACAAAAACAUGAAUAAAUAAAUAGGAGAUAUAGAACAGAUGUACCAACGCAAAAAUUCCAAACUAACCUCUUUCAAAUUAUCAGUCAUAGAGGAGGUAUUCAUUUGUGGCUCAAUGGCAGAAAUAACAGGUGAUACAGAAUAUAAUGUAGGCGGCCACGAUUUAACAGUUGACAAGAGAAGUUUGUGAAAUGGCGGGUUAGUAGCCAAUGCAACAAGGGCAACCUGUUCAUAUAAAGAAUAAUAUUCAGGAACUCUACAAGCUAAUGAUAAAAAUCUUACUCAUGAAGCAACAACUACAGAUCCAUUAUUUAUCUUACAGACCUCAUAUGCAGUAUCACUCAGCUGAGGAUAGUCUGUAGGAAUGUAAGGAACCAACACAGGAAGCUGGCGCAGAUGGGCAAAGUGAAAAACCCACCUAUUGAAGAAAAAGUUUUAGUUAACAGAGAAUUGAAAACUGUGAAAGUUAAAUUGUGGGCUUUUGCAAACCUUUCCCAUGCUGAAGCGGAUCCACGGAGUAACUUAGGACACAAAGAUGCAGCUUCUGCAUAUUUCCUUUCAACAAUUAGAUGAUCAAGGUAUCUUGAUCCCACCUGACAUAAGAAGAGCACAAAAUCAUUGACCAAAUGAAAUGUUCUUAAAGAAUUUAUAAGAAGGUAGCAAAAUCCUAAUAAGAAUUCCAGAAUAUAAAGAUAAACUAUUAUAAGAAAAUCAUAGUAGACAAGGCCAUAUGCCACUGAUGCUAUCUUAAAGAGAGCUUAUGACUUUCUGCACCAAACAGGAUGGGAAACACUGAAAGGUUAUUAAAUGAAUGAGAAAUAGCUAUUCCGCCUACAAUUCUUUUAUUGCCAACCCACGAAACCAGUUGAUAAUAGAUUUCAGUUUUUGACCAACAUAUUUUUUAUUGCUGAACAAUCCCACUGGGCCAGGAUUAUAUGUUUCUUCAACCAGUUAUAUUAUCAUUGUACACCCAGUAACGAUGGCAAUGGGGAUAAAAUCAACAGUUAAUUGGAAGCGGAUUUUAAAUUGUUGCUUAAAAUGUCCAUUGCUAGAUUACAUAGUAUAAAGUGCCAUGCUGUUUCACAGCUCGCAAAAUCGAUGAGCUUGACAAUGUAGCCUUGUGCACAAACAAAAAAAAAAAAACAGAAUUCUGUUUAAUUUAAAUAGUAGGGUUGCUAUUCAUACAAGUACAAUAUCGACUCAAAAAAAAAAAAUCUUUAUGAUGGCAAAUGCAAUCACAGGCGUUACCAGCCCCUCCUUUAACUAACAGAUUAAUAGCAAGAAAGAGAAAGAAGCAGCGCCACAAUAAUCUCUUAAUCAAGUGCUUAGAGGGGAUGUGGAUCAGUAGAUCUCAUUUGCUACAACUGACCAGCGAGUAAGUACUACUUUUAAUAAUAAGUAAAUAAUGUGCAAUUGUUUGUCAUGGAAAAUAUUGACAACUGUUACGCUGGCAUGUACAUCCACCCAUAUGAUAUUGCACCAUUGAUAAUUAAAGGAAAAACAGCAGAGAUCUAAUGUACCUCAUCAAGAAGUUCAGUCCGUCCCUGUCCCGCUUCAACUGCAGCUAAUGCCUUUUCAUGCCAACCAUGAUGAAGAAGCCAAGCUAUGUGAUCUUCAGCAUCUCUAAUUUUCAUACAGAUAUUGGAUAGUUAAGAGCAUGGAGUCUGCAAUUUUACCGAGCUUCAAAAAUACACAUACUCUUGUCCAUGUUUGAUGACAUUUUUCAGAUCAAAACAAGCAAGCAAUUAUACAAGUUGAAAAUAUAUCAGAUGGUCAAAUCAGAAAUUUGCAGGAUUCCCUCACUAGUUUAUUUCUAUCUCAGCCCAAACCCUUGAAACAAUUUAGAAAGGCCCAAUUUUAUUUAGAAAAAGGAAGAAGAGUAGGUACUUCCCCAAAAUAACAAUUCAAAUCAUAACAUGUACAUAGAUAGUAAAAUGUAAUGGCAUGCAUACAUACACUAUAUAAGUACAUUGUGAACACCAAUGCAAAUAAGUCAAAGAUGCUGCUAAGUUCAAGGGGGAAAAACAUAAAAUAUAGAACGAUGGUUCCUAGAGUAACAGCCUAACGAGUUAAAAGACACCAGAAAAAGCUUGAAAAAAAGAAGAAGCUAAAGUACUUAAAAUGAGUAUAAAUUCUACAAAAUCCUCAUAUACCUAGGCCUCGCAAUCACUAUGUCUUUGGGAGAUACGAUAUAAUAGAGAGGUUCAUCACCAGCAGCCCACUGACCACCAGCAUAGCUGCUUCCUAUGCAAAAGUGCAAAAGCAGUUAGAAGUUAGCAUUCCAAACCAUGCAACUACAGUUUACAUAUUAUAAACAAAAUGAUUAGGGCUGUUUGGUCUAAUUGUAGCUUAGCAGUUACUUCUACAAAUAGCAAUUUGAAGAAGUUAGUUUUUUUAAGCAUUUGUAACAAACCUAGUCCCUAAUGAUCAGGUUUCCAAUUUGUCCUCAAGAGUUUCAAUUGUAACAAUUUAGCCAUAGAAGUUUGACCAAAAUAUCAGUUUUGUCCUUUGAGCUUCCAUCAUAACAACUUCGUCUCCGAAGGCUAAUCCGGAUUUCAGUUUCGUCCUUAAUGUUCCAUUUCUAACAAAGCAAUAUCUAACUGCAAUGCUGACCUAGCCAAGUUAGAAGUAUAAUAACAAUAGAGCGACUUGCUCGUUAUGCAAAAUGAACUUCGAAGACUAAAGUACUAAAACUAUUGAGGAAAGUGAAAUCAAAAGCGAAGUUCAGGGAUGAAAUUUGUAAUUAACCCUUUUGAUCAAAAUCUCCUUUACAGCCUCUCGUUGCAAUAGAAGCAGAAUCUCAAAUGGGAGCUUCCGCUUGGGGGCCAAACCCCUUUUAAUUUCUUGUCCAAAGAAAAUUUUGAGCCUAUUUGUUAGCAAAAUAGCUGGUUUCUAAAGCUUAUGAUAGGGAAGCUAUUCCAUAAGACAGGCCAAGCAGGCAAUUCAAAUUGGUAAAGGGUGUUUGAAACCUGUGAAUGGAGCAUGUGCAAGAGCAUAAUCUUUUGCCUUAUAAUGUUCAUAGCCAUGAACAGGUAAAGCAUCAGUUGUUAGUUCCUCAUUUUUCCAUGUGACAAUUCGUAUUUCUGGCCUUUGUGCAGUUCCCUGUGUAAAAAUUCCACGCACAUUAAGAACAAGUACUUCUGACUAAUGUAAAAUAUUUCACAAGAGCUAAAGUCAGAGAAAUUUACAAUGUCCAAUGCAACCAGCAAACAGGAAAAAUUAUUGCCAGCACCUGUGCACCACAUCAGCCAGCGCACCACCCAUUCUCUACCAUUCAUCCAUCACAUACUUCUAGAUCAAUAAAUGCUAGGAAGUGGGGACUGAACAGUGAGAUGGGAUGAAGGGCGGAGCAUGGGCGGGGGCACAGGCUGACAAGAUGUGGCAAAUGCAGGCAAUAAUCUAUCCUACUUAGGCAAUCAUUAGUAUUACUAACUGCUCUGGAGCAAGACAUUUUGAAAGCACAUUCAUCAGAAAACAAAGAACCAUGUAGCCCAGUAAAUCUGGUUUGACCCUAGUUGGGAAAACAUCUAGCUUAGUGUUGCCAGCCAUCCAAACUCAUUUUGACCUUGUUCACUUUCUUAAAAUUUCAUACUUUGGUCAUAGCUAGUGCAAUUACAUAACUGUCCAAAAAUUUGAUCAUUAGGCAUGUUUUGGUAGAUAGCGUUUAGCGUGCUAGUAAAUGCAGGUCUGCAUUUAGACCUUCUAAAGGUGAGACAGACUUAUUUUUGUUCCCACAAUUUCAUAUAGCCAUAUAAAAAGAAAAACCACACAAAAGUCCAUAAACAAGAAAAAAGACUUUCAAAUAAUGUCAAAUGAGAUCACUGCAAUAUUAUACUUUUCUCUUUAACUUAUGGUUUCUCAAGCUUCCCAUAGCCAAAAACUCCAAGAUUUGCAAAAAAACCUGAAACUGGAUAUGAGACUUAAGAUUUGAACCUAGUCAUAAAGUCACAAUAGAGUUGACAAUAAAGCAGCAUUUCAUUUUAGGGUAUUUCACAUAAGUAACUGCACAAAAUCCUCUAUUUGAUAAAUGUAUACACGCGACAUCUGAAUUUUCACAUAUACCCCUUGGCAGUGCAGUUUAAGAUAAUGCUCUCACCUUAAAUUAGGGUUACAAUUUACAGGGGAAGGGUUCUAAAAAUAACCAUCCAGAAUAUAUUUCUAAAAAUAAGCCCCUGUAAAAAAAUCUGAAUUGUCAGAUGCGCGUGUCCUUUGGAACUGCCGCUCAAAAAAAAAUGUUGUUACCCUAAACUAGAGAUCCAUUUUACAGGAAAGCUGGUUUUGUUCAGAUUUUUUAUUUUUUUCGUAUGUAGAGGAAGUUUUUUCUAAAAAGAUGAGAUAUUUUUACUACAAGGAAAUAAUAUUUUGCAGGAAAUUAAGUAUAUAUGCAAUUAGUUAGUACUUUGAUAGAGUAUAAGUGAAAUUUGCUAAAUAUAGUAUGAAAAUGCUAAUGUUGUCAAUCUAAAAAAUCAUUCUUUAAGCUACUAAAUGAAAAUACCUGCCGUGAUGGGACAGUUGUACUGAAAUCCUUUUCUCCAUUUUCCUCAUCCGGGAUGUAUGCUAGUACUACUAAAGCAUCGCCGUAUGGAGCAAUACCAGAAAUGUAGUAACUAGUUUGAAAAGAUGCCACAAUAUCCACAUACUUAGUACUUGAAAUGGAAAUAUUUGUCCGUACACCAUUCACACCAUUGGGAGAAUUAGCUCUAAUGGCAGCAAUCUUUACACUCGUUCCCCAGCCAAUGACCAAGAGAGUGUCAUCCUAGAUACAACAAAUCUUCUUAGCAUGUGACAUAGAAAAUUUCCAGAUUCAACAUAGAAAGAGGAAAGAACCUGCAAUUGCUAUAAACCUUCUCAAAAGUAUUUAAGAAAAAAAAAGAGAAGAAGAAAACAGCCAUCAUUAGCUGAGUUAGGCCUGGCUAGAACUUUUGACAACUGCUGCAUAAUAGAGUUGUUUGGGGAAGCACAAGCAGCUUUGUCAUUACAUUUCCCUAGCAGCUUCUCAAUAACCUAAUUGGAACAUCUGCUUUUGAGGCCCAAACACUCAUUUUAUCAUCUUGCCAUAGCAAAAGCUCUAGAGACUCUUCAUGACAAACUCCUAGUAACUGUUUCUUGAAGUAGAGAAGUUAUACCAGAAACUAAGCCAAACAAACAAAUUAGUGCCCAAAUACCCUCUAAUUUAUUCCUUUAUAAUCAUAAAGAGAGUAAAAUGCAAUAAUAAACAAUCAUGCACUUAAUUCUGCUACUGCCCAUGAUUCAUUGCUCCUCCAUCUUACCUCCACCCCAUCCUGAUAAAGUAUUAACAAUAAAAAUAAAAUAAAAUAAAAAUAAAAGAAGAGACUUCCAGAUCAGAUAGGUAGGCUUUUCGUUGGUAUUCAUUAUAUUCUCCGGUAGCUUGAGUUUCAAAUUAAUACUGAUUCAAAACUGUAGAAAAAUUUUUACUGCCGACCUUUUCAAUUGUCUUAUUUUCUGAUAAUUUAGUGGACUGCCAUCUGAAAUCUGAAAAAUGUUCACCAAUUUCAGCAAAUGGUAUAUCAUUAUUUCGACAUAAAGCAAUUUCCGGCCUGUAAAUACACCACUUACUAGGCUAAAACAAGGCCCAAACUCAAGAUAGCUGAAAUUCAGUCUCAAUAACACACAUAUGCGUGUUACUUGUAUUACUUUACGGGCCAAUAAGAACAGUAUCAUAUAUCUAUUUCUAUCAGUCAGGAACAGUAAAUCUCAAAAAUCUGAAAUGACUUAAUAUUUUGAGCAUGAUGAGGUCAAGCACAACAUUCUCUUUUGAAAUGGUUGCCUCAGCCAGACUACUUCAGAAUGAAAAGGGGAAACUUCACAGAAUAUAUUUUACCUGCCACACCAAGUGAGGAAGUAAAAGCUCUGGACGGGGGAUUCCCCUCGGUCUCUCAAUAAAAGAAAUUCGCUGAUGAUUUGCCAUGUCAUAAACUUUUACUCCUGCAUCAUUAGCCCAAGCAAUAAGACUUGUUCUCCACUUCACGGUAUGAAUUGGACCCUCACCGUCAUGCAGAAUCUGAGAAGAUACAAGGAUGCUGAAUAAUUAAAAUCUGACAAAUCUACAUAUAUGUACCCCCAAAUUACACAUUUAUAUACAUAUAUUCUUGUAAAAUCAGAAUUUAUAUCUUUUCAAAAGUGCAAUUCUUAUAGAAAUACUCGUUUUUAACCUGAGUCAUCCAAUUCAGGUGAAAAUUUGGUUUUGCACAAGAACAAAGCUUUCCAAUGAGGGGCAUUUUGUAAGUAGAAGGGUUAUAUAUUUAAGAAAUUAAAAUUUUGAGACGCAAAUAUGAAAUGAGUCUUGCAGGGGUAUUAGUAUAUACGUUAACAUCUCGAGACACAAGCGGGUACUAAACCGAAAUAUAUUCUAUAUCAAGAAAUAAGACAUACCUGCUUAUUAUAACCUAGCCAGUUCUUCAUGUUGAGAAAUAGUUGACCAGCUAAACCACCCGCGACAAACCUUCUUGAGGAUUUCCGUGAAUAGUCAGGGUCUAGAGCUAUUGCUUUCAUAGGCCGAUGAUACUCGAAUUUCAAUUUUUCAUCCGUAAAAAGGCUGCUUAUAACUACAGAUCCAUCAUCUGAGCAGCUACCAAUAAAUUCACCUUCUGCAUCAAAGCUAAGGUCGUUGACUGUAGCGGUAUGAGCAGCAAAUUCUUUGACCUGUAAAUAUAAAGUGUUGAGAACAUCGGCAUAUUUCGGCAAGAUAAUGGCAAGGAGUAGUAGACAACAGGGCAAAUCAGAAUAAAAAUGACAAGUACUUCUCAAAACAACUAAAAAUCUGGUCCAACCAAUAUGUCGGAACCUCAAAUAUCCUUAAUCUUCCUAAAGAUGAAAAAUCACGCCAUGCAAUCAAAACUACUUCAACUAUAUUGAACCUAAGUUAGAUUCAUCUAAGCACAAACUAGGGAUUGAGUAACUCUAAAGAAUAACAACUAACAUUUUAUACAGCUAUACGCGGUCAGCUAUAUAGGUCGUAUACUUUACAUAAGAUUCUUUGUGAAAUAAAUAUUAUCAUGUAUUUCCUUAUUAUGUCCUCCAGUGUUCAUUAUAAUAUUCCCUUCCCUCAUAAGGCAACUUCUACUUGAAUACUCUUUACUGACACCCCAAGUGGUCUUCUUUGUGCNGGAUAUACCGACUGGCGCAUAUCGACAUAUUUUACAAUCAACAAUAAGAAAUCUCAAUGAGUUAGGGAUCAAACACGAAUCUACUUAGAUUGAAUCCAAGUUAUAUCAACUUCAUCAAAACUAACGUACCGCACUAAAAAGUAGAAAUCCUUCUAAUUCCUAUAAACUCCAAGGCUGUAUAACCAACCUGGUCUAAAAAUCAACAAAACUCUUCAUGAACAGUAAAAAUAAGACUAAACGGGACAACAGAUGAUGAGGAACGGUAAUAGAACGGCUUUAUACGGCUACAAGAGUUGUGAAAUAUAAAUGUCCAGUUUCUUAAACGACGAGUAUGGCGAUGUCAGUUGCUGGAAUCGAAACUACGUCUUCCACUUAAAUAACCAUCGACGAGUCUACUACCUAGACAUCAAUAUUCGUCGGAAAAAUGCCUACUUUUUAACUUUAAGCUCAUAGUAGCCGGAUACUUUCGUUAUCGAGAUCUGGGACUGAUAAGUGCCUUUAGGAGUUCUUCCAAACAGCGCCCACCAAAUCGACCAGUUGAUAAAGAGUUGUACUUCUUGACCGAUCCAAUAUUAUUCGUCCAUACAGAAUAAAGAACUAUAUCUUAUAUAAAGCCAAAUCAUGGGCGAACACAGAGCUCUACAAUUGCAUAUAUGAUUAUGCAUGUAUUUCCUUAUUAUGUCCUCCAGUGUUCAUUAUAAUAUUCCCUUCCCUCAUAAGGCAACUUCUACUUGAAUACUCUUUACUGACACCCCAAGUGGUCUUCUUUGUGCAUGUCCAAACCAUCUCAAUUGGUUCCGCGUGAUUUAACCAGUUGGGUGCUAUACCUAAUUUGCUACUUAAUAGAAUCCUUUCUUUACUUUAUCUUCCAUACUAGCCCCACUAACAUGACUAACUUUAUAGUUGUCUAAUAAAAUCUUCCUUCUACUUUCAGGGGUAUAACAUUAGAAGCACUUCUUUCACUUCUAAUCAUCUUAUGCUUCCGUGCUAGAGCAUAUGGAACGCAGUUUUUUACAAAUGAAACAGUAAAGAUAAAAAAAGAAAAAUUCAUGGUGGAUAAACAUAACUAAGAGGGAUUUCUGUCGUUAACUUGGAUACAUCCAAGUGAAAAAGAUGGCAAAUAGUCUAACAGUGCAUUCAAGAUGUUGAUAAAUCAUCUUAUGCUCCAGUCAUCAAAUAAAAGCUCAUCAUCCAACUACCAUUCAAGAUAACCUACAAAGCAGUUUAUAUUGGGAGCUACACACAAGCCUAUAUGUGCAGGGUAGGGCCCCUCCUUUAAAAAGCAGAUGAUACAAAGGCGUAAAAACAGGGAAUCAAUAUCUAACUUACAAGACCAAGAGAAUAAAAACAAAUGUGAUUGUUUCAAUGAUUGGCUCUCACAAUGCCUAGAUGGUGGAAGUAAUGCUGUAAUUAGGGUACACUAUCUACAAAAGAUAGGGGAAAAAAUAAAAAAACUUUAAUUACUUGAACAAAAAAGAACUGUUCUAAUCAAAAUUAAAAACUACAAAAAUUAAGGUCGAUCUCCCGAUCUUUAUAUUUGAACAUUGAAAAUUCUAAUUCAGUUUUCUUGACCAUAUUUCGGACAGCAAAUCCCCACAUCAACAAUAUUUCACUUCAAAACCAAUCUCAUGACAGAAAUGAUCAUAUCCGUUUGGGCGAUUAAAAAGAAAUUAUUUGACUACAGGAUGUGUCGAUCGCAUCAUAAUUCUACCUCCGAGUUUACUUUACUCAGAAAACCGAUCUAAGCGACCAAAAAUCGUUCUGAGGGAAAAAGAACGGAAUCGAAUCGGAAUCGACCUGAUUGCCCUGGAAAUCGAGGAUGUGGACGGUGCCGUCGUGGGUGCCGAGGGCGACCAUGCGCUCGGCGACGGCGAUGGACGCGGCGGCGUCGGUGGAGAGGAGGGGGGGAACGCUCCCCCCCAUUCUCUGGUACUUGAGCCUCGGCUCCUCCUCGUCCUCUUCCGCCUCCUCCUCUCCCCUGUUCUCUACAUGCUCCUCCUCCUCCUCCUCCUCCUCCUCCUCUUCCUCCUCCUCCUCGUCGUCGUCCUCCUCCUCCCUCUCGUCGUCCCCCUCGACCCCGUUCUCCGAGGGUUGGAGCUCCGACGCCAUGGCUGCUGCGCCGAGAUCCGUGUACAGCAGGAGCUUCGAGAAGCGCCCACGCGAUCGCUCUCUCUCUCUCUCUCUCUCUCUCUCUCUCUCUCCUUCUCUUUCUCUCUCUAGAUUUUUUUUUUUUUUAUCCUGUUUAAUGCUAAACUUCGUGCCAAUUUUAAUCCGGUUCGUUUGUCGUUACGAAAUUAAAAGGAAUUAAUACGAAAAGUCGGGGCGUUUGAUAGAUCCGUUAACCCGCUUAGGACUUAACGGGCGAAAAUGAGGAGCCCAUUAUUAAUCGGAUCGGGUAAUAUAUAUAGUAAGCUUUUUAUCGCCUUGUUUUGAUGCCCAAACAAGUUAUUCACAAACAAAUUAUUAUGACUUUAUUUAAAUACUAGUGUAGUAACCCNCGAAAACUUAAAAUCUAUAUUUAAGAAUAAAUUAUUAUUUAAAGAUUUAUUUAAAAUGGAUGGUUGAAAAUUACUGGACAUGACAAUAUUAGUAAAAAUGAUAGAGACAUUUUUGGAAAGAAAAAAAAUUUAAAACUCACGUUUUUAUAAGUAGUAUAGAUUUGGAGAUAACCUUUGUCUAUAUUGGCCCAAUUAUGAGAGUAGAAAUUAUAAAUAAAACUCAUGAUAGAUGUUGAUUGCAACACAUGCCAUAUUUUAAAUUUUAAAUCAAACAGGACAAAGUUAAAUACUAUAUAGAAUCUAUAAGAGAAUCUUAUUUAAUACUCUCAAUUUAACAUAAUCUAAAUUCUAUUCCAUUAUGUUGUGGCACUUAAUUAAGUUAUCAUCAAAAACUUAUGUGGCAAUAAUUACUACCCUUUUAAAUUAUUAUCAUAUCAUCUCAAAAUUAUUUUUAUUUAGCUACUUAGUUUAACAACUAAUUAACAAUUUGCACGUAAAAGUGAUCUUAAGAGAUAAAUUAAUAGCCAUGCCAUCUCUAGAGAUAGUGUGAUUAUGAAUAUAAAUCGGUUUGUCUUUUUGUUUGACAAACUACAUGGAAUUUAGUAAAAUAUAAUAAACAAAAAAUUGAAGUUCAAUAAUUUAACCGACCGUCACUAGAACAAGUGGCAAAGGGUUUGGUGGUUGGUACCCGAGGUCCCAAGUUCGAAUCCUAGUUGAUUCACAUUUUCAGCUAAGUUUAUUUCUAAAUAAAAUAAAUGAAACGGGUAGCGUGCUACCUAUCUCUCAAAAAAAAAAAGAAAAAAGAAGAAGUUCAAUAAUUUAUUUCUCAAAACCUUUCAAAGAACUAAAUUUGAAAUAAGGUAUAAAUUACAUUGUAAAUAAAAUAUGUUAUCUCUUUCCAAAUCAGUAAUGUUAAGAUUCUUCAAAGAUAUUUAAACUUUUUAUUUCAAAUCACAAAAAAAAAACCAAAUAAGUUAUUAUUAAAUAAUUUAUUUUCAUAUAUCUAUUAUCUAUUACUCAAAGUUUGUCGGCCAUUUGGAUCUCAUCAAACGAUUAAAAUGAAGAGUACUCUGUCAUUUUUGUGUGACAAAAAUACCCCUCCUCCAUAUCCGUAAUGUUCAUCCUAUGUACUGCCGCGUUUUUCUAAUGACCAAUCAUUUAAUUACGUAAAGAUAAAUUUAUUUCUAGUUAUCUAAGGUAAUACGACAGCCAAUCAUAUGCCUGCGCUAAUCACGUGAAUAUUGAAAAUUAAAUUUAUUUCCUAGCCACACAUUUUUUCAAAUAUUUUUCUUAUCAAACAUAUACUGUCAACCAUAUAUUCAAAAAAUAAAUUUUAAUUCUGUAAUUGCGCAAAAUUUAAUACCACGCGAAUUUGAUUUUUUUUUUGCGUAUUUUCUCAUUUUCAAGCUGUAGGUUUUUUAUAUAUAAAUAGUAUAUUUUUUUAAUUGUAUCCUUGGUUUAUUUUUAUCUAUAUUUUUUUUCAAUAUUUUUUAGUAAUAUUUUCUCAUUUGUUACAGCGGUUACAUCGUCAUCGUACCUACUUAUCAUCAUUGUUGUGUGCUGGUACAUGUGUCGCCCCGUUCACCACCGUUAGUCUAAUUAAAGAUGGUAUUUUAAUUCUAUCUGAAAUUUUUUCUUUUUUUUAAUAUGCCUUAUCUGUUUAAGUUUUUUUUUUUGUUUUUUCUUAGUUUCUAGAUACGGUUCUCAAAUACUAAAGUAUAAUUUUUUAGUAAUAUAUAUUUUAUUUUUAUUUAUAUAUUUUUAUAAAUACUUUUAAAUAUUUUUUUUGUAUAUAUUCUAUUUGUCCCCCGUUGUCGACAUGGUCAUCGUAAUCAUUUAUCACUGAGCGACAAUUUCACCUUCGCCACCUCCGCUUCGCACAAUUUUGAAGAGUAUUUUGAGUCCCAUCUAAAAUUUCUCUUUUUUUAAUAUGUAUCUUUAUACGGUUUUAGUAUUUUUUUAGUUUUUUUAUUUUCUAUACUUAUAUUAUUUCAAAAGUAUGAAGGUAUAUUUUUUAGUAAUAUUUUUUUUAUUUUAUUCUACUAUUAUUUUUCUUAAGAUAUUUUCAAAUAUUUUUUUAAAUAAUAUUCUUUUUUUAUUUAUCUCCGUCGUCGUGAACGCGUACAUCAUCCAUAUUACUCUCUGUACAUAUCCGCCUUUGCAAUAAUUAGAGAAUAUUUUAAUUUAAUUUUGAAUUGUCUUUUUUGCUAAGUGCCUUAUACUGUUUUAGCAUAUUUUUUUUAGUAAUUUGCUCAUUGUUUACCUAUAUUUUUUUCAAAUAUAAACAUAUAUGUAUUUAGUUAAUAUUCUUUUUUUUUAUCUAUAUUUUUUCAAAUUUCUCAAAUAUUUUUUUAGUAUAUUAUUCUCAUUUGUCACCAUUGUCGGUAAUUAGACUGCUCAUCUUUCUCAUCGUUUAGCCGUCAUGGCGCCAAACUGAUUGUCGCCUUCGUCAACUUUAUUACUACUGCUAUGUCUAUAUAUUCAGUUUCUUUAGAUGUUUAGAAAUAAUUUGUCUAAAUCAAUUCUACAUCUUUAUUUUGUAUGGUGUUAAUCGUUCUAAACGGGUGAAGGUUAAAGCAGUUUCUCUUUUUAUCAUUCCACAUACAAAAAUUAUUAUAACUAAUUUUUGGAUGGAUUAAAGUAUGAAUGAAUUAGAUUAAUCCUCAUAGGACACAGAUAUGUUGCUAACACACAUAUGGCAUGAAAAAUUAUUAAUAACUAAUUAUUUGAUGGAUUGAAGUAUGAAUCGAUUAGAUUGAUCCUUUAGGACAAUGAUAGUGCUAUUACAACAAUUUAUUUUUGUAUUAAAACAUCGUCACGUUAAUAUCGAUAAUUAGAAUAAAUGUAUUUUUAAUAUUUUAUUUUUCUGUUGUAUUUUCAAAUUUUUAUUUAUUAGGAUCAAUUUAUUAGCAAAAUUUGUGAAUAAAUGUGCUUAAUCUAUCUAUUCCAAAAAUCAAGAAAUAAAAUCAAGCUAAAAUUUUUAUUACUUAUAUGAUUUUAUUAAAUUUUAUAUUUUAUUAAUUUUAUUUUCUGAUGAUUACUAAUAUUUACUUAUUAUUUUUCUUACUUUCAGUGCAAUUUGUAUGGAAGAAGACUGAUGUUGACAUUUUCAGUUAGUUUAGAUAGAUUUUGUGUUCUUUCUUUGAUGAUAUUGUAUUCUAUUUCUAUUUCUUGGUAUUUUAUUUUUUUGGUAAUAAUUAAAUAUUAUAUUAUCGAUCUAUAAUAUUUAUUAUAAAAAAUUUAUUUGUUAGUAUUGGUGUGACGUGCAUUGCCGUGCACUUAACUAGUAUAUAUAUAUAUAUUAUAUUAAUAUAUUAUUAUAUAUAUAUAUAUAUAAUAUAUAUUAUAUAUAUAUAUAUGAGUGCCUCUACUAUACUUUCGAAAGUACGGGAACCUCCGUGCUUGUAAGUUGUUUUCGAUGAUAGGAUAUCCGAUUCGACGAUCGGCUCUAUUAGGUAUAAUCUACUCUAUUGGAACUAUCUAGAAACCAAAUUUUAUAAUUUUUUGACAUCAUUUACUAAGCGAUCAAAACGUCCCAAAAAUGACUAUUUUAAUGGCCAAUGCGGCACGUUUUUAAGUUCAACAGUAUAGAAGUAUCCAAAUUACAUGAAAAUUUAAUAGAAAAUUCUACUUAACGUCAAUAGCAAGAUCAAUACUUUCGAUUUGAAAUUUGAGUCCUUUAUCAUUAUUUUUUAUGAGAUUUUUAUUUUCAACCGUUUAUUUUGAGGCUACUCAUUUACUAGACAAACGAAGUCAAAAAAUUAUAACAAUUGGUUUCUAGAUAGUUCCAAUAGCGUAGAUCAUGUCUAACGGAACCGAUAGCCGAAUCGGAUGUCCCAUCAUCGAAAACAACUUGUAAACACGGAGGCCUCCGUACUUUCGAAAGCAUAGGAGCCUAGCUCAUAUAUAUAUAUAAAUAUAGAGUUGAGCUAGAAUACUAUCGGUAGCAAACGGGCUCCGUUGCCACCAAUUUGUUUUCGAUGAUGGAGCCUCCAAAUCGACGAUCAGCACCGUUGAACAUGAUCUAUACCACUUGAAGUUUUUAGAAAUCAAAUUUCAUACAUUUUCGAUAUUAUUCUCUUAUCCAUCGAGUGGACAAAAAAAUGAACCGUUGGAAAUAAAUAUUCUUUAAAAAAUGAUGUUAGGAGUCUUGUAGCCAAGAUCAAGAGUAUAGAUCUUGUUUUAGAUAGUUUAAAAAAUUUUCUAACAAAAAUUCAAUUGAUUUGGAUAUCUUUACACUGUUAAACGAGAAAAAGCCUCAUAUCGACCAUUAAAAUUACAAAAUUUAAAACCCUUUGAUCAUUAGGCAAAUAAUGUCGAAAAGAUUUAAAAUUUGAUUUCUAAACACUCAAAGUGGUAUAGAUCUUGUUUAACGGUGCCGAUCGUCGAUUUGGAGGCUCUAUCAUCGAAAACAAAUUGGUGGCAACAGAGCCCGUUUGCUAUCGAUAGUAUUCUAACUCAACUCUCUCUCUCUCUCUCUCUCUCUCUCUAUAUAUAUAUAUAUAUAUAUAGCUAAUUUAAAUUUUAAAUUAUUUAAACAUGACCAGUUAAAUGAGUUUGGCAUAGAGAAAAAUACACUAAUAAAUUGCUUCGUAAAGUUUCAUUUGAUAGUAUAUAACUGUAAGGAUGGUUUGGUUCAAGGUUUGUAAUAUUUUAAAAAUAUUAUAUAUUUUAUAUUUGGAAUGACAAGAUUACUACUAACUUUUACCCUUCUUUGAAUAAAAAACUUAAUUAUAAUCCUAAUCAAAUUUCAAUAUUUUAUUAAUUUUUCUAAUACAAAUAUAUCUAAUUCUAAUUCAAAACUUUUAAAUUCAUCUUCCUAAAUUUUAAAAAUUUAUUCCACAGGGAAAAUCAUAAAAAUCUAAACAACAUCUAUAAAAAAAUCAAUAAAAUAAUAAUUCUAAUAAUUAAAAAAUAAAAUUUUGUUUUUUUUUUUAACAGCAU